rnacentral:lncRNA from 1 species
UGUGACUUUGGCUCCAGUGUCAACAUUAUACCCAGGGUACUCUAUGAAAAAUUCUUUACAUAUCCUUUAUUAGAGAAAACCAUGUGUUUGCAGUUUGCAGAUCAGACGAUAACUUUUCCAAAAGGAAUCGUGAAGAACCUUUGUGUCCGAGUUGGUACCUUAUAUGCCCCAGCAGACUUCGUAGUAGUAGAGACCGGAAAUCAUGAGAGGGCACCUAUCAUCUUAUGGAGGCCAUUCUUGAACACCACGGGAGCUAUCAUCUAUGCUAGUGCUGCCAAGAUCAGUUUCUAUGUCAAAGGGAGGAAGGAGACAUUUUUCUUCAAGAACAAGACUACACAAAUUCCAAAUCAAUCCAGACGUGAAUCAAGGAAGAGGACCAACAGGAGGAACAGGAACAAGCAAGUGUGGACUGAGUCAGCUAAGAUGGUCACUACAGUUCAUGGAGGCCAAGAUCACCAACUUAAGUCACCGCUUUUGACCAAGAAGGACGACCCAGGAAUGCCAAGCAUCUACUGCUCCAUAAAUGGAUACAACUUCUACAAGGCAACUUGUGACACCGGAUCGGGCGUCAACAUAAUGGCCGCAGUCACCUAUCGGCUCUUGUUUGGAACCAUGCCACUAAGACCAACAUACAUUCAGCUCCAGAUGGCAGAUCAGACAUUUCGAGAAGUUAAAGGAAUAGUAACUGAUGUCCCAGUCAAAAUAGACGAUCACUUUGUCUACACAGACUUUCAAGUUAUUGACAUGGGAGAAGACGAGUAUGAUCCACCCAUCAUCCUUGGAAGACCGUUCCUCAGCACCGUUAAAGCAAUUAUCUACAUUGGAACCGGAGAAGUCCAUAUGCACUUCCCCUUAGAGAAGGUACGCCAUUAUUUUACUGACCCUAACUAUAUCAUUGUAGAAUCUAAGCAGGUCAAAAAGAGACGCAACCGCAACCAGAGGAGGCAGAUCAUCAAGGACGGAUGGGCAGACUACGAAGGAGAAGUUAUGAGGUCAGAAGACGUAGAGUUUAAACAGAAUUAUCCAGAGGAGAUUGAAGCACCGAGUCAGGUAUGGAAAAUGAAGAUAACUAUACAUGAAGAGGAGGCGCUGCCGGAAGUACUUACUACGCCACCCAACGAACCUCAGGACAAUUGAAGAAAAUGGAGAGUCCUGUUAGGAGGAUUUAAAAACACCGAACGCCUUGCCAAGAGGUAAACUUGGUAGUUAUCCUUUCCCUUUUAAUUAUUUCAAAUAGUUUACUUAGUUAAUUAUGUUCAUACUAUCUUAAAAAGAAAAUAAAAAUAUGAAAAAACAGUAAGCCCCAUGUGAGUAUACGAGUGGCAUAAAACCCAUAAGUACAUUCACUGUGGUGGCAUAAAAAUAAAAUAAAUAUUUAUUUUCUGUUUUAUAAAAAUGAAAAUAUAAAAACAGGGAGUAAUAAUUAUUAAGGAGUCUCAACAUGAUAAAGGCUAGAUAUUUAUGCUAACACUUAAUCAGUUCCACAAGCUUUGUUGUCUAUUUGAGCUCCACAGAAUUUAAUAAUCAAGAAGGCUUGCAGACGGAGGACAUUCUAAUCGCUGUCAGACUCCUGUUGACUUUCAAAUACACCUCUGCCACCUGCUAGCUACAUCAAGAGAAAUUACGUCAAAAUUCAGCUUGGGAGAGAGCACCCCCAUUUAUCUCGGUAAGUAUUUCUAUCUAUCUUUAUACUUAUUCUAUAUUAGAAUAUAAAUAUACAUAACUAUAAAAAACCAAAUAAAGAUUUUAUGCUUAUAUAUAUAUAUGUCUUUUACUUAGUGUGUUUAAUAAAUAAAUAAAGUGGCUAUGCUAAUCUGUAUCUAAAUAAAACUCAAGCAUGGAUAUGAUGAAUAGUUGCUCUGCCUAAUUUGCAUAUUUUAAGUUCUCUCUCAAGUUUAGACAUAACUGUUAUUAUUUAAGGCUUGCUCUAGACCUAAACUUGUGGGAUGAAAACUUGAUCUAAAGUCUAAGUUGUUAACGGAUACGAUAUGGGAAGGUUGAGAUGCUGUUUAUCUGUUCCUAAAGAUGCUAGAAUUCUGGAGAAUUUUAUCUUUGAAAAUCUUUAAAAUGUUGCAUGAUGAGUUCCUGUAUGAUGAGAGUUUAAAUUCCUACCACAGCCAGAUAUACAUGCUUGCUAGACUUUGAGCCACACAUUUACUAUUUACUGCUUAUGAGCAUUGAGUGUGGUCAAGCUGUGUAGACCCUUAGGAGCUUGUCAUGUGGUUAAAUCAAGAUUUCACUUGCACGUUCACUCAUAUAUGCUACUUCUACUCUGGAAGUACCAUCCACAUAUAUCCACCCAUUCCAUCUCCAGAAUCACCCAAAAAUAUUCUACUCCUAAUCCGAGAGAGAAUAGCCAAAAAUAUUUCUGUUUUCCCUUGUGAAAUAAAUGCUCAAGUUAUCUUGUUACUACCACUUGCUAUAUUAUCUCAAGAGAUGAGUGCUCUAAAAAAAAGAGAAAGAUACGAGGAAAUAAAAAGGAGCAAGUGCUCGGAACCUCGAAAGAAAAGAAAAAGUGAGACGAGAGGUAAAAAUGGACAAGUGUCCGACAGUAGAAUUAGGGGUACAAGAUACCCACCUGAGAGAAAAGAAAAAAAAAAUAUAGAGCAUCUCAUUCUCCUCACAAAGUUUCAAAAAGCAAGAAAGGUAUGUAUCCCCUUAAAAGAGCAAAAGUAGAAUUAGACUUCCAUCACCAUUGUUUCCACCAUUGUUAUCACCAUCAUCACCAUACACCAUUCAUUCGCCACACAUGCACAUCUUGAUUAAACUUAUUGAUUUGUUUCUUUGGAUCCAUGGUUUGACUAUGCAAUAAAUGUCUUGUAAGUAUGUAUACUUUAUCUCCCACCUAUGAGCUCUAGAUAUUAAAGCCUUAUUAGAGUAGGGUGAGAGAGAAGACAAUGUCACUAUGCUUCAUACCACAAAUACUACAUAUUUUGAGAGAAGGCAUAUACCAUCACUGCCUUGGUAAGGGUCCAGAAAUACCACAAAAGAGAGAUCUGAGAGAAUCAUAUAAGGAAUCUCUGAGUUUUAUUUGAAAAUCUGCAAAAACCCCAGAGCUAUAGCUGAUCAAGAAUAAGAGACAUGACACUUGACUAGACUGUUCUAUCUUUUAACCAUCCAAGACAGAAGUGACGGUUACAAGUCCCAUGGUGAAGGUAAAGUAAGUAAGUUUUAAGUCUUGACAGUUUACUCUAACUCAGAGAUAAGAUCUUAUUUAAAAAGCAUGUGUACCGUCAAUUUUUAAAGAUAUUGCAACAACUUAUGAUCCAUAGCUGUGUCUAUCCUUGCUUAGGGACGAGCAAGAGGUAAGCUUGGGGGAGUUUGUUGACGGUCCUUAAGUAUCAAAUUUAAUUAUCAAAUAAAUAAAGAAAAGGAUCCAAAUGAAAUCAACAUCUAGACUUAGGGUUUUAUCUGACAGAAUUCCAUGAGGUUUGGUGUUUGUCUAUUUCUGCACGGGGUUAUAAGGAAAUACAGAAGAAAGGCCCACACGUCGGGAUUACAUAGAGAUAUUAACGGGCCACGCAAUUAUCUUACAUCUAGAAGACUCCAGAAGCCACGAGACCGAAGCGGAGACGAAACAGGGCCAGAGGCAGGGCGCCCGCCCUGUUCCCCUGGGCACCCGCCCCCUCUGGGAGUCAAAUCAGGACUCUGCUUCAUGGGAGAUCUCCACCGACCUAAAGGAUGAAUCUAAACCAUACAAUCUAUGUCGGUUUGAUCCAAUGGCCCAUAUUCACUUGAAGGGACUAUAAAACCAGACCCCCUGGCCCCUGGAGGAGAGAGCCUCUCAACCCUAAUUCAUUGUUCCUCAAGGGAGAAGAAGCCUCUGAUCAAGAUUAGAGCCACCACAUCAAUCAGAUAUCUAGAUUAGCAUAGCUACAUAGGAUUAGAACUAGAAGGAGUCAAUCUUCGAUUGGUUUCCGGAUCUGUUAGGAGGAUUCUAGGUAAUUCUCUAAUUGUGCUUCUAAUUACUUUCUAAUUAUCUUUGUUCUUCAAUAUUAUGAAUAUGACUUUGUUCUACUUCAAUAUAUUGCUUAUGACUUUGAUCUACUUGCUUAUAUUCAAGAUUAUAUUGUUCUUAGUUUAUCAUAGUUAUGUACUUGGCUUAGUUAGAUUGGAUCUAUAUACAUGCUUAGGAUCGUAUAGCGUUUAUCCAUCGGAUCCAUGGGUAAAUGAUAGAUAUUGUGUAGGCGUGGUGCUUAUACCGUAUUUAUCUGUGAUUGUACCCAAUAUGCCAUAUCGUGGGGUAGUUCGUGAUUGUGACAGCUUCAUUGAUUCUUAUAUAGUCCCCCUCUCGUGUAUUGGGCUGGCAGAGCAACAUUAUUACAGGGGAGUGAUUGCUAUGUUUCUCAUAUUCCUUGCUAAUAUCACUAUGCAUGGGCGUAGUCUUGUCUCACAAUGAUUGCUAAGUAUGCUUGCACUAAUUAUAAUAAUGCUAGACUAUAUAGUUGAGAAUAACUUAGGGAAUAUUCUUGUAGUUCGUUCUAAUACCAUGCUAAUGACUUUCUAGAGUAUCUAAUUGAGGUGCUUAUCAUAUUUAUUAUGUGGCUAGAUCAGAUUAGUUAUCCUUGUCACUAUUAUUAUUUCAUAAAUCUUUUAUGUGACACUUAUCCCUGUAUGAAGAGUUAGAUAUAACGUUCUCAAUUAUACAUGCAAUGAUAGAAGCUCAAUCUCAUAUUCUAUUAUGUAAUCAAUAGUGAUGAUUGUUAAUCCCUUCCCAGUGGUAAAAAUAUAAAUAACGAUACCUGGAAUACUUCCCGGUUAAAAUGCUACAUCGGUAUUAAUCUGUGCGCUUACAGAUCCCAUUCAUUAUUUAUUUAGAAGAGCAAUUGCAUAUUUCAAUACCGCGUCUCUUAUAUCAUGCUGGGGACGACAACUUGGCUUAAGUGGUGUGAGGGAUAGGUUUGGCAUUUUUGGCACCGUUACUAGAUUUAGAGAACUUAGUCUACUUUUGGUAAUGAUGUUAAGAAUACCCAACACUGGUUAGUAAUAUUUUAUAGAAGAGAAUGCAAUAGAUGCUUUGCUUGGUUACAUGUUCUUGGAUGAUGUUGACUACCUUGUAAAAAUAAGUUUCCUCUUUUAUCCGUUGGAACUCAUCUCCAUUGGAGAUGGGGUUUGUACAUACUCAUCUAUCCACCCUGUCAUGAGCAUCUUAUCUUAAUUUGCAUAAGCAUUGCACUUCGGGCAUCUUGCACCCCGCUCAUGAGCACACAUGCAUCAUACAGGCUCGCAGGAGAACGUGGUGGGACCCGAGGAGCAGGAGGAGACACAGGAGCAGGAACUUCUGGGAGGACCAGAGUCGGAACGAGAUCUGCAGGAGUACCCGGACCACAAUCCUACCACCUUCGAGAGAGGUGUUGGGUAUUUUAAACGCAAACAGAAAAAUCCGCAAGUGCACGGAUACUGAUGUAGCCUUCACCCGGGAGUAUUCCAGAGUAUCGAUUUUCCACAGGGAACGUGAGUGUACUAAUUAAGAAUCAAGAUCGCCCAAGGAUAACUAUAUAAGUAUUUUUGGUAGGAAGAGAGGAAGAUUCGUGAGAGUUCUCUAGUUGAUCUAAGAAUAAAGAAUUACUUCAAGAUUAUCUAUAUCGGGAUAUCAGAGUACUAACCACAGAAAGAGAUGAGAAGGGGGCUAGGAAGGUCUGACUACGGUCCUACAAACACCGACCCGAACGAGGUGGAAUAGGUCGACCGUUAGGGCUGUCACUACCCUAAGGCUACCACAACAAUCCGCAGGAUUGGGUGCAAUUCCAGGUAAUUGCAAGACUAAACACCACGUCUAAUCUAUUAAUUACUACUCCAGCGUUAUAAAGACUAGGGCACUUGAUGCAAGCGGGAAUCCAAUAAAUAACUUGAAUGUAAAUAAAAGUAAUUAGAGAACUCAGGAAUUAUGAACUGAAGAACCUGGAGAACGGUGAAGAACGAACCAGUUGCUGUAAAAGUACAAUGUUGAGGAAGAUCCGACAGAUCCGGCUCCUCCUCCGCUCUCCUCUUCUCUCUCCCUAUUUUCUAGAUUACAACUAGAACUAACUAGAACUAGAACUUGAGGAACUAGAACUAGAACUAGAUGAACUAGAACUAGAACUAGAUGAACUAGAGGUAGAACUAGAAGAACUAGAGGGAUCCUCUCUACUUGGAUGAAGAAUUGAAACCCUAACUUUGAUUCUAUAGAAGAGGUAUGAUCUCCAGGGGACAGGGGGUCUGGUUUUAUAGUCCCUUCAAGUGAAUAUGGGCCGUUGGAUCAAACCGACAUUGAUUGAACGGUUAUCCUUGAUCCGUUAGGUCGGUGGAGCACGAUCCGCGAGUUUGGACGUGAUUGGGCAGAACUCCAGGGCGGGCGCCCUCAGGACUUGGGCAGGCGCCCUGUCCCUGAGCCCUCUCGGCCUCCGCUUCCUUCUCGUGGCUUCUGGAGUCUUCUAGAUGAUAGAAAAUUGCGCGGCACGUUAAUAUCUCUAUGUAAACCCGACGUGUGGGCCUUUCUUCCAUAAUUCCUGAUAACCCCCUGUAGAAAUAGACAAACACCAAAACUCGUGGAAUUCUGUCAGAUAAAACCCUAAGUCUAGGUGUUGGUUCCAUUUAGAUCCUUUUCCAUGAUUGGUUGACGGUUAAAUGUGAGCAUUAAGGACCAUCAACAAGCUCCCCCAAGCUUAACCUUUGCUCGUCCCUGAGCAAAGAUGGACUCAAGAGUUUCUGCAGUGGUUUCAUGCCUUAAUGAUACACAUGCAUUCAAACAAGAUCUCAUCUCUGAGUUAGGGUAAACUAUUAAGAUUUAAACUUACUCAUAUUACCUUCCACCAUGGGGCUUGUAACCGUCACUUGUGUCUUGAGCAGUUAAAAGAUAGAACGGUCGAGCCAAGCACCAUGUCUCUUGUUCUUCGAUUAACUAUAGCUCUAGAGUUUUUGUAGAUUUUCAAAUAAAACUCAGAGAUUCCUUGUAUGACUCUCUCUAGUCUCUCUUUUGUGGUACUUUUGGAUCCUUACCAAGGUAGUAAUGGUGUAUGCCUUCUCUCAAAGUAUGUGGUUGUCACAGAAACGACCAAAUUAUAAGAGUUCAAGUGCAGAAACGAUCGCCAAGCAAUCAAGUUUCCAAACUUGAGCCCAUACAAUCCCGGUAGUCAAUUGAAAUCACGAAGGACUUCAAACCAACUCCCAACAAACCAAGAUCGUAAUAGUUAAACAUAAACACAGCGAAUGUUACAUAGUCAUUCAUGGCCGUCGAAGCGGCACCACAUCGGAGUUAUUAAGUUAAUACAACCCAAGUUCGAAGUAGCGGAAGCAAAAUAAUUACACACACUUGUUCAAGUUCAGUUCACAAGUUUUUGUUACUGCCAGAGUCUACACCAUCCUUCCAAAAGCAUCAGAGACGAGAUUGUUAGAGAACCGUGCCCAACGGUUAGUCCUCAUCCCCAGCGGGAUGGAGACAGGUCUUGCAGAAGCCGUCAUAAAAGAUGUCAUCUGCAACAGGUGGGAGUAAACCCUGAGUACGAGAAUGUACUUAGCUAGACAUACCCGUCUAGUAAAACAUAAAAGACACCAAGGAUCAUGCAAGGCUAAAUAUCAAGUGGAGCUGGUUGACUCACCUUUUGCCAAAAGCUUAACUUACGACUAAGUUAUUUUGAGAGCAUCAUAUUUCCUUAUUAUCAGUCUACCACUAGAUUAGCACCUGUACUACAACACAUCACUUGAUUAUUACAAACAAUAAUAACCAUAUCAAAUUCAUCAUAUGUUCUUCUUGCUAUCAUCAUUAUCAUGAACCAAAUUCAUUAGUGAGUGCUACGUUUGCCGCUGCUCUGUCAAGUUCUCACUAACCAGGAGAGACGGCGAUUCGAAUCGAAUUCCUAUCCAACUGGAGGGUUAUUCCUAGCACUCACCCAAGCAUCCCCUGCCGGAGAGCCAACGGGUCACCUUUGGUACAACUCAGGAAUCGCGGCUCCGAUCAGCGCCGCACUCCUAGGGCUACCACUCUGCCAGGGAGGUCAGGAAUUUAAACUCACCUGCCUUUGGACUUACGCCCCCGCACACCGCACUUCCUCCGGUAGUGCGCACUUUAUACUUGCCGGUCUUCCGGCCUGAGUCAUACUACUCGGCUUCGCGGUCGGAACGAGUUAUCCGGCCAACUAAGUGUUAGGCAUGCGUUCAACAUGACAAGAGGACGUACAACGAUCGGUCCUUAGCUGCCACAGACGGAGUUACUACAAACUUGCAAAACUCCGCCCGGCUUAAGUCAAGUUAAUCAGGUUCCAUCCACGAUAGCACAUAUAGACCAUCGUGAUCCGACAUAACCCUAUAUCGCGCAGGUGACAGGAUAUCACCCGACUUCUACUGAUUAAAGCAUGGCUAAGCUGCUACUCGAUCCUAACUCUACAACCAGGGUGUGGAGAGUUAUCUGGACAAGGAUAGAGUAGAAUGCAGAAAAAGUUACAUCACAACUCCUAUACGUAAUGCAUCAAUAGAUAUAACAUAUUAAGUAAACCUUCGAAAAUAAAGGGAGACUUAGAAUGCUCCGGGGCUUGCCUUUCAUGAACGAGGCCGGCUCGUGAUUCGGGCACUCAACUUCUUCUUCGGGCUCCUCGAGUCCGGCUUGCUGGACCUCCACCUCUUGGCUGCCCUCCUGACCUUCGGGAUUCGCCUGCAGCUCGUAGGAGGCUGUCGCGUCCGAUGCACCUAUUGCAUGCUCGAACAAUAAGAAGAUGCACAUGCUAAAGAUGAAUGCUUGAUAAUACAAGUAACUCACUGGACACUCAUUUACGGAGCAAAAGUUAUACAAGCUCACACAAGUAAACAAGUUAGCUUAGCCCAAAACCUAUCCUGAUACUAAAUCAGCAAGCAACACAAAACAGGAGUAACCUGGUAAAUAAAUCAUAACUAAUGAUAGACAGAUCCAACAAACAUAAGUAAAGACAUUCUGGAAAGCUUAUGAAAUUGUCUACAAAUCAUCUUUAAACAUCACAGCACGAUUCAUACAUUAAACCAGUCAUUUAAACAAUGUUUCAGGUUCUGUCCCAGAAAAACAGAGAGCACCUAUUUCUGGAACCUAACUUGGAACAGCCAUAACUUUUAAACUACUGGACCAAUUUAUUCCAAAUUUAAACCACAGCUAGCUCAAUACGUUUACUACAACUUUGAUUUAGACAAGUUGCCCCGAAAACCAAAUUAUCAUUAAGCAAAAGUUAAAUUGCUCCCUUGCUGUCCAGAACAGCCUUUAACCCUAUAAUUAAUUAUUUAAUGACAUGAACAAAACAUAAACCAUGCCAACCACAUGGCUUAUGAGCACAAGCAUAUUACAAGGUUGCCAGAACAUCAGAUGACAACCCCCCAAACAUUUACUUAACAAGACAUUUAUUAAUUAAUUCUAGAUAAGAGCAUAAUCACAAGCUACUAGUCAAAGUGCUCAGAAAAAUCUACAAAAAUUACAGAAGCACAAGGAUAGCAUCAAAGCAUCACUAUAAAAAUUUCACAGCAAUAGCACAUACCAAAUUAAAGAUAUGUAUUUAACAUGUAACUAGGUGCUUAUUUCAUAAAUUGGAAAACAUGACUUAUAUGGUGUCAAUCAACCGAUUUCAGAUUAUUUAUAUCUUAGGAAUACCAUAAACAUGUUUACUACCAAAGUAGAACACCAGCAUAAGCACCAAUUAUUUUAUAUGAUUUAAUUAAAGAAACAAGCCACAUUUCAAUCAUAAAUUACAUAUCAAAACUGCAUUACUCCAAAAAUCAUGAAAUAUUUAUCAAAGCACUCUAAUACCAUACAGAGACUACCAUAAAAUUUUCAUGGCAAACUAAGCAGUAUAACGAGAGAUAUGAAUUUAUCCAUGAAUAACAAGAUUAAAUACUUAAUAAAUAUUUUCCCAGAAAAUAUGGUUCAUUUUAUAUUUUUAUUAAAAACUAGUCAUCUCAAGGAAUACCACAAACUUUGUUUCACAAUUUUUGGAUCUCAGAAACAGGAGAUAUGAUUUUUACAAAAACAGCUCAAACCCUAAUUUAAAUAAAGGAGAAGGAGAGACUGACAGAGGGGACCCGCGAGUCAACGGACCCCACCUGCCAGCGACCCGGAAGCAGGGGCGCGACUUGACCGCCGGAGAUCUCGUCGACGGCGAGGUCUCGGCACUGGCCAAGGGCACCAUCGUGCUCUCCACAGCAUUACGCAUUGAGUGGUACCCAAAACCCUAACUCUACUGGACUCUAGGCACCUCGCCCUCGCGAAUGGCGGCACCGCGGUGGUGCGCGGCCGACUGCCGGCGUCUCUGACCGGAGACAGAGCGGAAGAGGAUGCGGACGAGCAUCAGCAUGACCUAGCGGAGCUUUAGGGACAAGAAUGAGGAGGAAUGGUGGACUAGAGAGCCCUGGCCACGACGCCGGUGACCAUGGCGGAGCUCCGGCGAGGCAAGCUCGCGACGGAGAAGGCAAUGCGGGCUCACCGAGGCUCGGCAGUCGCAGCCAACUUGACGACGGUGAAGUGGAGAGGCUGGCGGAGCACUGGGCAGAGUUGCUUCGCCGGAGACACGGAGAUACGCGCGCGCGAGCUCGCCGAAGCAACGGCGGCGACGCGGAGACAACGACGCACGCGAGAGGGAGUGAACCGGGAGUGGAAUGGCGCUGUCCACGCGACCGGGGGCGCCGUGGUGAGCUGUAGAACGCGUCGAGGACUGACGUGCGGGACCAACGGCGACGUACGGACGCCACGGGUCCAGACAUGCGGCGACACCGGCGAGCUCCCCCUGUCUGACGGCGGCUCCAUUCAGUUCCCAAACCGACUGAAACUUGAUUUUGCACGACGAUUAACUCCUAAACCACUCGAUGAUUUUGCUGGCUAAUUGCUCCAUGCUAGAGAGCUACAUGAGUACUCCAACAUUGCUUACUAGAUCAAAGCUUGAUUCGGCCUAGAAUUCAAACUGGAAGAUGAACAAUACCCCCUCGAGCAAACUGCAGAGAUUCCAGACUUAGAAAAUUUUCUAAGUGUUGGAAACAGCCCCAAAUCUGCCUUGUGGGCCACUUUUGAGCUAGUUGUGAUCAUUUUCAUGAGAUGGCCAUAAAAAAACUUUUGUUCCUUAUAAAAUUUGCUACAACUUUGCUGUAGGAAGUUUUGACAUGCAAAUAUUUUAUGAAGCACUUUUUAAAAUCCUAAAGAAAAGAGGUUUUUAGGACCUAUUUACACAAGCAUGACUUAAAGGCAUAUUUUGGAGAAGUGAUCAACAUGAACAUUGUUCCCAAGGUUUAGUUAAGCAUAGAUAAACUAAUUACCAAGGCAUAGAGCACAAACACAAGCAUGGUUCACUCAAACAUAUGCAUAGGAAGCCUAUUUAAGCAAUUUACAACACAUUUAUGCAUAGAAUGACAUGGCUCAAGAUAGAUGAUGAUCAUGAUAUGCUUUGAGUAGAUGAUGAUGCUUAUGCUAUGCACAUGAUUAAUUCUACCAUAACACUGGGGUGUUACAGUGGUAUUUUUGGUAUGAGGCAUAGUGGCAUUGCCUUCUCUCUCACCCUACUCUAAUAAGAUUUUGAUAUCUGGAGCUCAUAGGUGGGAGACAGCUAAUACAUACUUACAAGACAUUUAUUGCAUAGUCAAACCGUGGAUCCAAAAGAACAAGUCAAUAAGUCAAAUCAAGAUGUGCAUGUGUGGUGAAUGACUGGUGUAUGGUGAUGCUGGUGAUAACAAUGGUGAAAGUCUAAUUCUACUUGUGCUCUUUUGAGGGAUACAUACCUUUCUUGCUCUUUUAAAACUUUUUUGAGGAGAAUGAGAUUCUCUAUAUUUUCUUUUUCUUUUCUCUCAGGUGGGUAUCUUGUACCCCUAAUUCUACUGUCGGACACUUGUCCAUUUUUACCUCUCGUCUCACUUUUUCUGUUCUUUUGAGGUUCCGGGCACUUGCCCCUUUUUAUUUUCUCGUAUUCUUUCUUUUUUUCUCUUCUUUUUUUAGAGCAUUCAUCUCCUAAAAUAAUAUAGCAAGUGGUAGUAACCAAGAUAACUUGAGCAUUUAUUUCACAGGGAAAAACAGAAAUGUUUUUGGCUAUUGUCUCUCGGAUUAGGAGUAGAAUAUUUUUAGGCGUUUCUGGAGAUGGAAAUGGGUGGUUAUAUGUGGAUGCGUACUUCUGGACUAGAAGCAACAUGUGUGAGUGAACGUGCAAGUGAAUCUUGAUUUAACUACAUGACAAGCUCCUAAGGGUCUACACAACUUGACCACACUCAAUGCUCAUAAGUAGUAAAAAGUAAAUGUGUGGCUCAAAGUCUAGCAAGCAUGUAUAUAUGGCUGCGGUAGGAAUUUAAACUCUCAUCAUACCGGAACUCAUCAUGCAACAUUUUAAAGAUUUUUAAAGAUAAAAUUCUCCAGAAUUCUAGCAUCUCUAGGAACAGAUAAACAAUAGCUCAACCUUCCCAUAUCGUAUCCGUUAACGACUUAGACUUUAGAUCAAGUACUCUCCCCACAAGUUUAGGUUUAGAGCAAAUCUUCAUUAAUAACAGUCAUGCCUAAACUUGAGAGAGAUUUCAAUUUUGAGAACUAGUCAUGGCAGAACAACUAUUCAUCAUUUCCAUAUGAGAGCUUAUCAUGAGGGUUCAUAGCAAUUUUUAUUUAUUUAUUUAUUUAGCAAACUAAGCAAAGAUAUAUAUAUAUAUAUAAGCACAAAAUCCUUAUUUGGGUUUUUAUGAUUAUGCAUCUUUUUAUUAUUUGAGUAAAGUAUAAACAUGAGUAGAGCACUUAGCUGGAUAAAUGGGGUUGCUCUCCCCCAAGCUGGGUUUUGACGUAAUUCCUUCUGAUGUAGCUAGCAGGUGGCGGAGGUGUUUUUGAAUGUCGGCAGCAUCCUGACAGCGGUUAGGAUGUCCUCCGUCUUCUAGUCUUCUUUGAUCCUUGAAUUCUGUGGAGCUCAAAUAGACAACAAAGCUUUGUGGAACUGAUUAAGUGUUAGCAUAAAUAUAUUGCCUUUAUCAUGUUAAGCCUCCUCAAUAAAUGUUACACUCUUUGGUAGGAUCAUAAAUUUAUUUUUAUAUUUUCAUUUUUAUAGCACAUAAAUAUAUUUAUUUUGCUUUUACGCCACCACAGUGAAUGUACUUAUGGGUUUUAUGCCAUGAGCAUACUCACAUGGGGCUUACUAUUUUUAACAUUUUUAUUUUCUUUUCAAGAUGAUAUGAACCUGAUUAACUAAGCAAACUAUUUUAAAAUAAUCGAAAGGAAAAGGAUAACUACCAAGUUUACCUCUUGGCAAGGCGUUUGGUGUUUUUAAGUCCUCCGAACGGGACUCUCUGUUUUCUCAUUCGUCCUGGGAUUUGGUGGAUGGCGUAGUCGGUGGUUCCGGCGGCGCCUGGUCUUCAUGUAUAACUAUCUUCUCUCUACACACCUGACUCGGUGCUACGGUCUCCUCAGGACAGUUCUGUUCAAGCUGUAUGUCUUCAGACAUUACCACUUCUCCUUCGUAGUCUGCCCAUCCGUCCUUGAUGAUUUGCCUUCUCUGGUUGCGGUUGCGUCGUCUUCUUCUUGUCCUGACCUGCUUAGGGUCUUCAACUAUAUAGUUCGGGUCAGUAAAAUAGCGGCGUACCUUCUCAGAGGUGAAGUGCAUGUGGACUUCUCCAGUUGCAAUGUAGAUGAUUGCUUUAACGGUGCUGAGGAACGGUCUUCCAAGGAUGAUGGGUGGAUCGUACUUGUCUUCAACCUUUCAGAAUGUCUGAUCUGCCAUCUGGAGCUGAAUGUAUAUUGGUUUCAGGGGCAUGGUUCUGAAUAGGAGCUGAUAGGUGACUGGGUCGUCCUUUUUGGUCAGGAACGGUGACUUAAAUCGACGAUCUUGACCUCCUUGAACUGCAGUGACCAUCUUAGCUGACUCGGUUCACAUUUGCUUGUUCCUGUUCCUCCUGUUGGUCCUCUUCCUUGGUUCAUGUCAGGAUUGCUCUGAGAUUUGUAUAGUCUUGUUCUUGAAGGAAAACAUCUCCUUCCUUCCCUUGAUAUAGAAACUCCUGAGGUGUUCAGGAAUGGCCUCCCUAGGAUGGGUGCCCUCUCAUCAGUACCAGUCUCUAUCACCACGAAGUCUGCUGGGGCAUACAAGGUACAAACUCGGACGCUGAGGUUCUUCAAUAUUCCCUUUGGGAAACUUAAUGUCUUAUCUGCAAGCUGCAAACACAUGGUUGUUUUUAGGAAAGGAUGUGUAAAGAAUUUUUCAUAGAUUACCCUGAGCAUAAUGUUGACGUUGGACCCAAAGUCGCAGAAUGCUUCCGGGAAGUUCACCAUGCCGAUGGAGAUCGGGAUGACGGGGCGGCCUGGAUCGCUUCUCUUGACCGGCAGAAGGUCAGUAGUAACUUCCACAAUGGGUUUACUCCAGUAAUUACGACCUCCAGCAUCUCAGGGCAGUGAUUGCCUGAGUGUCCAGUAUCUCCAGUGUGUGUACUCGUUGAUCUAGGUUCUUUACUUGGUGGAGUCUGGGAGUUAUAAAACUCUUUCAUAUUUUUCUUGAAGUGUACCUGCUCAUAAAGACAAGGCAGAGAUCAAGUGCAUGGGCCCUGUUGGUGGAAAAACACCAACAGAACCAAAAGUGUAUUUGUUCUCUCUAACAUUAAGCAUAGUGAGCAAGACAAAGUUGAUGAAUAAUAAGAUCAUGAGUAUAACAUUUAAAACAAUUGUCGGAUCAGAUCACUCAACCUAAUGGAAAGAUAAUCUAUCUAUAUUUAUGUUGUUUUUUAUAAUAUAUAUCUUCCAAAGAUUGAGUGUGCAAACAUUUUAACUUAUAUGAUUAGGAGUGUGAGAUCACAAAGGUGAAAGGACUAGACAUAUUGAAUCGAUUGGGUUGGUUAAUCUAGAGUUGUAAAUCAUACAUGUUUGUCUCUUUUAUUCAUGUGAACGCUAGAACUAAGGACAAGCUUAUAAAAGUGAUAGUCAAGUACCUUAAGAUGUUACCUUACUUGAAGAGUGAUGGUGCAGUAUCACCUUGUGGAAGCUUUCCUUUCUUAGCGGUUGUGCAUCGUGUUUGUGGCAGCCUCCAUGGAUCAUCUCUUGUGAGCUAUGCCUUCCUUGUGUAAAUUGUUAAACUUCAUGUGUCUCUCUCUUUGUCUCCAAUGUGAGUUUAUCUCAAGACUUCCCAGGUCGAUAUUGAAAGUUUUCCUGCAGGGGUUAGUCCAACAAAAUAUCCAAUAUCUACUAUAGCAUACUAUUGGCUCAAAGAUCAACCUAGACACCAUGUCUAAUUUGAUUUAGGAGGGCAUUUUAACCUAAGCAUCAUGCUUAAUUUAAACUCUCUUGGAAGUAAGAUCAUCAGCCCCAAACUAAGCACCAUGCUUAAUUAAGAGAUAAAUGAAACUGCUCCAAACCUAGACAUAUACUAAAGCAAAUAGAGGUAGCAUGCGAGCAUUUAUAGAGAUCUACUCAAGUGGAGAUGAAGUAGUGUGAUUAGUAUUAAACAAAUUGAACAUGUCUCAAAAGUAGGGACAACCAACGUAGCAACAUGGUAAAGGAUGUUUUAAUGUAAAGUAUUCCCCCAAGCUUGAAUUUUGCAAAAUUCAAGUUUGGAUGAAUUUAAUUCAGUGUUGUAUGAUGAUUGGUUGGACAUACCUUGUGCUUGUCAUUCAUCCGAUCUUCUUGCUCCAAUCCUGGAAAGGUUAGUGACAAGAAUACCCGAAGGAAUUUUUUUUACAAUUAUCCUUAUAUGCUUAAUUCACAAGGUAAUAUUGCAAAUAAUUCAAAGCUCAUGUUACGAUCUGAUCAGUGCUUAUUUUAGGACACUAAGCUUGUCCUUGGGAAACCAUCAAUUUAUGUCGGCGAAGUGGUUUCCCCUCCAAUGCUGACCUAUAUCAAGAUCAACUCAACGAGAUCUGCAAUAUUUAAUAUAGACAUAUGCAUCGACAACCGCCCUUUUAAAGUUUUUAUAAAUAGAAAGGAUGAGGGGGUUGGAGAUCUCGAAUGUGGUGAUGUUGGAAAAAUCAAUGGAUUGGGAAGAUGUUGCAUAUGAGCAUGGAGUAUAUAAAUAUCCGUGGAAAUAAUCCAUGCUCAUUAAUGCUUAGAGUGAAAUCCAUGUGGUAUGGUGAUAGUGAUAAGGUGAGUGUGGUAAAAAGGAAAAGAAAAAGGAUACACGGACUACUUGGUUCGAAACUAGCACAGCUACUGUUCCCUGGCAACGGCACCAAAAAGCUUGUUGGGUAUUUUAAACGCAAACAGAAAAAUCGGCAAGCGCACGGAUACCGAUGUAGCCUUCACCCGGGAGUAUUCCAGAGUAUCGAUUUUCCACAGGGAACGUGAGUGUACUAAUUAAGAAUCAAGAUCACCCAAGGAUAACUAUAUAAGUAUUUUUGGUACGAAAAGAGGAAGUUUCGUGAGAGUUCUCUAGUUGAUAUAAGAAUAAAGAAUUACUUCAAGAUUAUCUAUAUCGGGACAUCAGAGCACUAACCACAGAAAGAGAUGAGAAGGGGCUAGGAAGGUCUGACUACAGUCCUACAAACACCGAUCCGAACGAGGUGGAAUAUGUCGACCGUUAGGGCUGUCACUACCCUAAGGCUACCACAACAAUCCGCAGGAUUGGGUGCAAUUCCAGGUAACUGCAAGACUAAACACCACGUCUAAUCUAUUAAUUACUACUCUAGCGUUAUAAAGACUAGGGCACUUGAUGCAAGCGGGAAUCCAAUAAAUAACUUGAAUGUAAACGAAAGUAAUUAGAGAACUCAGGAAUUAUGAAUUGAAGAACCUGGAGAACGAUGAAGAACGAACCAGUUGCUGCAAAAGUACAAUGUUGAGGAAGAUCCGACAGAUCCGGCUCCUCCUCCGCCCUCCUCUUCUCUCUCCCUAUUUUCUAGAUUACAACUAGAACUAGAACUAGAGGAACUAGAACUAGAACUAGAUGAACUAGAACUAGAACUAGAUGAACUAGAGGUAGAACUAGAAGAACUAACUUUGAUCCUAUAGAAGAGGUAUGAUCUCCAGGGGACAGGGGGUCUAGUUUUAUAGUCCCUUCAAGUGAAUAUGGGCUGUUGGAUCAAACCGACAUUGAUUGAACGGUUAUCCUUGAUCCCUUAGGUCGGUGGAGCACGAUCCGCGAGUUUGGAUGUGAUUGGGCAGAACUCCAAGGCGGGCGCCCUCAGGACUUGGGCGGGCGCCCUGUCCCUGAGCCCUCUCGGCCUCCGCUUCCUUCCCGUGGGUUCUAGAGUCUUCUAGAUGAUAGAAAAUUGCACGGCACGUUAAUAUCUCUAUGUAAACCCGACGUGUGGGCCUUUCUUCCAUAAUUCCUGAUAACCCCCUGCAGAAAUAGACAAACACCAAAACUCGUGGAAUUCUGUCGAAUAAAAUCCUAAGUCUAUGUGUUGGUUCCAUUUAGAUCCUUUCCCAUGAUUGGUUGACGGUUAAAUGUGAGCAUUAAGGACCGUCAACAAGAGGCAAGCCCCAGAGAAUUCUAAGUCUCCCUAUUCCCGCUAACUUAAUUUGUUAUAUCAUGAUUGUUUCAUAGUGCUGCAUUUAAGUGAUAGGAGUUGCUUGAUACCAUUGAUGCAUAUUUACUCCUUGAUAUCACCAACUGUUUAUCUACCUUGUCCUAUGUAGAUAGGCUCAGAGUCUAUGCUUAGCUUGCUUAGUACGGUAGAAGUCGGGUGAUUUCCUGUCACCUGCGAGAUAUAGGUGGAUACAAGAAUGUUAGCUAUCAAUGCUAUGGUGAAAAGUAACCAAGUAUGGGAAAGAAACCGAGACCAGGCAGGGUCUUAUGAUGGUGUUGACUGUAGUGCCCCUGCCUGUGUCGAUUAAGGACCAAUCGUUGACGGCCCUCAUGUCAUGUUGAACGCAUGCCCCACACUUAGCUGGAAGGAUAAGUCAUUCCGACUGCGAAGCCUGAACACUAUCGAGGCCGGGAGUCGAGCCUCCAUGCGUUGUAUUGGUGAUGGUUGAGAAGAACGACGAGGGUGCGGCGUGCAACCUUGGUAUACCUUGGAUACCUCGGUCGCCGGAAUAGUCCUUGGGUACUGGCGGUGCCUGCCAAACCCGUGAAUUGGUCCUCGAUAGUGUAAUAUGGUGAUCUGUAGCUCACUUGAUCAGUGAGCAUGUUUUGUGUGGGGAAUAACUCGCCAGCUUGUUCGAAAUCAAUUUGAAUCACCAUCGCUCCUGGAUAGUGAGCACUUAACAUGAGCCCUGUCCUUGUAGUAAGGACUAUGAAACACUUGGGUUAUGAUAAGUGAUUAUCAUAUCACAACAAAUUGUUUGUAAUAGUACAGGUGCAAAUCUAGAUGGUAGGUAUUAACACCUAAAUUGAGCUAAAUAAAAGAAAAGGGGAUGUCAGGACAUACUUCUAGAGGGUUAAUGCUUUUACGCAAAAAGGGUUCAGCUACCCCACUAUACAGCCUUCAUAAUCCUUGAAGAGUCUUUUAUUUUUGGUUUAUGAUGGGUAAGUCUAGCUGAGUAUAUUCUUGUACUCAGGGUUCCAUUCCCAUGUUGUCUUGCAGAUGGUCAAAUGUACUAUGGGUAGUGCAUUCACUCCUUGUACCCAGCAAUGGGUGAUGACUAGACCAAGGGCGAUGGUCACUCUACCUCUUCUUUUGCUGUUGUGGGAAUGACCGAACUAUGGCACUGUAUCAGACUAAGUGUGUGUGUUAUUUUUAAACUAUGAUGCUUCCGCUACUCUUGAACUUGGGUUGUAAUAUCUAUAUUUGAACUCUGAUGUAAUCUCUGAAUGUUGCGAUCUGACUGUACUUGUGGAUGGUGAUUGCUGGACUUAUUACGAUCUUGGCUAUAUGUAUGAUUGUGGUUUGAAAUCCUUCGAGAUUUCACGGAUUACCAGGAUUAUAUGGGCUUAAGCUUGGCAAGUUGACUGUGCAAAUGGUUCCUAUCAAGCAUAAACUCUUAUAAUUUGGGUGGUUCUGUUACAAGAGGAAAAUCAUUUUUCUUUGUUGCCUUGUUGAGUUUUCUAUAAUCUAUGCAUAUUCGCCAUCCAGUGACAGUUCUUUGGGGGUAUUAAUUCAUUUUUAUCAUUUUGGACAACUGUCAUUCCUCCCUUUUUAGGUACAACUUGCACAAGACUUACCCACUCACUAUGUGGUGAGGAUAUAUAAUCCCUGCAUGCAAAAGCAUUAAGACCUCUUUUUUCGCUACUUCUCUCAUCGUAAUCUGGAGUCUACGCUCAGGCUCUCUUGAAGGUGUAAUUUCUAGAUUGGUUGGUAUGCGAUGAGUGCAAAGGACAGUGCUAAUCCCUUUUAGGUCUUGGAGUGAAUAACAGAAAGCAGCAUGGUGUUUUCUAAAACAGAUAUUAGUUUAUAAGUCUCUUCAUCUGAGAGUUUAUCACUUAUAAUCACAGGAUAUUUUUGAUCAUUAUUUAGAAAAACAUAUUUAAGUCUAGAAGGUAGUGGUUUAAGCUCAAUAGGAUGUUUAAGUGGCUCCAGUAAUUCAUCAAGAGGUUCAGGAUCAAUAGGUUCCUCUUCCUUUUCAUUGAUGAAGGACUGGGUAUCAUCUUCUAAAUCUGGUUGAAUAAAAUUAUCAAAUUCAGAUGUCUUAACCUCUUCUAUCUGAUCUAAUUCAGGAAGGGGUUCUGCUUUAACUUUUACUGUUGUGACCCAAUACCAAGAAAAGUGUUUGCUUUCUUUCACUAGAACUAGAGAUAAGAAGGUAUACCAGAAGACUCUUUUCUCGAGAUUAAUUUUGGAAGGAGAACGUGACCCUACAAUUCAGAUCCAACAUCAAGCUAUGAGUGAAACUAUCAGCAAAGCCAUGGCGUCAACCUUGGCUAAUCAUAAUGAAAUAUUACUAAAUGGUAUCACUAAUGCCAUUAAGGAAGAUUUCUAUCUAGAUAUACAGAAUAGUGGACUGACAUCUUCUGUCCUAGCUGGGAAUAGGCAGACGUUCGUUGGACAAACAUCGGGAGAUCAAUGUUGGCAUUUCUUAACGUCAUCACUAAGAACAGGUUUUAAUCCGUCCUCAGCAACAAUGUCAGAAAUGUCGUGAUAACACUUACUAAUGCAAUCACCAAGAUUAGAGUAUAAAUCUAUCCUAAGCAACGGUGCCAGAAAUGCUUGUUAGCGUUUCUUAGCAUCGCUACCUAGAAUAGGGUUCUGCUCUACUCAUGAUAAUGACAUUGGCAGUGUUAUAUUGGCAGAUCCGUAGCAUCACUACCUUGAAUAGGAAGCUAGAUCUACCUUCCCGAUAACGGCGCCUUAUUACCGUUAGGGUAGGGUUCCAGUUCUUAAUCAUGGUAGUGGCACUAGGAUUGCCAUGUUGGUAUACCUUAACAACUCACUAGCUCGGCGCAUGUCUAGCAACAGUGUUAAGUAUAUACCGGGGUGAUAGUUUCUUAGGUUUGGAGUUUAAGUACCGCAAGCGGACGGGAAUUAUCGUGUAGCAUUUCAACCUGGGGAUUUACCGAGUGUCGUAUUUAUAGGUUGGCACUAAGGAAGGCUUAAUAUGUUAAGGAUUCUAAGAUAAGCAUAGAUCAAAGUAAUUAUGAUAGCAAUAAUGGAAUCAAAGGUCAUAGCAGGUGAUAAACAUUUAUAUGUAGAAUAGUGAUCCAUCACAAUCUAGGCAUGGCAUAUGGGCUAAGGAAUAAAAAGAGACUAAGAAUGAAUUGAAUCAAAGAAUAGACAAACAACCUAUUGGAGCAGAUAUGGUCCUAGAUACAGAUCAUGUCAUAGAACAAGUUAAUCAUGUAAUUAUACUACUUAGAUCUAGUCCUGUGUUUAGAUGGUUUGGGAGGUUACGCAAGUACUGGUCUGCCAGCAACCUCCGCAACUAUUUAGACUCCUACACCCUCGCCGAACGUGGGGGAAUGCCAAGGACGGACAGGGCUAUCACCACCUGCCGCCAUCCCCUCAACCGUGGACUAGGACAAUGCAUUUACCCGGCCUUUAAACCCAAGCACCAUGCUUACAUGCAAAGAACCUACUCGGACUCCCCGAGGUCCCCGACCCUACGGAUCGACAGGUAAGAAGCCCGAGCCUACUCAAAAGAGCAUGAUAAACCCCCAUCUUCACACAAAGCUAUUUCUAGGCAAUUAAUUAACAUGAAGCAAUUAGACUAAAGUCCUAGCUGAGAAUAAUACAACAUACACUUAGCACUAGUUCAUAUAAUACACUACUAGCCCUAGGGUAGCAUUAUACUAUAAGAACAAUAUACUAAAAUGUAUGUCAUAUCAUUUCUACUAGAACUAUAUUCUAGUUCAUAUGCUAGCAUCAUAAAACAUGGCCUAUGAUCUAUAUCAUAUACCAUAGCAUAAGAACAAAACUCUAGUUCAUAUGAAGAACUAUAUCGGACAUGAGAAGGCAUGGACUUGGAGUAAAGAUAUUCUUUAUUCAUACCCAAGUUUCUCUCCAAGGAGCCAAGCCCUCCUUGAUAGCUCACCCAACUCUCUCUCUAAAAGCUUAAAGGGGAAAACUAAGAAGAGGUAGUGCCCAAAUGCCUUGAAGGUGGAGUGUUGAUUGUGAAUGUGAUGAGAUGAAUGGAGCCUCCCUCUCCCUCUUCUUAAAUAGGUGGGGAAGGUCGGUUCCCCAGGGUGUAAACUGCAAUUUGCACACGGGGACUGUGGGAGGAUAGGCUCAGCACCGCCUCUGCGAAAGGUGGUGCCGAGAUGGGCUGGGCUAGGGUCGGCCGACCCUAGGGUGCGGCCGCCCCCUGGUGGGCCCCGCUGGCCCCGGCCCGAAGCCCGUUGCCUUCCUCUCGGGCCCCUGAGUCCAGAUCCACCUGCAAAUUGAUGCACUUCUAUAUUGGGCUUUUGGGUACUUGUUUAUUUGUGCAUUUUUUGACGUGUCGGAUUGCGCCUUUUUAUUUGCUUUCCACCUGUAUGCCUGUAUAUGAUCUGCAAAACACAACUUGCACUACAUGUGGAACUUGGUAAGCAUUUAAUAAGUAUAUGUGAGUAAAAUACAUGCUUUUUUUCCUUUGCAUGGACUAUGUUGGCGGGGUAAAUAUGUCAUUAAGAACCGCCAACAAACUCCCCCAAGCUUACCCCUUGCUCGUCCUCGAGCAAGAAGCUAAGAUCUUAGUUGUUGAUCAGGAGUUGAUACAAUAUUUUCACUUCUAUCCAGUACAUACCUUCAAACAAGAAUUUUCCUUUGAAUUUUGAACAGAUAUGUCUUGGGGCUUAUUGCUCAUACUUUGGGUCCUUAAGCAUUUGUAGGAUGGAUUGGAUCAGAUCGAGUGCUAUAUCCCUAGUUCUUUACUUCACCUUUGUUCCGGAGUUUUUGAUUUUCAAAACUUAGCACAUUUAUUUGUCAAAUUAAACAAUGGAUCCAAAGAGAAAGUUAAUCAUACCAUUGAAUUUUUGAAAACUUUUUCUUUUCCAUCAUUCUCUUUUUGUCUAUUAGAGACACAUGGCUAUGUGGCUAAUUCUACUGUUGGGCACUUGCCCAUUUUUUUUUCGGGGUUCCGGACACAUGUCCCUUUUUAUUUCCUCGUGUUCUUUCUUUUUGAGGUUUUGGACACAUGUCCCUUUUUAUUUCCUCAGAUGCUUUUUUUUUCUUUUUCAUAGCCAUAUGCCUUCUAACAAACUUUUGAGAUGAUAACAUAAUGAAAUAUUUUUGUUUUCAAUGGUAUGACAACCUCUCAAAGGGUCAACAAAGCUUAAUCUAACUCAAUGUGAUUAUUUUAUUUUUGUAAAAACUCCAGAACUAUAGUGUUGUUUAGAACAGGAUACUAGCAGCUCAGAUCAUCACAAAUAUAUCCAUUAAUUACUUUAGACUUUAGAUAGAGCAUUUUGCAACCCACGCAUUUAAUCAUUUUAUUAAUUUGGAGAAUUCAAGGUUGAAACUAGAUAGUGGAAAGUAAUUACGAUAGAGCAACUAUUCAUCAUUUCAACAAGGAAGAAGCAUAUAUCUUACAUCACAUAUAAGAGUGGAAUUAUAUUUUUGUAUUUUUAGCAUUUUUCAUUUUUUUAUAUGCAAUAAUUAAAACAUGAAUUUAACUAAUGGAAAUUUCAUAAAGUAAACAUGCUAAUUUAAAAUUAAGGAUGCAUGAAAAUAAAUAUGCAAUGCAGAUAACCUCAGGAUUGGGGGUCCUCCCCCAAGCUAGCUUCUGGCCUACUAAUCAGGGUUGUACCCCAUGUACCGCCAGAAGUCUUGGGACUGUUUCAGCAGCUGAUCUUGGUGAGCUUGCAUUUCUUCUUGCUGCUGCUGGUGCCAGGCCUGUUGUUGCCGUUGCCAUAGCAACCCUUGCUGGUGCCACUCCACGGCCUGCUGGUGGUGCGCAUCGGUGGUUUGGAUGUGUUGUUGGAGAGUAUCCUGGAUCUCAUCCGUGCGCACCACCAGUCCCCCAAGCUGAGCUUGGAGGUGCUCCAAGUCGGUUCGGCCUACUGUGGAGGCCGAAGGAUGUUCUUCUGGUGAUUCGGCCCUCCAGCGCGAUUGUUGUUCCCAAGCGCUGGAAUCCGCCUCAGCCCACCCCUCAACACCUUGUGUCGGCAUGGGUGUGUCCCACCCUGACUCGUAGAUCGGCUGUGUACAGGAGGGUGGUGGCUGGGAGCUGGAUCCGCCGAUGUCCCUGCCAGAAACACUACGCCUUCGCGCAGUUUCAGUUGUCUGCACAUCAAAGGUUAGUCUCCCAGAGUUAUACAAGCGUAGACCCGAGUUAGGUAACCAGAUUACGUUUGUAUACCCUGGGAAAUAAAACACAAGACCGCCCGCAUUAUCUCUUUUCAAAUGGUGACCUUGGAUAAGAUAGGUUUCAUUAAUCAUUGUGCGUGAAAUUUGAAUAUAAUCAAGAUCUUGCCCUUCCAACGCACCAAUGGCCAUGGCCACACGUGUUAUGAGUGAAGUCAAAGAGAUAGGGGUGGUUGUCUUGAUUAUAUCUAACCAAUGCCUUACAAUUUCUUGCACAGGUGCAACUUUUAUUUUCAUUCUAGCCGCGUAAAGUAACCUCAUUUCAUUUACUCGCACAAUGCGGGUAUCCUGGCUAGGAAACAUUGUUAUGGAUAGCCAAAGGUGUAAAAACCUUAGAGUGGGGUGUUGCAUGUGGGCAUUUCUAGGAUAGUAUUUUUGAGUGUGAACUUGCCCCCUGAUUUCUUCCCAAAACUUAUCCUUAUUAAACCCUUUUGUGGCAUGCACUAAAUCAAGAGAGCAUCUUUGACGAAAACCAAGGUAUUUGCUUAAGUCUUUCCAUAAGAUAGCAUAUUCAUUUCCAAAUAAAUGAACAGAAAUACCUUCAUAUGUUUCUCUUAAAGUGCAUAGGUAUUGAAUGGUAAGGGUAUAGGAUCCAUACUCAGUUAUGGGGUGAAUGUUGUCCCACCCGGCGGCUUUCCAUAUGGAGAGGAAUUCAGAGUCCAUACCGAUGUCGGAGAGGAGCGAGUCGUCGUAGACCGGCGUAUGGAGGAAUAUCCGGUCCUUGAGCAUGUUGUAGGCUUGAUGUUCUCGAUCACCCACCAAGUCGAAUUGGUGGGCUCCUCCUUCAUGUUGUUCCUCCUCUUGUCCCUCUUCUUCUUCCACUACCUCUUCCUCUACCUCCUCGAUCUCUGGGGAUUCUUCCUCAGCAGAAGGACUCCAUCGGGGAUCGGUGUAGUAUGAGGAAGUGUUCCGAUAGGGGCACUUCGAGGAUGACCUCGUGACUCUUUUAAACGCCCUGAAACUGUUUUGCCAAACCUUUUCAUGGUGCAAUGCUUGCACAAGUGGAUAGCUAGCUUGGAUAGGCGAUUUUUUUGUGAGGUGUGAAAGUGUUGCUUGGAGAGUGAAGAUGGAAGUGAUGAAGUGAAGUGAGAAUGGGUGGAGAGGGCCACACCCGAACCCCUGGUAUUUGUAGUUUGAAAAUGCAGGUGGAUUCGGGGUGAGGGCAACGGCUAGGAGCCUCCCCCAGCAGGCCGUUGGCUAGAGCCGUUGGGGGGCGGCCGCCCCCUGGUGGGCCCCGCUGCUCCCCAGCUUUUGUCUCCAUCUUCCAACGGCUAGUUUUUGAAGUUUUCCGUUGGCAUAUUGAUGUUGAUGCACUUCUAGCUGAAAAAAUGACUUUUGCAAUUUCCAACAUUUAUUUGUAAAAUUUUUAUUUUCAAAAAAUUUAGAAAAAAUAUUUUUCUAUUAUUUUAUUUUAUUUCCUAGCUGAAAAUGAAUUUUUGAAUAUUUUUCAAUUUUUUUAUAUAUAUAUUUUUUAAGAUAACUACCUAUUACCUUCGGCGAAGGCUCAAAAAAAUGUUUAUAGUCCUUUUUGAGAAGGACUCUCUUCCGUCGUUUGAAUUUCACCCUGCAUGGUUAGUGGGAGAGUUCUCGGGUUGCCCCGGGAGUCCACCCGCAUUCUCAGUAGGAAUUGCAGCGGCGAUCUGAGCUAGUUGUGUUUCUAUCAUUUUAUUAAAGCUCAGUUGGUUUUGUACGGAAGAGGCAAGGUUUUCUAUUUUUGUAUUUAUGUUUUCUAAAACCUUAUCAUUGGACAGCAACUUUUUAGUUAAGUUUUCAUUUAUUUUAGCUUGUCCAAGAACUAGGUCUUUUAAUGAAGGUUGAUUCGAAUUAAAACUCGAAUUACCUUGGAAUGAAGAGCGUGACUAAUUAUUCCAACCAUUACCUUGGUUGGCGCCUCCUUGUUGGCGGAACCCGUUGUUGAUGUAGGCAGCGUCUUCACGAGUUUCGGGGCAAUCAUUCCCCGAAUGGCCAACUUCUCCACAGACCUCGCACGUCAUGUGUGAGUCUAUGGCCUUCACCGAGUUCGAGGGGUUCUCUUGGUUCCUCUCGGUGAGUUGCUUCAUCAAUAAAUCUAUUUUUGCGGCAAGCAUAUCCGUCUCCUUCACGGUAUGCAUGCCUUUUUGUGUUUUGGCAGCUGGUGGUUGAGUUCUGUCCUCCCCCCAGCUCUGGUGUUCUACAAUCUUCUCGAUUAGGGCCUUGGCCCCGGCGGUGGUAAGUGAUAGGAACGCGCCUCCAGCGGCGGCGUCUAGGUGUCCCUUCGACAUGGGCGUCAGCCCAUUGUAGAAGUUCUGGAGCACCAUCCAGUUCUCCAUGUCAUGAUGGGGGUAGCUUAGGAUGUACUCUUGUAGCCGCUCCCAUGCUUCAGGGAUUGUUUUGCUGGGAUUUUGUUGAAAACUAGCAAUCCUUCCCCUCAAAGCAUUGGUUUUGCUUAUGGGGAAGAACUUGGCGAGGAAUGCCGCGGAGCAUUUUGCCCACGUGGUGACAGCUUCCUUAUCUUGAUAGAACCACCUCUUCGCCUUCCCCACGAGGGAGAAAGGAAAGAGGCGGAGCCGAAUGAAAUCAGGAGUGAUGUCCUUGAUGACAAUCGUGUCACAUAGCUCCAGGAAGUGUUGAAGGUGUGCAUUCGCAUCCUCGCUUGGCAAGCCACACAAUGGGCUCGCCUGCACCAUGGUGAUCAGGCCGGUGCAUAGCUCGAAGUUCUUGCCGGCCGUGUCAACAGCGGGGCCAGUGGCCACGUUGGUGACAGCGGGCACGGAGAACUCGCGGAGUGUCUUCACGGCGGCUAGGAGUUCGUUCGGGGUAGGUGUGGUACCGGCUGGUUCACUUGUCGAUGGAGUAGCAGAAGACGAAACGGUUCGAGACUACCUAGUCCUUAGGAGUGCCUCGGGAUCGGAGAUGUAGUUUUCCGGCAAAGAGAAACCAGGCAUACACUAUUCCUCCUGUUUCAUCCACAACAGGGAGAAAACAGGCAGAGUUAGCCUGCAUAACAAUUGACUCAUUACGCACAUCAGAUUACUUGAUUAUAUUUAUCUAGAAUCAUUUUCAUAUUAGCCAUCCCCGGCGACGGUGCCAGAAAUGCUUGUUGGCAUUUCUUAACAUCAUCACUAAGAACAGGGUUUAAUCCGUCCUCACCAACGAUGUCAGAAAUGUCGUGAUAACACUUACUAAUGCAAUCACCAAGAUUAGAGUAUAAAUCUAUCCUAAGCAACGGUGCUAGAAAUGCUUGUUAGCGUUUCUUAGCGUCGCUACCUAGAAUAGGGUUCUGCUCUACUCAUGAUAAUGACAUUGGCAGUGUUAUAUUGGCAGAUCCGUAGCAUCACUACCUUGAAUAGGAAGCUAGAUCUACCUUCCCGAUAACGGCGCCUUAUUACCGUUAGGGUAGGGUCCUAGUUCUUAAUCAUGGUAGUGGCACUAGGAUUGCCAUGUUGGUAUUCCUUAACAAGUCACUAGCUCGGCGCAUGUCUAGCAACAGUGUUAAGUAUAUACCGAGGUGAUAGUUCCUUAGGUUUGGAGUUUAAGUACCGCAAGCAGACGGGAAUUAUCGUGUAGCAUUUCAACCCGGGUAUUUACCGAGUGUCGUAUUUAUAGAUUCGCUCUAAGGAAGGCUUAAUAUGUUAAGGAUUCUAAGAUAAGCAUAGAUCAAAGUAAUUAUGAUAGAAAAAAUGGAAUCAAAGGUCAUAGCAGGUGAUAAACAUUUAUAUGUAGAAUAGUGAUCCAUCACAAUCUAGGCAUGGCAUAUGGGCUAAGGAAUAAAAAGAGACUAAAAGAAUGAAUUGAAUCAAAGAAUAAACAAACAACCUAUUGGAGCAGGUGUGGUCCUAGAUACAGAUCAUGUCAUAGAACAAGUUAAUCAUGUAAUUAUACUACUUAGAUCUAGUCCUGUGUUUAGAUGGUUUGGGAGGUUACGCGAGUACUGGUCUGCCAGCAACCUCUGCAACUAUUUAGACUCCUACACCCUAGCCGAACGUGGGGGAAUGCCAAGGACGGACAGGGCUGUCACCACGUGCCGCCAUCCCCUCAACCGUGGACUAGGACAAUGCAUUUACCCGGCCUUUAAACCCAAGCACCAUGCUUACAUGCAAAGAACCUACUCGGACUCCUCCGGGUCCCCGACCCUACGGAUCGACAGGUAAGAAGCCCGAGCCUACUCAAAAGAGCAUGAUAAACCCCCAUCUUCACACAAAGCUAUUUCUAGGCAAUUAAUUAACAUGAAGCAAUUAGACUAAAGUCCUAAGUGAGAAUAAUACAACAUACACUUAGCACUAGUUCAUAUAAUACACUACUAGCCCUAGGGUAGCAUUAUACUAUAAGAACUAUAUACUAAAAUGUAUGUCAUAUCAUUUCUACUAGAACUAUAUUCUAGUUCAUAUGCUAGCAUCAUAAAACAUGGCCUAUGAUCUAUAUCAUAUACCAUAGCAUAAGAACUAUACUCUAGUUCAUAUGAAGAACUAUAUCGGACAUGAUAAGGCAUAGACUUGGAGUAAAGAUAUUCUUUAUUCAUACCCAAGUUUCUCUCCAUGGAGCCAAGCCCUCCUUGAUAGCUCACCCAACUCACUCUCUAAAAGCUUAAAGGGAAAAACUAAGAAGAGGUAGUGCCCAAAUGCCUUGAAGGUGGAGUGUUGAUAGUGAAUGUGAUGAGAUGAAUGGAGCCUCCCUCUCUCUCUCCUUAAAUAGGUGGGGAAGGUCGGUUCCCCAGGGUGUAAACUGCAAUUUGCACGCGGGCACUACGGGAGGAUAGGCUCAGCACCGCCUCUGCGAAAGGUGCUGCCGAGAUCGGCUGGGCCAGGGUCGGCCGACCCUCGGGGGCGGCCGCCCCUGUUGGGCCCCGCUGGCCCUGGCCCGAAGCUCGUUGCCUUCCUCUCGGGCCCCUGAGUCCAGAUCCACCUACAAAUUGACGCACUUCUAUAUUGGGCUUUUGGGUACUUUUUUAUUUGCACAUUUUUUGACGUGUCGGAUUGCGCCUUUUUAUUUGCUUUCCACCUGUAUGCCUGUAUAUGAUCUGCAAAACACAACUUGCACUACAUGUGGAACUUGGUAAGCAUUUAAUAAGUAUAUGUGAGUAAAAUACAUGCUUUUCUUCCUUUGCAUGGACUAGGUUGGCGGGGUAAAUAUGUCAUUAAGAACCACCAACAAUCAAGCAUCUAGAGAAUUUACAAAUAUGAAUCAAUAUUGCAACACUAUUUAGCAGUCAGUGCAACAGCCGAUGUUAGAUUAUGGUCAAUCGGCUACAAAAGUUGCUCCUCGGAGCUAGAGGAUUGCUAGGGAUUUCAAUGCUCCACCUUAUCACGGAUGGUUGGCACCUAGAGAAGUACCUCCUGGCUAUCACUAUGUUGUUGAGCACUAUACUUCAAAUGGUUGUGGAAACCCUAGAUAUCAACCAAAUAUUUAGAGGAUGCAGAAUCAAAGGUAUCCAGAACUGAAUGGUCAACAUGGGAAUCAGUUUUAGAUAGAUCAACUAAUGAAUCAAGUUACUGAUAUGGUGCAGCGACAGUUUGGUUUUAAGCCUAAAAAUACGAUGGUGUUGUACAAAAAGCCAUAUCCAGAAUGGUUCGAUCAGGUUUGUUACCUCCAAGAUAUAGACUGCUAGAUUUUGAUAAAUUCACUGGAACAGGCGCAGUAUCGACUAUGGAGCAUAGCAGCCAAUAUUUGGCUCAAUUGGGUGAGAUUGCUGAUGAUCCAUCAUUUUUUGGUUAGCAUCUUUGCCACAUAACUCCAUUGAAGGAUGUGAAGAUCUUGAAACCAAGUUUCAUCAUUAUUUUGAUUCUAGUGUUAUGGAGAAGGGCAUUACAGAUUUAGUCGAUCUGAGACAGAGAAACAAUGAACCCGCGCUUCAUUAUUUAUAGAGGUUCAAAGAAGUCUGGAAUCAAUGCUAUACCUUGACACUUUCGGAGGCUAAAUUAGUUAGCAUUGCAAUUCGAGGGCUAAUAUCACCAAUCAAAGAGAAGAUUGGGUUUGAUUAUCCUAAUUUAGCUGCUUUGGUUAGAAAAUUAUCUGGCAUGGCGACUCAGUUCAAGUAUGCACGCUUCGACAGGCCUCAGAAUAUGAAUAACAUCCGCUAUGAGUCUAACCUAGAGUUAGUCGACUGCAGUGAUGAAGAAGUUGAAAAUGAUGAAGUAGUUGCUGUAGAUUGGGUGUGGACAUAUUCUGAGUAUAUUCCAUGGGCCAAGAACAAAUCAAUAGAAGAAGAAAAGAAGAAAUUCAACAUCAAUAUCACCAAGGCUGACAAAGUAUUUGAUUAUUUGUUGGAGAAAGGACAAAUUAAGCUGAUAGGAAAUGAUAAGAUCCCUUCGGCUGAAGAGCUCAAGAGGAGAAGGUAUUGCAAAUACCACAAUUCCAAUAAUCAUAACACUACUGAUUGCAAGGUUUUCAGAGAUAUAAUCCAGCAAGCUUUCAACAAAGGAAAGAUUGGGCUGGAAAAAGCUAAAGGUGGUUUAGGUAUAGAAGGACAUCCUUUCCCAGCAAAUAUGGUUUCUUCUUCUUUUCCAAAAGGGAAGUUCAAAGUACUUACUUAUGAAAGGGCUAAGGAAACUAAAGCAGUGGUCUCUACACGACAGAUAUCAUCUAUUGAAUAUCAUGAGAUGAAGAAGAAGCAAGAUCGAUAAAUUAGUCAUUUAGAUAUCCUAGAGACCUCCAAAAGUGGUGAGAUGCGUAGAUGCCCUACUGUCAGAAUUUUAUUGAAUAAAUGGAAAAGGCAGAAGGAAAAAUAACAAUUGCGUCAAGAGAGAGAUUAUUGGAGGUAUCAAGAAGAAUAUGAAACAAGGAGAGUUCAGGAAGAAAAUGAGUAUCAUUGGAAUUGUCCUUUCUUUCAACAUUGCUGUAAUGAAGGCCUGCAGUUGCCAAGUCUCAAUAAUUGCCCUGAAUGCAGUGAUCAAUAUUGGGAGUAUCGUUAGGCAAAGGUCAACUGUAACACCCCAGGUGUUUGUUUUGCGUUUUGGCACUUACAUUUCAUGAGCCUAAGCAUCACUUGUUCAUAUAUGAUAGUAUGAAACAUACUUUGAUGUUGUGACAAGUGAAUGCUUGAUGAUCCUGCAUAAUAAAGCUUGUGGUUGCUGAUGGUGCUUCUUUCAUGUGUAUCAUCUCCAUCUCUACCUAGGUUGAUCACUCAAAAAGUUUCGUGAAGUUUGGAUUCAAAAGGUCAAAUGAAAGGAUAAGUUACAUGAUUGUUGGAAUGACCUUAUUAAGUGAACGGAACCUUGGGUUACUAACCUAAUCUUGCAAUCUUGACCAAACGACUCUAGAUGAACUCUACAAUAAAGGUCAUGAAGGGUUCAUGUUGAGCUUGUGCCAAGAAAAUGCUUUAUUUGCUCUAAAAUCCUAGUUUGAGCUUUAUCAAGUCGAUACGUUGACCAAAGUGAAAGUUUGACUUUGGUACCAGUUAUGAGGAUUGACCUUAAAUAAAAGUUAUAGUUUUUCUUCUGUAGAACAAACUUUAUUUAAUGGUCAAGAGCUAGUUUGGUACCUAUUCUAGUCAAAUUAAGCUCACAAGAUUCAAUGCAGUGCUGUUUUGGAACCCCAGAAAUUUGGCUAAGUCCUCAAGGUGCUCAGUUUCGGGUACCCUAGUUGGGAGCCAUGUAUCUUCCUAGCCAAGCUGAAACAGUCUCUGAGCCUUUAACAAAAGAUGUUACUCAGUUCAUAUUCUACAAACUUUGUUUAAGGCCUCAUAUCUGAAUCAUCAUAUAAGCAUGUCAAAUAAUGGUCACAAGUUUGAAUCUGCUAUAGUUUCAAGUACUUAGAAUUUCUAAGUCUGAGAUUGCAGUUCAUCGCGUUGGCAUCCCGCGUUCUCCAAAUUUUGUUAAACAUCUUAAGUUGAUCCCUUAAUAAAAGUUGGAGUAUAUAUUGUGGACAAGAGUAUACAAAAAGAUGACACGAUUUGGACUUCGUUUUGGUCAUCAAUUUUGAGUUUUGCUAAUCUUUAUCAAUUCAUUGACACUUAAAGGUUGGCAUCAAAUUAUCUUCUAAUCUGCAACUCUAAUGACCAUGGCACCUUAAUCAAAGUUGGAGAGUGUCAAGAGUAGAGCAAACUUCGUUUUUGGCCUAUCUCCUAAUUCGGCCAGGAAAAGGCCCGAAAUCGCCUCCCACGCCGGCCACUUCGCUGCACGCCACGUGCUCGAGGAAACGCCUCAACGGCUGGACACGUCGCUGGUGCGUGGCGACCAUGCACAGCGCCCCCACCUCCAUUGCUGCCACCACCACCUUGCUUUUUCCCCGUCUGUGCCCGUGUGGAGAAGCACCAGAGCGUCCCCAACCUCCUUCACUCGCCUCACCCGCUCCCUUGCAUCUCUCCUGGCUCUCUGCUCGCCAUGGCAGUCCACCGCCAUGGACGGACGAGCAGCUCAAGCUGCUGCUGCGCCACUGCUGCCUGCAGCCCGGGCUAAGCUAGUGCCCGGCGUCGUGGCCUGCAGUCCCCGGGCUUCGACACUCUUCCUCUAUGGUCGCAGGUGCCCAUGGCCGGCCUGCUCCGUUCUCUGCUGUCUCUGUUCGUUAGUCUGAUGGAAGGAGAAGGACCUUGUGUUAGAAUAAGAAACAACUCAGGGUUCCAGAUGCGAAGCCAAGACUCAUAUGAAUAGUGUUUGUGGGCUGUUGCGUGAUUCUUGGAAGAUCCAGGGUUCCCGAGGCAAAAGUGUUUUCCUUUUUGUUUUGUUUUUGCAGAUUUCGUGGUUAAACUUUGGAAAUGCAUAGAAAUUCGUAGAAAAGUCGUAAAAUAGCAAAUGUACACUUUUUGGAAUCCUUAUGAAAUUCUCUAUGCAGUAGAUCUAUAUUAUGCGAUGUUUAGGUUGCAGUUUUAGCAGUAAAAAUUGAUUUGUGCAGUUCGGUUUUAAUUGCUUGCUAUAUUUGUCUUUUUCAUAACCACUGUAUUGUUGCUAAAAUAAAUGUGAAAAUAUUGUGACAAGCUUUUCAUAUUAUAUUUGAUGUCUGGUAAAAGUUUGAUGAAUUUAGGCUUGAUAGAUUAAGAGUUAUAAAAAUAACAAAUGCUCUGUGUUGCUUUGCUCCUAUUCUGAGUGGAUCUGCAUGUUUAUAUUGUUUGGCUCAGUUAGGUUGUGAAUCAUGCCUGGAUGAAAAUAUAUGAGUUGUAGUACUUUUCAUAAGCUUUCCAUCAAGCUAAAUAGCAUAAUUUUUGGUUAAGCAUAUGUCUAGUUAUAGUGGUUUAAAUUACUGUUUCAUUUUCUGUCUAAACCCAGACAGGGAUGCAUUGUUUGUUAUGUAAGACCUUGUUAGUGCUAGAUUCAGCUCUAUAUGUUAAUAACAAAGUUGUUCACAAUUUAGUAAGCUUUCUAGAAAGUACAUAACCAUAAUUUAUGGGCAUAUGAAACUCAAGUUAUGGCUGUUUAAUGUGACAUGAUAGAUUCUGUCCAUAUUUUGGACAGAGAUGUCUUUAUGGAUCUUGAUAAAUGGUUUAUAAUUAUAAAUAAAAAUGUAAAAAUGGAAAAUGUUGUUCCAAUACAAUCCUAUGAUACUGUGGUAUCAUGUUUAUGUAUGAUAUGGCCAUGUGUUUGAAGAAAAUAUGAUUUGUGCAUUUAUCUUAUUCUCACAUGGUUAAUUGCAAUAGCAAUUUGUCUUUUUCAUAGAUGUUGCUAUGCUUAUUCAAAUGCAGUGAAAUUGAUACAGUGGUCUAUGGAUAGUGUUUAGAAGCUACUGUAAUUUUGGUCGAAUUUAUUGAGCACUUUUGUUAUAUGUUCUUUAAUUCACCUUAUUAUCCAAAUAAAUUAAGAAACGCAUUAAAUAAAUUUAUUGGGUAAUGACCACUAUGUUUUCUGGUGUUCUUUAGAUAUGUGCAAACUGUUGGUAACAAUGGUUUUGCUCAAAUGCAUGUUUGAAACAUAAGUUAAUAAUUAAUUGUUUGCAAUUGAUUGUUUCUGGACAGUUUGUGGAACUGUUUGGAUUACAAUAUGUAAAUGGUGUUUUCUGGGAAUCUUGUUUAUAGCAAAGUUGUAGAUAAUUCACCUAUCUAGCUGAUGUUAAAAUUUGGUAGUAUUUGGUUAUGUGGUUUGUGAGUUAUGUCUGUUCAAAUUUUGAUUCCAGAAAGGGCUGCUCUCUGUUUGUCAGGGACAGAUUAUGGAACUUUAUAAUUUCGACCAGCUUAAGUUGAGAAUCAUGCUUUGAUGUUUAAAGAUGAAAUAUAUAUAAUUUAUUAAGCUUUCCAGAAUGUCUUCUUUCAUGUCUUUUGGAGUUGUGUAACUCCAGUUAUGCUUGCUUGAAGUGCCUAUCAGUUUUCUGUCUUUAUUUGUACCCUACUGUUUGGGGCAACAUGCGCAGUCCUGAUUGUUCAAUUAGUUCCAUAGUAUAAAUUAUGUUUGCUGUGAAACUUUUCUAUACAAAAGUUGUAGAUAACUCUUUCAUCUCGCUUGUGUUAGAGUUUCAUAUCAUUUUGAUAAAUGGUUUGUGAGUUAUAAGGGUAUAAAGUUUAUCUGUCAAAAUGCUUGAUCUCUGGAAUUCCUGGACCAGAUUCUGUAAAUAUGUAUGUUUGACUUAGGUAACUUUCUAAUAAUGCUAAGAUGAUUAAAUAUGAAUUGUAUAUAAUUUUAUAAGCUUUCCAUAAUGUCUUGUUGCAUGGAUUUUGGGUCUGUAGAACUCUGGUUAUGAUUUAUUUACUCAACUGUUGCAUGUAUGUCCAGAAUUGCUAAAAAUGCAUGAAUGCUUGAUUAACUUACAUUGUGUGUGGUUUUAAGUGACUCAUGUCUUGGUGGUGUUAAUUAGUGUUAUGUGAUCCUAUGAAACAUGUGUUCAUGCACUUGCAUCUUGCAUGUCAUCUAGGUACGCUAGAUGAACCACGUGAAGGACGUGAUGGUGGAUCAUCCCGGAGAUGGAUUGAUUAAGCAAGUGUUAUGAUCUUAGAUGUCACCAAGACGGAGCAAGCUAACUAAUCGGACUCGGUGUCACAUUCCAGGCAAGCCCCGGAGCAUUAUAAGCCUCCUACUUUUUGAAAGUGAAUGAGUAUAUAUUUGUUAUAUAUGUAUUGUUGCAUUAAGUAUAGGAGUUGGAUGAAACCCUUGCUGCAUAUAUAUACCCUUCCUUGUCCAGUAUAUAUAUAACCUGAAUCCUAAUUAGUUAGGACUUAGCCAUGCUUAGCUCGGUAGAAGCCAGGUGAUUUCCUGUCACCUGCAGGAUAUAGGUGGAUUCCAGAUCACGGUUGGCUAUAUUUGCUAUCGUGGAAAAGAACCAUGUGUUAAUAAUAUGAAAGGAGACCGGGCGGGAUGAUGAUAGUGAAGCAACAAGGCAUGGAGGUCUUGGGUGUGGAUCUAUCCCCGUCUGUGUCGAUUAAGGACCGACCGUUGUACGUCCUCUUGUCAUGUUGAACGCAUGCCUAACACUUAGUUGGCCGGAUAACUCGUUCCGACCGCGAAGCCUAGUAAUAUGACUCAGGCCGGAAGACCGGCAAGUAUAAAGUGCGCACUACCGGAGGAAGUGCGGUGUGCGGGGGACCAUUGGCGUAAGUCCAAAGGCAGGUGAGUUAAAAUUCCUGACCUCCCUGGCAGAGUGGUAGCCCUGGGAGUGCGGCGCUGAUCGGAACCGCGAUUCCUGAGUCGUACCAAAGGUGACCCGUUGGCUCUCCGACGGGGGAUGCUUGGGUGAGUGCUAGGAAUACCCCUCCAGCUGGAUAGGAAUCGAUUCGAAUCGCCGUCUCUCCCGGAUAGUGAGAACUUGACAGAGCAGCGGCAAACAUAGCAUUCACUAAUAACUUAAUGGUUCUAUGAUGAUGAUGAUGAUGAUCACGGCCUUAAUAAACCUGAUAUGGUUAUUAUUGAUUGAUAUUAAUCAAGUGAUUGCUUAGUACAGGUGCUAAUCUAGUUAAUAGGUUAAUGAGAAUUAAAUGGAUGCUAAAUAAGAAAGGUUUAACUAUUUAUACUUAAGCUUUUUAUGCAAAAUGUUGUCCAACAAGCUCCACUUAUAUAUCAGCCUUGCAUACUCCUUGGUGUCAUUUAUUUCUGGUUUAUGACGGGUAAGUCUAGCUGAGUACAUUCUCGUACUCAGGGUUUAUACCCACUUGUUGCAGGUUGUGAUGUAUCAUAGCUACUGCAAGAUUUGGAUGACUCCUGCUAUAGGGAAGGAGUAAGAUCAUGGGCAUGAUCCUUUCUACUUACCUCAUCUAUGAUGCUUUUGUUGGAAUGGACCAUGGUACUGGCAUGUAUUUGAAAUAAAAGUGAUAUUGGUUUCAAAUUACUUUGCUUCCGCUAUUUGUAAACAUGAGUUGUAAUAACCUUAUCGAACUCCGAUGUAUUUGAACUACUUGCGAAAUGUAUGUAACGUGUGACUUGUUAUGUUGAAUCACUACGAUCAUGGCUUGUAUGUUGGUUGGUUUGAAAUCCCUCGUGAUUUUGUUGGACUACCGGAGUUAUAUGGGCUCAAGUAUGAUAAAUUGAUCGCUUCGGUGAUUGUUUUUGUACUUGUGCUCUUAUAAUUUGGACGGUUCCGUGACAGCUGGCAUCGGAGCAAGGUUCAACAGUAAACAUGUCACAUGUGUAUUUGAAACAAAGCUUUUCCUUAUAAAAAUCAGUUUUGACAACUUAUAGCUAUAUAUAGGUGUGUUCAAAUCUAAACUUUUAAUCUAAGUAUGCCAGUGGUCAUUCCUCUAUGCCCAACUAAGGACCUUUAGGUGGCUUAGUUAUGUACUAACUAUGGGGGGAUUUACUUACUGCAAUUUUUAUUUCGUCGUCCAUACGGCGUGCUAUUGUAUGGAUGCCAUUCACUUGAGUGGUAAUGUAUGGAUCAAUUUACAUCUACGCCCAGGCCAAGGUAUGUAUGUAUAAUGACCGCACUAUGCUACCCUGUGGUCAAAUGGUGGAGAUAGCCCUCAUAUAUGAAUUAGCCAUAUAUGUUGAUAGAUUUAAAUUUUGCAACGUUGCACCUACGCUCAGGUAAGUGUGAGUUGUGAGAGCAUGAUCGUCCAACCGUCGGUCUAGGGGAGAGCUAGUUUUGGUUACUGGAAUAUUUACAUGUUACACACAUGUAUAUAUGAAGGUACUUAAUUGUGGGUUAGUGGUACGGCCAUAUAUACAUGUCGCUAUGUAUGGAUAGGCGUAUCUCAUUUCGGGUAGUUUGAUGCUGAAAUAUAUAUAUUGGGAUAUAUAUAUAUGGAAGCAUCUAGCUUUCAACCUAUAGUCUAGUAUUUCAUUUCAUGCACUUAUAUCAUUGUUGGGUUGGGUUGAAAUGAAAUUUUCUGCAGAUACGCUAACCACGAAUGCAUAGAUUGUUUGUAGCUAACGACUAGCUAUAUGUCGAGAGUGUGCGUAUUAUGCCACCGAUAUAGAACGUGAUUACCACCUUAGGCUGGUAAUUUUGUGAGGACGAAUAGGAUGAAGCAUGCAUCAUCAUGAUUGAUUGCCCUAUGCAUAACUUUGCUCUUGUCACCUUUGUUCUAACAAUAAGUAACUUGUGAAUUAAUAUGAUGUCACUUUGCUUGUGUAAAGUUAGAUAAAAUGCCUUGCUGUAUGUUGCUUGAGUAGCUAUGCUUGAUGUUAGGUUCUUCCUUUCUAGUUACCUUCACAGUAGUUCUUUUUAUGUGUGGUUGCCUUGCUUUCUAGGUGUGGUUGCAGCACAAGUUGUCUAACCUCUUGUCCUCGGUGAGACCAUGAGUUGUCAUCAAGCCUUAUCAUUGUGCUUAUCUCACAAGUUGUCUCAAGUACACCUUCUUGCUUAGAACACAUGAGCUUUUGCGUGUGUACCUAACCAAACCUCGUUGGGUUCUCUUGAAUAUCAACUUUUGCCCAUGAUAUGUCCUGGUUUGAGCUUUGCCCAAAUUCUUUUGGAACCUUUGCUACCUAUUUAAAAAAAAAUCAUCUUGUUCCUAAAGACAUGAUCAUAUCUACCAACUUUGCGGUACAAUCUCGUAUCAUGAUCCUUGACCUAAGAACCAGAUGUUGGGAUGCAUAAUGGUUAUCUAUCAAAUCAUAAAUCUCAUAUCAUGAUGCCAAUCAUUCUUAAUCAUGCAACUUACUACAUUGGUUAUGCAUCAAUGUCAUUAUUCCCUAAAGCCUUGAACCACAUGCACACGUGCAUGUAGAAGGAGGUAUGCUCACAGUUAGUGGGGUACACCAUAUUCAUGUUGUAUCCUAACUGCAAUCAUCUUAGUGAGUAUCUUUCUAAAGAACAUUCUUCAGCUCUUGUGCUUGCUGCCCAUUUAACUGGGUUACCCUUUGAUCUAUCUCGAUGGCUUGCUUAUGUUUUGGUCAAUUUGUGCCAUCCGUCAACAUGAUGCACAUGUUUGAGAUGGCUGGCCUUUUUGGACAUAAGUGAGAUUUAUCUUCUCGACUGGAGAAGAGUAUGCACCUACUCAGUAAAGGAUAACAACACAUUCCCAUCAUGUUCUGUUUACUAUCUACCACCUUUGAUUAUAGUAUUGGUUGCUGGAGAUAAUUUCAUCUAUGUUCUCACAUGCUGGCUUAUGUCUUGGGUGUCUUCCUUCUAUGUGCGAAAACCUUACCCCAAGAAUCCUCUCAGACCACUUGGUUCCUUGUCCUAUAGUGGAUCUAGUGCAAUGCUUAUCUGUUGUUGCAUGAGCCUCAUAAUCUUUUCAAUCAUGUUGUUGUUGUGUCGAUGAAGCCCUAAUCUAAGUAUCAGCUUGAUCUCUUGAAUCUCGUUUGUUUAACCACCAACUCUCCCUAAUCUUAAAUGUUAUCAGUCCUGAUCUCAUGUUAAUCAUCUAUCUGGUAACUAUCUUGGUUAACACAGUGUUUUGUGGAAAUUAAAGCAAGAUCCAUGAUCAGUUGUCUUCGACAAGUAAUAUAUGUUCUCUUGUGUUGUGUUUUGGAUCUGUAGGUCACUUCCAUGUUGACUCCAAACCUUGUGACUACCUUUGCUUUGCUAUCCCUCCUUUGCACAAUGCUUGUUCAUACAACCAACUUUUGUGCCACAUGAAAUUUUUCAUUGAGUGUAUGAUUAAUAAUGGUGUCAUGAGCAGUAGCUAACGGUGCCGCGACGAAACCGAGAGCCUCUUGUGGGCGGCCGACACAAGGAUGUGCUGCUCGGCACGCGCUGGUAUCGAGGUUUCUAGUCCUGAUCCAUUAUUGAACUAUACCAAUGAAAUGUUUUCUUGUGACCUUUCCUUGAUAAUCUCACCAUAUCAUAUCAACAUUUCCCUAUAUCCAACCAGAUGUCAUAGGCCAUUCUUCUGAAGUCAACUAGAGGUUAACCUUUGAAGAACAAGUCACUGACAUAAAAACUAACAGACUGCAAGAGAUGGUAGACAAAUGACAGUAUUUCUCUAUCCCUACAAUGACGAUGAGCAUUUAACGAGCAACAUAGGUCAUCUUCAUCGAACCCAAAAGGACACCCAACACUUAAUGUGGGACAAGUUAUCUGUUAAACAAGCAUCGAUCAUCACCGUUGUGCUUAUGACCUAGUUUUCCUAAGUCUUGAUCUUUAUGUGCAUCACGGUCAUACAGCUAAAGUCAACCAUCUUUGGCAUGAAUCCUUAUCUCCUAGCUUUGAAGGUUACCAAUUGUUGAGCAUCAACUGUAAUUGUUGUGGUUAAGAGUGGAUCUUUGGAAAUUUUGGCUGAGAGGCAAUUGAUUGGUUGCUAGAAGCAAGGCUAAUCUCAAGGAAAGUAAUGAUGGAGUGACAGCCACGAAAGAUAUGUUUUAUCAGUAGUGAAUUAAACAUGGAGUUGAGAGAUGUCUUGUCAGUCCAGAACACUUCCAUUGCUGCACCGAACAAGUUUAGUCUGUACACGUUCUACUUAUGCAAAUGUUGCCUGUUUAAGCUGAAUUUUGGUCAGAGGUGAGAAGACUCAUGGAUCUGAAUUUUUAUCAAGUUUCAUGCAGAAUUGAGUGGUAAUUGGUUAAAUACUUGCAACUGUUGGAGACCUCUAGCUCACACAAUCAUCCUUCUUCAGUAGUGGUUAUCCAAUUCCUACAUGUCUUGGAUACCUUCUAUGUGUUACCUAAGAAGUUGCACCUAUUUCAACCCAAAUAACUUUUGUUGUUUGCAUACAAGGAUUCCCUUGAAGUAAGUGAUCAUGGAAUGUGUUGAAUCCACAAAGUCAGCUAUCACAUUCACCGUUCUCUUAACCGGGUUGGUAAGUACAAUUUUGUCAUCAGAGAAAGAGAACUACAUGCUUGGAAAGUUAUACUCCAACCAUUUUGGUAGAAGACUACUUUUCAAAUGUUGUGAAUGAGCCUAGAAUCUCUAUAAUGAGCAACCAUUAGAAGCUUGUGACUUGGUGCAAGGUUCUUAUGGCUUGCAUUAGUUUCAUUAAAGAGACUGAUGACACACGUAGCUCCGCUUAUGCUCUGAACCACCCUUCAUACUUUGAGAACAAAGUGCGCAGGACAGUGCUCUCUUGGAUUCCUCCCAAAGUAACAAUGCUUCAUCUUCAGACCAAAGUUUACUAUGAAAAGUAAGUAUCAGAAAACUUUUGGUCCAACAUAGCUUCUCUAAUGUUCGAAUGCUAUCGUUGAGGUUGGGAAAUGCAUGACAUUGUUUCUCUUCCCUUGAAAGUCUUUCGCACCGAAUCUCGGGACGAGAUUCUUUUUAAGGGGGGAGGGAUGUAACACCCCAGGUGUUUGUUUUGCAUUUUGGCACUUACAUUUCAUGAGCAUAAGCAUCACUUGUUCAUAUAUGAUAGUAUGAAACAUACUUUGAUGUUGUGACAAGUGAAUGCUUGAUGAUCCUGCAUAAUAAAGCUUGUGGUUGCUGAUGGUGCUUCUUUCAUGUGUAUCAUCUCCAUCUCUACCUAGGUUGAUCACUCAAAAAGUUUCGUGAAGUUUGGAUUCAAAAGGUCAAAUGAAAGGAUAAGUUACAUGAUUGUUGGAAUGACCUUAUUAAGUGAACGGAACCUUGGGUUACUAACCUAAUCUUGCAAUCUUGACCAAACGACUCUAGAUGAACUCUACAAUAAAGGUCAUGAAGGGUUCAUGUUGAGCUUGUGCCAAGAAAAUGCUUUAUUUGCUCUAAAAUCCUAGUUUGAGCUUUAUCAAGUCGAUACGUUGACCAAAGUGAAAGUUUGACUUUGGUACCAGUUAUGAGGAUUGACCUUAAAUAAAAGUUAUAGUUUUUCUUCUGUAGAACAAACUUUAUUUAAUGGUCAAGAGCUAGUUUGGUACCUAUUCUAGUCAAAUUAAUCCCACAAGAUUCAAUGCAGUGCUGUUUUGGAACCCCAGAAAUUUGGCUAAGUCCUCAAGGUGCUCAGUUUCGGGUAUCCUAGUUGGGAGCCGUGUAUCUUCCUAGCCAAGCUGAAACAGUCUCUCAGCCUUUAACAAAAGAUGUUACUCAGUUCAUAUUCUACAAACUUUGUUUAAGGCCUCAUAUCUGAAUCAUCAUAUAAGCAUGUCAAAUAAUGGUCACAAGUUUGAAUCUGCUAUAGUUUCCAGUACUUAGAAUUUCUAAGUCUGAGAUUGCAGUUCAUCGCGUUGGCAUCCCGCGUUCUCCAAAUUUUGUUAAACAACUUAAGUUGAUCCCUUAAUGAAAGUUGGAUUAUAUAUUGUGGACAAGAGUAUACAAAAAGAUGACACGAUUUGUACUUCGUUUUGGUCAUCAAUUUUGAGUUUUGCUAAUCUUUAUCAAUUCAUUGACACUUAAAGGUUGGCAUCAAAUUAUCUUCUAAUCUGAAACUCUAAUGACCAUGGCACCUUAAUCAAAGUUGGAGAGUGUCAAGAGUAGAGCAAACUUCGUUUUUGGCCCAUCUCCUAAUUCGGCCCGGAAAAGGCCCGAAAUCGCCUCCCACGCCGGCCACUUCGCUGCACGCCACGUGCUCGAGGAAACGCCUCAACGGCUGGACACGUCGCUGGUGCGUGGCGACCAUGCACAGCGCCCCCACCUCCAUUGCUGCUGCCACCACCUUGCUUUUUCCCCGUCUGUGCCCGUGUGGAGAAGCACCAGAGCGUCCCCAACCUCCUUCACUCGCCUCACCCGCUCCCUUGCAUCUCUCCUGGCUCUCUGCUCGCCAUGGCAGUCCACCGCCAUGGACGGACGAGCAGCUCAAGCUGCUGCUGCGCCACUGCUGCCUGCAGCCCGGGCUAAGCUAGUGCCCGGCGUCGUGGCCUGCAGUCCCCGGGCUUCGACACUCUUCCUCUAUGGUCGCAGGUGCCCAUGGCCGGCCUGCUCCGUUCUCUGCUGUCUCUGUUCGUUAGUCUGAUGGAAGGAGAAGGACCUUGUGUUAGAAUAAGAAACAACUCAGGGUUCCAGAUGCGAAGCCAAGACUUUGUGGGCUGUUGCGUGAUUCUUGGAAGAUCCAGGGUUCCCGAGGCAAAAGUGUUUUCCUUUUUGUUUUGUUUUUGCAGAUUUCGUGGUUAAACUUUGGAAAUGCAUAGAAAUUCGUAGAAAAGUCGUAAAAUAGCAAAUGUACACUUUUUGGAAUCCUUAUGAAAUUCUCUAUGCAGUAGAUCUAUAUUAUGCGAUGUUUAGGUUGCAGUUUUAGCAGUAAAAAUUGAUUUGUGCAGUUCGGUUUUAAUUGCUUGCUAUAUUUGUCUUUUUCAUAACCACUGUAUUGUUGCUAAAAUAAAUGUGAAAAUAUUGUGACAAGCUUUUCAUAUUAUAUUUGAUGUCUGGUAAAAGUUUGAUGAAUUUAGGCUUGAUAGAUUAAGAGUUAUAAAAAUAACAAAUGCUCUGUGUUGCUUUGCUCCUAUUCUGAGUGGAUCUGCAUGUUUAUAUUGUUUGGCUCAGUUAGGUUGUGAAUCAUGCCUGGAUGAAAAUAUAUGAGUUGUAGUACUUUUCAUAAGCUUUCCAUCAAGCUAAAUAGCAUAAUUUUUGGUUAAGCAUAUGUCUAGUUAUAGUGGUUUAAAUUACUGUUUCAUUUUCUGUCUAAACCCAGACAGGGAUGCAUUGUUUGUUAUGUAAGACCUUGUUAGUGCUAGAUUCAGCUCUAUAUGUUAGUAACAAAGUUGUUCACAAUUUAGUAAGCUUUCUAGAAAGUACAUAAGCAUAAUUUAUGGGCAUAUGAAACUCAAGUUAUGGCUGUUUAAUGUGACAUGAUAGAUUCUGUCCAUAUUUUGGACAGAGAUGUCUUUAUGGAUCUUGAUAAAUGGUUUAUAAUUAUAAAUAAAAAUGUAAAAAUGGAAAAUGUUGUUCCAAUACAAUCCUAUGAUACUGUGGUAUCAUGUUUAUGUAUGAUAUGGCCAUGUGUUUGAAGAAAAUAUGAUUUGUGCAUUUAUCUUAUUCUCACAUGGUUAAUUGCAAUAGCAAUUUGUCUUUUUCAUAGAUGUUGCUAUGCUUAUUCAAAUGCAGUGAAAUUGAUACAGUGGUCUAUGGAUAGUGUUUAGAAGCUACUGUAAUUUUGGUCGAAUUUAUUGAGCACUUUUGUUAUAUGUUCUUUAAUUCACCUUAUUAUCCAAAUAAAUUAAGAAACGCAUUAAAUAAAUUUAUUGGGUAAUGACCACUAUGUUUUCUGGUGUUCUUUAGAUAUGUGCAAACUGUUGGUAACAAUGGUUUUGCUCAAAUGCAUGUUUGAAACAUAAGUUAAUAAUUAAUUGUUUGCAGUUGAUUGUUUCUGGACAGUUUGUGGAACUGUUUGGAUUACAAUAUGUAAAUGGUGUUUUCUGGGAAUCUUGUUUAUAGCAAAGUUGUAGAUAAUUCACCUAUCUAGCUGAUGUUAAAAUUUGGUAGUAUUUGGUUAUGUGGUUUGUGAGUUAUGUCUGUUCAAAGUUUGAUUCCAGAAAGGGCUGCUCUCUGUUUGUCAGGGACAGAUUAUGGAACUUUAUAAUUUGGACCAGCUUAAGUUGAGAAUCAUGCUUUGAUGUUUAAAGAUGAAAUAUAUAUAAUUUAUUAAGCUUUCCAGAAUGUCUUCUUUCAUGUCUUUUGGAGUUGUGUAACUCCAGUUAUGCUUGCUUGAAGUGCCUAUCAGUUUUCUGUCUUUAUUUGUACCCUACUGUUUGGGGCAACAUGCGCAGUCCUGAUUGUGCAAUUAAUUCCAUAGUAUAAAUUAUGUUUGCUGUGAAACUUUUCUAUAAAAAAGUUGUAGAUAACUCUUUCAUCUCGCUUGUGUUAGAGUUUCAUAUCAUUUUGAUAAAUGGUUUGUGAGUUAUAAGGGUAUAAAGUUUAUCUGUCAAAAUGCUUGAUCUCUGGAAUUCCUGGACCAGAUUCUGUAAAUAUGUAUGUUUGACUUAUGUAACUUUCUAAUAAUUCUAAGAUGAUUAAAUAUGAAUUGUAUAUAAUUUUAUAAGCUUUCCAUAAUGUCUUGUUGCAUGGAUUUUGGGUCUGUAGAACUCUGGUUAUGAUUUAUUUACUCAACUGUUGCAUGUAUGUCCAGAAUUGCUAAAAAUGCAUGAAUGCUUGAUUAACUUACAUUGUGUGUGGUUUUAAGUGACUCAUGUCUUGGUGGUGUUAAUUAGUGUUAUGUGAUCCUAUGAAACAUGUGUUCAUGCACUUGCAUCUUGCAUGUCAUCUAGGUACGCUAGAUGAACCACGUGAAGGACGUGAUGGUGGAUCAUCCCGGAGAUGGAUUGAUUAAGCAAGUGUUAUGAUCUUAGAUGUCACCAAGACGGAGCAAGCUAACUAAUCUGACUCGGUGUCACAUUCCAGGCAAGCCCCGGAGCAUUAUAAGCCUCCUACUUUUUGAAAGUGAAUGAGUAUAUAUUUGUUAUAUAUGUAUUGUCGCAUUAAGUAUAGGAGUUGGAUGAAACCCUUGCUGCAUAUAUAUACCCUUCCUUGUCCAGUAUAUAUAUAACCUGAAUCCUAAUUAGUUAGGAUCACGUCUCUGCUUAGCCAUGCUUAGCUCGGUAGAAGCCAGGUGAUUUCCUGUCACCUGCAGAAUAUAGGUGGAUUCCAGAUCACGGUUGGCUAUAUUUGCUAUCGUGGAAAAGAACCAUGUGUUAAUAAUAUGAAAGGAGACCGGGCGGGAUGAUGAUAGUGAAGCAACAAGGCAUGGAGGUCUUGGGUGUGGAUCUAUCCCCGUCUGUGUCGAUUAAGGACCGACCGUUGUACGUCCUCUUGUCAUGUUGAACGCAUGCCUAACACUUAGUUGGCCGGAUAACUCGUUCCGACCGCGAAGCCUAGUAAUAUGACUCAGGCCGGAAGACCGGCAAGUAUAAAGUGCGCACUACCGGAGGAAGUGCGGUGUGCGGGGGACCAUUGGCGUAAGUCCAAAGGCAGGUGAGUUAAAAUUCCUGACCUCCCUGGCAGAGUGGUAGCCCUGGGAGUGCGGCGCUGAUCGGAACCGCGAUUCCUGAGUCGUACCAAAGGUGACCCGUUGGCUCUCCGACGGGGGAUGCUUGGGUGAGUGCUAGGAAUACCCCUCCAGCUGGAUAGGAAUCGAUUCGAAUCGCCGUCUCUCCCGGAUAGUGAGAACUUGACAGAGCAGCGGCAAACGUAGCAUUCACUAAUAACUUAAUGGUUCUAUGAUGAUGAUGAUGAUGAUCACGGCCUUAAUAAACCUGAUAUGGUUAUUAUUGAUUGAUAUUAAUCAAGUGAUUGCUUAGUACAGGUGCUAAUCUAGUUAAUAGGUUAAUGAGAAUUAAAUGGAUGCUAAAUAAGAAAGGUUUAACUAUUUAUACUUAAGCUUUUUAUGCAAAAUGUUGUCCAACAAGCUCCACUUAUAUAUCAGCCUUGCAUACUCCUUGGUGUCAUUUAUUUCUGGUUUAUGACGGGUAAGUCUAGCUGAGUACAUUCUCGUACUCAGGGUUUAUUCCCACUUGUUGCAGGUUGUGAUGUAUCAUAGCUACUGCAAGAUUUGGAUGACUCCUGCUAUAGGGAAGGAGUAAGAUCAUGGGCAUGAUCCUUUCUACUUACCUCAUCUAUGAUGCUUUUGUUGGAAUGGACCAUGGUACUGGCAUGUAUUUGAAAUAAAAGUGAUAUUGGUUUCAAAUUACUUUGCUUCCGCUAUUUGUAAACCUGAGUUGUAAUAACCUUAUCAAACUCCGAUGUAUUUGAACUACUUGCGAAAUGUAUGUAACGUGUGACUUGUUAUGUUGAAUCACUACGAUCUUGGCUUGUAUGUUGGUUGGUUUGAAAUCCCUCGUGAUUUUGUUGGACUACCGGAGUUAUAUGGGCUCAAGUAUGAUAAAUUGAUCGCUUCGGUGAUUGUUUUUGUACUUGUGCUCUUAUAAUUUGGACGGUUCCGUGACAUCAACCACCGACCUAUACAUGAAAGAUUGAAUUUUGAAAGAGCAAAUCGGCGUGUAAAAAUAAAGAACAUUCAUGAUCAGCUCGAGGCAGAAAUAGCUGAUCAGGAAAUAGUUGAUAAAGAGUAUGUCUGGCAGGAAAUGGACUUACCAAUUGCCAGAAAAGGAGGGUUCAAUGUCUGAGAAAUGAUGAGUUGCAUCAAAACAGACAUAAGGUACGGCAAGUGAAACAGACAGUUGACAAAGGCAAAGGUAAGGUACCUGCUGGAAUUUCUGUUAUUUUUAUGUUGCCUACUGAAUUUAGAGCCAAUGAUGAAGUAGAAUCAGAUUAAGAGGUAGCUGUGGCUCAGUGGAUUUGUCAAGCAGAAGUGCAUCGUUUGAGAAACUUGAAAAACAUUUGUAUUUGAAGGCAUUGUAUCUCAAAGGGUUUAUUGAUGGGAAGCCAUUGACUAAGAUUCUAGUCGAUGGAGGUGUAACUAUCAAUCUGAUAUCAUAUUCUACAUUCAGAAAGCUUGGUAAGAGGACAGAAGAUUUAUGUCCAACUGAUAUGAGAUUGACAGAUUUCAGUGGCAACAUUUUAGUAACCAAAGGUGCUAUAUGUGUUGAAUUGACAGUUGGUAGUAAGAGCUUGCCAACUACUUUCUUUGUGAUUGAUGCUAAAGGCACAUAAACUUUGCUUCUAGGAAGAGAUUGGAUUCAUGCUAAUUGCUAUAUAUCAUCCACUAUGCAUCAAAGUUUAAUUAAGUGGAUUGGGGAUGAUGUAGAAGUCAUUCUAGCUGAUUCUUCUGUUAGCAUUUCUUGUGCUAGAACAGAUGAGUCGAAUUUUGAGGGCAUGAAAUAUUUCUCUGGAAAAGUUUACGAAGGAGAUGUCAUCAAAGUGUUUGAUGAUAAUCAAUAGAUGAUACAAGGAGUCAGCUCUCAGUGUUUUAAUUGAUGGAUUCUUUAGUUCAUGAAGAUGAAGGCAAGAUGGGCAAAGGAUUUAUGUCGACUAAUGAGUUAGAAGCAGUAGAUAUAGGUGAUGGUGAUAAGUCUAGGCCGACAUAUGUAAGUGCUAAAUUGCAUCCUGAUUAAAAACAAGAGUUAGAAUCUGUGUUGAAGGAAAAUAAAGAUUGUUUUGCUUGGCAGUGUUAUGAAAUGCCUGGUCUUGAUAGAAAGUUAGUUGAGCAUCGCUACCGAUUAAACCUUGGUAUCGACCUUUUAAGCAAGCUCCAAGAAGAAUUAAACCCGAUGUAAUGGCUGAUGUUAAAUCAUAAAUCAUUCGGUUAUAUGAGGCAAAAUUCAUUCGGCAAUGUCGACAUGCUGAAUGUAUUUCAAGUGUAGUUCCUGUGUAUCAGAAAAAUAGUAAAGUGAGAGUCUGCAUUGAUUUUAGAGAUUUGAAUAAUGCUACCCUAUGGAUAGGUACCCUAUGCCUGUUGCUGAUAUGCUAGUUGAUACAACAACAAGUCAUUAAGUAAUUAGCUUUAUGGAUGGUAAUGCUGGAUAGAAUCAGAUAUUCAUGGUAGAAGAGAAUAUUCAUAAAACUACUCUUAGGUGUCCUGGUCUGUUGGGUUUAUUCGAGUGGGUGGUUAUGACUUUUGGACUCAAAAAUGCUGGUGCAACUUAUCAAAGAGCAAUGAAUUAUAUAUUUCAUGAGUUGAUCAGCAAAACAGUUGAAAUUUAUAUAGAUGAUGUGGUUGUGAAAUCCAAGGGUUAUCAGGAACAUUUAGAAGAUCUCAAGAAGACUCUUAUGAGUGCCAGAAAGCAUGGAUUAAGGAUGAAUCCACAUAAUUGUGCUUUUGGAGUAUUUGCUGGGUAGUUCUUGGUAGUUCUUGGGUUUCAUGGUGCAUGAAAAAGGAAUUGAAGUUGGACAAAAGAGUUAUGAAGCAAUUAGUAAGACAGUACCACCAACUUCAAAAACUAAGUUGCAAUCUUUGAUCGGCAAAUUCAAUUUUGUUAAGAUAUUUAUUUCAAACUUAUCUGCUAAGAUUUUGCCGUUCUCAGCAUUGCUAAAAUUAAGGAGUGGUCAAUAAUUCAAGUGGGGAAACAAACAACAAAAGGCAUUUGAAGAGAUCAAGGUAUAUGAAAUCUCCACCAGUUUUAGUCCCUCCUCAGAAGGAAAAGCCUUCCAAGUUGUAUGUAGCAGUCGGUGACCAUACUAUUGGAUCGGCUUUAAUGCAAGAGUUUGAAUGAAACGAAAGAGUAAUCUUUUAUUUAAGUAGAAGAUUAUUGGAUCCUGAAACUAGAUAUUCUCCCAUUCAAAAGAUAUGUUUAUGUUUAUACUUUUCAUGCACUAAACUUCGGCAUUAUUUGUUAUCUUCAGAAUGCACGGUGGUGUCCAAGUUUGAUGUAAUCAAAGAUAUGCUAUCUAUGCCUAUUUUGAAUGAAAGUUGGUAAGUGGAUUCUUGCAUUAUCAGAAUUUGAUUUAAGGUAUGAAUCGGCUAAAGCAGUUAAAGGUCAAGCUAUAGCUGAUUUUAUUACUCAUCAUCAAGAAGGAGAAGUAACAUUGUGGGAGUUAUCCCCUUGGGCUUUGUUCUUUGAUGGAUCUACUUGCAAGCAAGGAGAAGGUGUCGGUAUUGUGUUGAUUUCUCCACAAGGUAUAAGUUUUGAAUUUGCUAUUCCAUAAAACUGACAUCUACUAAUGUUGACACUUGUUAUCUUAUAAAAUUUGACCCUAGCCUCGAAUACGGAAAUACGGUCGAGCGAAUAGCCUAGUGCUUCAUAGCCGAUGACCGUCAAUUACGGAAACUAGCGUCGAGCGAAUCGGCAGGCCUCGAGCGCAAAAGCGUUCCCCCGCCGCCUAUCGCGGGUACAGAAUCUAGGGCAUUUAAUGCGAAUGGCAUGCUCCCACCUAACCCGAUUGCCACGAGAAGCAUGAUAGGGGAACGUGCACCCAUCAAAUCCCCCCUUUCCCAGCUUUAUCAUCAAAAUUGGAGAAAGAUACAAACCGGUACAGUGCAGCAGGUGUAAUAUCCCAUCAAAACACCCCUCGAGAUGAUAAGGUCAACGCUCCUGUAUAACAGAGUCGCUUGUGCCGCCAGACCCUCGAGCAUGCACGCCCCUUCCUAGGGAAGGAUUGAGUGAUGGAAGUCUGCGCUCCAACUACUCCAGACAUGACGACUGCCAUGACAUAAGGAGUGCAUAUGCCCAAGCCAAUAUCAGACAAUGUACAGGGGAUAAGCUCAGGAGACGCACGCGCCCUCAUCGCGAAAGUACAUUGCAAUAAGAUGGCUCGAGGCCAUGCCGGUAUGGAGGCCUCGAGUAGGUCCACGCCAUGCCCCUAUCGAGGCCUAUUCAAAACGCCUAUACCCUGUAACCUAAGCCUCCCCUUGGAACUAUAAAAGGGGAUGCUAGGGAUGAUGCAAACAACAAGAGAACAAGAUACGUAGAACGCCAUUCAUACACUCCUACAACAAGAUAGGACUUAGAACCCUCACUUGGACCCGCUUGUAUUCGCCCCCGUACAAGCACUUAGGUGCAAGAUAAUACAUACUCACCUCCCCCGCUGGAUGUAUGGCCUUCUUUUGCCUGAACCAGGAUAAACACUCGUGUCAUUCUUGCAUCACCAUCCGAAAAAGGGAGCACACAAAUUCACUCGCUGGUGUUACCCCUAGGGUCAAAACACCGACAGUUGGCGCGCCAGGUAGGGGGCCUACAUGUUACUAACGGUUUCCCAUCUUUUUUCUGGAUGGCCUCUCACGUCCCACCGAUCCCGCACUCCAUGGUGAUCUGGUUCGGGAGCUGUUGACACCAUUUUUGGACAUGAAUUGGGGUAGUCAAUGAAGCUUGGAUCGGCAGUUGGAGAAAUAAUGUGUCUGGCCGAUAAGGAGGUUGCCAAUGGCCUAUGAUACCGAUGAUAAGGCAACAGGAGGAAGAUAUGGUUAAGUCCAAAAACGGUAUUUGAUCGACGCUGAUGGCUGAUUUGGAUGAUUACCGAUGUCGGUGAAGGAUAGUAUGCCGAUGAUGGUGGAGGACGACAUGGGGGUCAUCGGGAGUGUUAGGUAUUCCUAACAUCAUUACCAAAAGUAGACUAAGUUCUCUAAAUCUAGUAACGGUGCCAAAAAUGCCAAACCUAUCCCUCACACCACUUAAGCCAAGUUGUCAUCCCCAGCAUGACAUGAGAGACGCGGUAUUGAAAUAUGCAAUUGCUCUUCUAAAUAAAUAAUGAAUGGGAUCUGCAAGCGCACAGAUUAAUACCGAUGUAGCAUUUUAACCGGGAAGUAUUCCAGGUAUCGUUAUUUAUAUUUUUACCACUAGGAAGGGAUUAGAAAUCAUCACUAAUGAUUACAGAAUAGAAUAUGAGAUUGAGCAUCUAUCAUUGCAUGUAUAAUUGAGAACAUUAUAUCUAACUCUUCAUACAGGGAUAAGUGUCACAUAAAAGAUAUAUGAAAUAAUAAUAGUGACAAGGAUAACUAAUCUGAUCUAGCCACAUAAUAAAUAUGAUAAGCACCUCAAUUAGAUACUCUAGAAAGUCAUUAGCAUGGUAUUAGAAUGAACUACAAGAAUAUUCCCUAAGUUAUUCUUAACUAUAUAGUCUAGCAUUAUCAUAGUUAGUGCAAGCAUACUUAGCAAUCAUUGCGAGACAAGACUACGCCCAUGCAUAGUGAUAUUUGACCGAAACGGUCGGGGAGUCCCAGGCCUCUUUUUUUUUAAUUAAAUGAAAGAAUCAGUACAGGAAAAAAUUACAAGGCUUCAAGCCCAAAAGAAAAAAGAGGAAUAACUACAAUGUUAGGUGUAAGCCUCUCUCCAAUUUAGCAGUAGCUCCUUUUUGGGUGUUUUAGCCUUGAUACAAACAAGUCCAAGCUCAACUUUGAACUGCCUCUUCCAGAGCUGUAAGUUUUUCUGGCCAUUAUCAAAAAUGAUACAGUUUCUUGUUUUCCAGAUGAUCCAACAAGCUGUGAUGAUGAUUUCUCUGAAGAUGGUACUGCCAAAUGCUUCUCUUGCCUGGAUCAACAUAUCCAGGGGGCUCAAACUGAGAUUCCAGUUAAUAGGUAUAGAGUUCCAACAUUCACUGCUGAAGGGACACUCAAAGAACAAAUGGAAGAAGGUUUCCUCACAUCCUAGAUUGCAGAGAACGCAAGUGUAGUCAUCUAGGUGCAUGCGUUUCCUUCUUAGAAGAUUCCUAGUAUUGAGCCUGUCUCUCAGGAAAAGCCAGAAGAAGAAUUUAUGGUUUCCUGGAUUGCUUGAUUUCCAUAGCCAUUUGAACAGUGGGGAUGCUUGGAUGGGUUCUGAGAGGGCCAUGUAGGCUUUCUUGCUACUAUAGUCUGAAGAACCCCAGCUGUAUGACCAUGAGUCACUUAAGGUUUCAUCCCAAGACCUAUUAUUAAGGAUGUCAUAGACAUCCUCAAGUUGUUCAGCAGCUAGGGGGGGAAGAGGAAGGGGGCUGAACAAAGCUUCCUCCUGCUGGUUGAGGAAGAAUCUGAUUGAGCACUUUGGUUUUCUUGUAAAGGAAAAUAGCUGGGGAAACCUGUCCUUUAAAGGCUCAGCAACCCAAAUGCCUGCCCAGAACAGAACAGAAUUACCUCUGUUAGGUGCACUUGUUGCAAAUUUCUGGAAUUUAGGGAACAGUUUCAUGAUAUCCUUCCACCAAAAGGAUCCAACAGGGCUUCUUGCAUGAGGAGGAGUCUGGGUGUUUGAGUACAGCUUGUUCCAGGUGAGAUUUACCCAAGGUUGGUCUACGUGGUUGUAGAAUUUGUCUAAAAAUUUCAUGAGCAGGGCUUCAUUCUGACCUUUUAUGUCUAUUAUGCCCAGGCCUCCUUGAUCUUUAGGACUACAGGCAGUUUCCCAUGCUACCAAGCAUUUGGCUUUUCUGUUAAUGUCCCCCUUGUCCCAUAAGCAAUGUUUCCUGUAUGAGUCAAUCUGCUUAAUGAUUUGUGGGGGGAUUUUAAGAGAGCACAUGUAAAAGGUAGGUAGGGCUGAGAAAACCGAGUUGACUAAGAUAAGUCUUCCAUUGUAAGAAAGGAACUUGCUGAUUCCAGUAAGUCUUCUCUCCAUUCUAGUUAGCAGUGGCAUGAACUCAGUGACUGCUGGUUUUGUAGUUCCAAGGGGCAGCCCCAAGUAUGUAAAAGGCAUAUCUCCAACUUGACAACCAAAGGUGUUAGCAAGAUGGGUGGCUUGUUCAGGACCCAUGUUGAUAGGGACCAAAAAUGACUUGCUGAAAUUUACAUGAAGCCCAGUUGAGUCAGAGAAGCUUCUUAGCAGUCCCUUGAGAUUGAACAGAAUUCUAGCAUCCCCUGGGAGGACUAAAAGGGUAUCAUCAGCAUAUUGUACAAUGGGGAAGUCUUCAUGGAAAUUAUCACUGAUGGGGUGCUUGAGGACACCAGCUCUCCAAGCUUUGUUCACAACCGUCUGUAGCAAGUCUGCAGCAAGGACAAAGAGAAGUGGGGAGAGGGGAUCUCCUUGUCUCACACCUCUUUUACAAGUAAAGGUCUUGCCAGGAAUCCUGUUUAGUAGGAUUGAGGAGGUCGCAGAUCCUAGCAGGUUUUUAAUCCAACUGACCCAUUUUUCAGGGAAGCCUUUAUGCUUGAGAACUUUUAGAAUGACUUGAUGUUCAACCUUAUCAAAGGCCUUUUCAAAGUAAAGUUUUAGAAUGACAAUCUCUUUCUUCGAGUGAUGACAUAGGUGUAGAAAUUGGAAGGCCCAAGCUAGACAGUCUUGUAUGGUUCUCCCCUUAAUAAAUCCAUAUUGAUUGGUAUGGACAAUUUGCAGGAUCACUUUCUGAAGCCUUGUUGAAAGGAUUUUAGUUAUACAUUUGAGAGAAUAAUUGAGCAAUGAUAUAGGUCUGAAAUCAUUGACUGUUUUAGGGUUAUCUUUUUUUGGUACCAAGGUAAUGAGAGAGGAGUUUAUACUUCUCAGGUCAAUGUUUAGGUUGGAGAAGUCCCUAAAAAGCCUAUAAAACUCUGGUUUGAUGAUAUUCCAGCAUUUCUUGUUGAAGAGCCCAUUGAAUCCAUCUGGACCAGGGGCAUGGCUUGAAGGGAGGUUCUUGACUACAGAGUCCAUUUCAUCUUGUGUGAAUUCAUUCCCCAACUCCUCUAAGUCCUGAGGCUGUAUGAGUUCAUCAAGAUUGUAGCUUAUACCUCUGAAUUCAGAUGCACCCAAUCUGUCCUUGAAAGUAGACCAUAAGAGGUUGGCUUUCUGUUCAUGAUCCAUGAUCUGAACACCUUCACUAUUGAUCAGAGACACUAUGAAGUUCCUUUUGUGAUUGAUUGUAGCCAUGGAGUGGAAGAAAUGAGAAUUUUCAUCUCCCAGAUUAAUCCAUCUAACUGUGUUUCUCUGUUUCCAAUAGGCUCUUUUUGAUUCUUGUAGGGGGUGGAGAUGAUGUCUGACUAGUCUCCUAAAGGCAUCUUCUAGUCUUGAGAGGUUUCUUUGCUCUUCCAGUCCAUCUAGAAGUAGGAGGACCCAUUUACAAUUGUAAAUUAGCCUGCUUAGGUUAGAUAAAUUUCUGCUCCAGGUUCUCAAACCUUUUCUGACCUGCUUCAAUUUUCCUGACAGGUGGUUCGCAGCAUUGGCAAAGAAAGGUGAGUUAUCCCAGUGAAGUUUAACUGUCCCAAGGAAGCCAGGGUGCUCAGUCCAAAAAUUCUCGAAUCUAAACAUCUUGCUUUUGGGUAUGGUGGUACUAAUGUGCAUCACAUAGGGAAUAUGGUCAGAUAUGGGUCUUGUAAGAGUCUGAAUAAAAGUGCCAGUAAAGGACAAGGUCCAAGAGGCGUUGGCGAAGACCCAAUCCAGUUUGACUAAAAGGGGGUCUAUUUGUAGGUUGCUCCAAGUGUAUUUUCUGCCACUAAAAGGGAUUUCAACCAGAUCAAGAUCAGAGAUUAGCUCAUUGAACAUAGUCAUUUCAUUGAUACUUCCACCUGGUUUGUUUCUGUUCUCAGCAUUUCUGAUUAGGUUAAAAUCACCCCCUGAGGUCCAUUCUUCGUAGAGGCUGGUGUCUAGGUUCAUGAGCCAAGUGACAAAGCCUUGUUUUUCUGCAGGGUUUGCUGGUCCAUAAAUAUUAGUGACAUGGAAGGAUUUGUCUGAAAAUUUGCAGGAGAGUUUGACUGUGAUGGAGUACGAAUUCAUAUGUACCACUACACCGUCAAAGAUACAGCUAUUCCAAACUGUUAGGAGCCCCCCAGAGGCACCAUUUGAAGGGAAGAAGGCAAAUUUGUCCAUGCUUCUGGGACAAAAUUUUUUGAUAUAGAAGUUGUCAAAACCUUCUCUUUUUGUUUCUUGUAAACAGAGAACUUGGCACGCACUCUCAUUGAUUUUAUCUCUUAUGGCAUCCCAUUUCUCUUGUGAAUUUAUUCCUCUCACAUUCCAGAAGAGAAUCCUAAUUGACAUAUUGUUGUUUCUGUUUUCGUUACUCAUGAUCACAGAUGGAAAUGAGACUGAUAUACUGACCUGACAAAGGCAGGGCCAGGCAUGAUACCCAGAUCGAGAAUAAGUAUAAGUGAAAAGGGCACCAACGAAAGCAAAAGCACAGGGGCAAAUACAAGUACGAGAUAUAAAAGCAGGUGUUCAGGAACAAGGUUAUAGUGCUACCAGAGCACACAUUACAAUUAUUUGGCCAGAGCAUAAACUGGCGAGAGAGAUAAGCAAAAGUUUCUGAGAUAAACUUUGCCAGCACUAGGGCUGGAACCGAGACCAAGAACUUAAGACUACUAAUCAUCAAGAUUGUCUUGCUCAAGGAGUGCAGCAGAUACGACCGUAGGUUGUAUCUGAAGGAACCCUUCACCAAUGCCUUCAAGAACCUCCUUGGGUAGGUGAGGAGCAGCAGCUGGAGGGAUCAUGGCUAAAGGUGUGGGCUCCUCCACCUCAGGUUCAGGCAUCUUGUGCUUCUUGGUGCCUGUAUCUCCUUUCUUCCUCUGUUUGACUCCAGUCUUGUUCAUCUUUUUAUUCUCUUCCUCUGUAUGCUUCAACGCCUUCCCAAUCUUCUCCUGCUUCUGUGAUAUUAGCAAGGAAUAUGAGAAACAUAGCAAUCACACCCCUGUAAUAAUGUUGCUCUGCCAGCCCAAUACACGAGAAGGGGACUAUAUAAGAAUCAAUGAAGCUGUCACUAUCACGAACCACCCCACGAUAUGGCAUAUUGGGUACAAUCGCAGAUAAAUACGGUAUAAGCACCACGCCUACACAAUAUCUAUCAUUUACCCAUGGAUCCGAUGGAUAAACGCUAUACGAUCCUAAGCAUGUAUAUAGAUCCAAUCUAACUAAGCCAAGUACAUAACUAUGAUAAACUAAGAACAAUAUAAUCUUGAAUAUAAGCAAGUAGAGCAAAGUCAUAAGCAAUAUAUUGAAGUAGAACAAAGUCAUAUUCAUAAUAUUGAAGAACAAAGAUAAUUAGAAAGUAAUUAGAAGCACAAUUAGAGAAUUACCAAGAAUCCUCUUGACAGAUCCGGAAACCAAUCGACGAUUGACUCCUUCUAGUUCUAAUCCUAUGUAGCUAUGCUAAUCUAGAUAUCUAAUUGAUGUGGUGGCUCUAAUCUUGAUCAGAGGCUUCUUCUCCCUUGAUGGAACAAUGAAUUAGGGUUGAGAGGCUCUCUCCUCCAGGGGCCAGGGGGUCUGGUUUUAUAGUCCCUUCAAGUGAAUAUGGGCCCUUGGAUCAAACCGACAUAGAUUGUACGGUUUAGAUUCAUCCUUUAGGUCGGUGGAGAUCUCCCGCAAAGCAGAGUCCUGAUUGGACUCAGGGGCAGGGCGGGCGCCCUGACCAACUGGGCGGCCGCCCAGGGUCAGGCCCCGUUUCGCCUCCACUUCGGUCUCGUGGCUUCUGGAGUCUUCUAGAUGUAAGAUAAUUGCGCAGCACGUUAAUAUCUUUACGUAAUCCCGACAUGUGGGCCUUUCUUCCGUAUUUUCUGAUAACCCCUGCAGAAAUAGACAAACACCAAAACUCGUGGAAUUCUAUCAGAUAAAACCCUAAGUCUAGAUCUUGAUUUCAUUUGGAUCCUUUUCUUUAUUUAUUUGAUAAUUAAAUUUGAUACUUAAGGACCGUCAACAGGGAGGACAAUGGUGGUGUGUCGAUUACACAGAAUAGAUAGAUUGUUACUUUCCAUAAUUGUUAGAGUUUAUUUUAUGUACUAGUUCUGUUUGGUUUGGAACUAAAAUCCUAGUCGUAUCUGGUUGUAACUCUUUAGGACAUAGUAUAAAUAUAGGCCUAGUAGCGAUGUAAAAGACGAAUCAAUCAAUACUAUACACAAGUUUUACGUCUACUUUUGCAUCUACUUUUCGACAACUUCGUCAACUCGUAUAUUUUCUUUUACUUACGAGUUCUUAAGAAUUCAUCGAGUCAUAGCCGAUGAGUUCUCUGAGGGGAAGUGCAUAUGGACUUCUCCGGUUCCAAUGUAGAUAAUUGCUUUAACGGUGCUGAGGAACGGUCUUCCAAGGAUGAUGGGUGGAUCAUACUCAUCUUCUCCCAUGUCAACAACUUGAAAGUCUGUGUAGACAAAGUGAUCGUCUAUUUUGACUGGGACAUCAGUUACUAUUCCUUUGACUUCUCGAAAUGUCUGAUCUGCCAUCUGGAGCUGAAUGUAUGUUGGUCUUAGUGGCAUGGUCCCGAACAAGAGCCGAUAGGUGACUGCAGCCAUUAUGUUGACGCCCGAUCCGGUGUCGCAAAUUGUCUUGUAGAAGCUAUAUCCAUGUAUGGAGCAGUAGAUGCUUGGCAUUCCUGGGUCGUCCUUCUUGGUCAAAAACGGUGACUUAAGUUGAUGAUCUUGGCCUCCAUGGACUACAGUGACCAUCUUAGCUGACUCGGUCCACACUUGCUUGUUCCUGUUUCUCCUGUUGGUCCUCUUCCUUGAUUUACGUCUAGAUUGAUCUUGAAUUUGUGUAGUCUUGUUCUUGAAGAAAAAUGUCUCCUUCUUCCCUUUGACGUAGAAACUGAUCUUGGCAGCACUGGCGUAGAUGAUAGCUCCCGUGGUGUUCAAGAAUGGCCUCCCUAGGAUGAUAGGUGCUCUCUCAUCAUUUCCGGUCUCUACCACUACGAAGUCUGCUGGGGCAUAUAAGGUACCAACUCGGACACAAAGGUUCUUCACUAUUCCUUUUGGAAAAGUUAUCGUCUGAUCUGCAAACUGCAAACACAUGGUUGUUUCUAGUAAAGGAUAUGUAAAGAAUUUCUCAUAGAGUACCCUGGGUAUAAUGUUGACACUAGAGCCAAAGUCGCAGAGUGCUUCUGGGAAGUCCACCAUGCCGACGGAGAUCGGGAUGACGGGGCGUCCUGGAUCGCCUCUCUUGACCGGCAGAAGGUCAGUAGAGAAUUCAUUGAUGGGGUUACUCCAAUUACCUGCAUCAAACAUGUCUACAAGAUUUGCAGAUUCUAAUCCUUCCAGUUGUGAUGGUAUACCGGGGUUAGUAGUAGGAACAGCAGCAGCUAUUUGAUUUAACUGAGAUUCAAUCAUUUUAUUAAAGCUAAUUUGAUUCUUGAUGGCAGUAGAAAAAUUAUCCAUUCUAUUGUUUAUAUUUUCUAGCAUUCUAUCAUUAGAUGCCAAUUUCUUAGAUAGGUUAUCCAUUAGCUUUCCUUGAUUAGACACUAACUCUCUCAAAGGUGGAAAAUUAUUAUUAUUGUUGUAAGAAUUGUUACCUUGAUAAUUACCUGAGUAGUUAGGCCUCUGUUGAUUCCAACCUUGAUUUUGUUGAGGACGGUUGUAGUAGUAGUUGUUGUUGUUGUUGAUGUAGUUCACAUCCUCAAGUAUCUCAGGGCAGUGGUUGCCUGAGUGUCCAGUAUCUCCACACUCCUCACAAGUCAUGUGAGAGUCGUAGAUGUGCAUAACUUCUUUCUUAUCUCCAGCUCUAUCGUCGAGCUUCUUCAUGAGCAGGUCUAGCUUUGCAGACAGCAUGUCUACCUCCUUCAGCUGAUGCAUACCUCCACCUCUCUUGCGUGUCUGGGUCCUCUCUUCAUUCUAGCUUUGAUUGGACGCCAUCUUCUCCACAAGAGCUGUGGCUUGUGGUAUAGUAAGUGAUAAGAAUGCUCCUCCAGCUGCAGCAUCCAUGGUCUCUCGGGCACUGUUGCUGAGCCCAUGAUAGAAUGUCUGCAUCAAUAGCCAACUCUCCAUUCCAUGAUGGGGACAUUCUAGGAUGUAGUCUUGAAAGCGCUCCCAUACUUCUGGAACAGAUUCAUCAUUUUGUUGCUGAAAACUCGUAAUCUUCCCACGGAGAGCAUUGGUCUUGCCUAUCGGAAAGAACUUAGCCAGGAAGUUUGUUGAGCAGAGUGCCCACGUAGUAUUCUUCUCCUUUGUAGCGUAGAACCACUGCUUCGCUCUUCCUAACAGUGAGAAUGGGAAGAGGCGAAGUAGUAUAGCGUCUUUGGAAACUCCUGCUAUGGUGAAUGUGUUGCAAAUCUCUAGGAAGUGUUGUAAAUGAGCACUAGCAUCUUCGUGUGCCUUCCCACAGAACUGGUUGGAUUGCACCAUGUUGAUAAGCCCAGGCUUGAGCUCAAAGUUGCCAUCGAUCUCUGCAGCAGGUCCAGUGCGGAUGUUGUCCGUAGUGGGAGCUGAGAACUCGCGGAUCGAUUUGUUCGCCAUGGCUUUGAACUUUGAAGACAAGUUCCGGUGAUCUUCUUGAUUGGAUGAAGCUUCUUGCUGAAGUGUUGAUGAUCUCUUCUUGAUCUUUGCUCUCGUCUUCUUGAAUAAUGCUUCGGGAUUGUCAACAAAAUUUCCUGGAAGAUGUCUUCUAUUCAUACAUUCCCCUGCAUAAGAUAAAAUAGAAAAAUAUCGGGGUAAAACUGUAUGAGAGAAUAGAUAAGCUCAAUCAUAUUAGUGAUGCGAAUGAUAACUCAAAAUCUUUUAUUCCAUUCCUGAUUGGUAAUCAACCUUCCCCGGCAACGGCGCCAAAAAAUGCUUGUUGGGUAUUCUUAACAUCAUUACCAAAAGUAGACUAAGUUCUCUAAAUCUAGUAACGGUGCCAAAAAUGCCAAACCUAUCCCUCACACCACUUAAGCCAAGUUGUCAUCCCCAACAUGACAUGAGAGACGCGGUAUUGAAAUAUGCAAUUGCUCUUCUAAAUAAAUAAUGAAUGGAAUCUGCAAGCGCACAGAUUAAUACCGAUGUAGCAUUUUAACCGGGAAGUAUUCCAGGUAUCGUUAUUUAUAUUUUUACCACUGGGAAGGGAUUAGAAAUCAUCACUAAUGAUUACAGAAUAGAAUAUGAGAUUGAGCAUCUAUCAUUGCAUGUAUAAUUGAGAACAUUAUAUCUAACUCUUCAUACAGGGGUAAGGGUCACAUAAAAGAUAUAUGAAAUAAUAAUAGUGACAAGGAUAACUAAUCUGAUCUAGCCACAUAAUAAAUAUGAUAAGCACCUCAAUUAGAUACUCUAGAAAGUCAUUAGCAUGGUAUUAGAACGAACUACAAGAAUAUUCCCUAAGUUAUUCUUAACUAUAUAGUCUAGCAUUAUCAUAGUUAGUGCAAGCAUACUUAGCAAUCAUUGCGAGACAAGACUACGGCCAUGCAUAGUGAUAUUAGCAAGGAAUAUGAGAAACAUAGCAAUCACACCCCUGUAAUAAUGUUGCUCUGCCAGCCCAAUACACGAGAAGGGGACUAUAUAAGAAUCAAUGAAGCUGUCACUAUCACGAACCACCCCACGAUCUGGCAUAUUGGGUACAAUCGCAGAUAAAUACGGUAUAAGCACCACGCCUACAUAAUAUCUAUCAUUUACCCAUGGAUCCGAUGGAUAAACGCUAUACGAUCCUAAGCAUGUAUAUAGAUCCAAUCUAACUAAGCCAAGUACAUAACUAUGAUAAACUAAGAACAAUAUAAUCUUGAAUAUAAGCAAGUAGAGCAAAGUCAUAAGCAAUAUAUUGAAGUAGAACAAAGUCAUAUUCAUAAUAUUGAAGAACAAAGAUAAUUAGAAAGUAAUUAGAAGCACAAUUAGAGAAUUACCAAGAAUCCUCUUGACAGAUCCGGAAACCAAUCGAAGAUUGACUCCUUCUAGUUCUAAUCCUAUGUAGCUAUGCUAAUCUAGAUAUCUAAUUGAUGUGGUGGCUCUAAUCUUGAUCAGAGGCUUCUUCUCCCUUGAUGGAACAAUGAAUUAGGGUUGAGAGGCUCUCUCCUCCAGGGGCCAGGGGGUCUGGUUUUAUAGUCCCUUCAAGUGAAUAUGGGCCCUUGGAUCAAACCGACAUAGAUUGUAUGGUUUAGAUUCAUCCUUUAGGUCGGUGGAGAUCUCCCGCAAAGCAGAGUCCUGAUUGGACUCAGGGGCAGGGCGGGCGCCCUGACCAACUGGGCGGCCGCCCAGGGUCAGGCCCCGUUUCGCCUCCGCUUCGGUCUCGUGGCUUCUGGAGUCUUCUAGAUGUAAGAUAAUUGCGCAGCACGUUAAUAUCUUUACGUAAUCCCGACAUGUGAUCGUUUCUUCCGUAUUUCCUGAUAACCCCCUGCAGAAAUAGACAAACACCAAAACUCGUGGAAUUCUAUCAGAUAAAACCCUAAGUCUAGAUCUUGAUUUCAUUUGGAUCCUUUUCUUUAUUUAUUUGAUAAUUAAAUUUGAUACUUAAGGACCGUCAACAGGGAGGACAAUGGUGGUGUGCCGAUUACCCAGAAUAGAUAGAUUGUUACUUUCCAUAAUUGUUAGAGUUUAUUUUAUGUACGAGUUCUGUUUGGUUUGGAACUAAAAUCCUAGUCGUAUCUGGUUGUAACUCUUUAGGACAGAGUAUAAAUAUAGGCCUAAUAGCGAUGUAAAAGACGAAUCAAUCAAUACUAUACACAAGUUUUACGUCUACUUUUGCAUCUACUUUUCGACAACUUCGUCAACUCGUAUAUUUUCUUUUACUUACGAGUUCUUAAGAAUUCAUCGAGUCAUAGCCAAUGAGUUCUCGAGUUCCGUGUGAAUACCUGUUGGCCGUGGCAUCCAGGCGUAUCGCUGUUGUCGGGACCAAAGUAUUCGAGUUACCACCUUUGUCGAUUGUAAGGUCAAAUCGACUAGCAUGCCUUAACGUUGAAUCAGGUAUAAGCCCUUUGUGUUUGCAAAUUCACUUUUGCAUCAACACAUCUUUUGGCAUGCUCGGGGGGACAAAUAUAUCAGCAAGAUCAACAUGGCUACUACUGAGCUCGACGCAGACAAUGUCAUUGCCGUGAAGGAAGCUGGGACGAGCAGAAGUAGGCCAUGGCAAGGGCUAUGGAGGAGUAGAAGUAGCUCUGCUUGAAAUCCUUCAGCCUCAGUAGGAGCAGUGAAGAAAUCUAGAAGCAGGAGCUGCCGAUGCCUCGGCAGAUCACUUUUGAAGCCAAUCAUGGUAAAUUGCAAGAUAUGGUUGACAAUGCUAUUAAUCAUGCUUCGAUCAAUCAAUCCAGUGUGCUGUCCAAUACUGUUGUCAAUGCUGUGGCUAGAACCUUUAAAGAAGGACAUGCACCACCACUAUAUGUUGGCCCGGCCUAUCAUUAGCCUGGGUUGUCAUCGAUCAUGGCUCCAUUGGCUCCUCCAGCCGUUGCGGGUGAAAGCCCUAGUUUGGUUUUGGAUAAUUGAUGAAACCCUUGUACUAAUCUCUAUACUAAGUGUGUGUAGACUUAAUGAGGUUGGUACAUGCCAAGUAAUGGAGCAAGUGAUGAUCAUGGUGACAAUGGUGAUGACCACAAGGUGAUCAAGUGCUCAACUUGGAAAAGAAGAAAGAGAAAAACAAAACCCUAUGGAGAUCAAGGCAAAGGUAUUGCUUAGGGCUUUGGUUUUGGUGAUCAAGAAACCAUAGAGGGUGUGAUCACAUUUAAGAUAGAUAGCCGUACUAUUAAGAGGGGUAAUCUUGUUAUGAAAACAAUUUUCUAAGUUGUUGACGGUCCUUAAGUACCAAAUAUAAUCAUCAAAUAAAUAAAGAAAAUGAUCCAAAUGCAACCAACACCUAGACUUAGGGUUUUAUCUGAUAGAAUUCCAUGAGUUUUGGUGUUUGUCUAUUUCUGCAGGGGUUAUCAGGAAAUACAGAAGAAAGGCCCACACGUCGGGUUUACAUAGAGAUAUUAAUGUACCGCGCAAUUAUCUUACAUCUAGAAGACUCCAGAAGCCACGGGAAGGAAGCGGAAGCCGAACGGGGCCAGGCACUGGGCGCCCGCCCCCUUGCAGAGUUGGAUCAGGACUCUCUUUCGAGACUAAUCUCCACCAACCUAAAGGAUCAAGGAUAACCGUCCAAUCAAUGUCGGUUUGAUCCAAUGGCUCACGUUCACUUGAUGGGACUAUAAAACCAGACCCCUGGCCCCUGGAGGAGACAAGUUCAUCAUAGAGUUGAGAGGAGCCCUCGAAGGAAUACCUCUCCUCUAAAUAAAAUUUCUUUUAGGCUUAGCAUCCAAUGUGAGUAGAAUUAGAUCUUCUAGUUUCUACUAGAUUGAGAGAGACAGAGUGGAGGUGUAGAUCGGAGGAAGCCCGGCCUGUCGGUGUCUACCCCGAGGUUGUACCUUUGGUAUCAUGUUCUCCUAACCCGAAGCUUGCUCCUAGGAUUCUUCAGUAAUUUGACUUCUAAUUCUAGUAAGUUCUUGUUUUAUUGUUCUUUGGUUUAUGAGUUUACUUUAAUCUCUUCCGAUUGAGCAUUAGAGUAAUCAUUGCUAGCAUAAACGUGGUGUUUAGGCUAGGGUACUCAUAGAUAUCCCCUGACUAGCUGGACCGUGGUAGUUGCGAAGAACGUGACAUUUUCCGAGUUACCUUUGCAUCCCACAUCUUGUUAGCAGGAUGGGUAGGUUUAUAGGUGCGGGUCGAACAUCCUUUGUGGUGUCUAGAUUCCGUAAGCUUCUCCAAUAGAACAGUAGAUCAUCCUUACCAAGGUUAGAACGAGACUACGGUUGCAGUCUUCUCUACACAUCACUCACAUCGAGAAACAUUCUUUGUAGCCUAAAGGGUAGUAGCAAUAGAUUUGGUUAGUCAGAUGCACCCUUUCUCCCAGUGGUAAAAAUAUAACUACGAUAACUCUGGAUAACCUCCCGGGUGAAAUGCUCACCGAUAUCCAUGCGCUUGCGGAUCAUUUCCUUAUUGCGUUACCAAAUAUCAACAAUUAUUUCUGGGACCGUUGUCGGGGAGCAAGAUGGUUUGCUGAGAUAACUUUAAGUCUUGAUAUUAUCUUGUAUUAUACUUUUAUACUUUUAUUAUUUUAUCUUUUUAUUUUUUCCAUCUUUAUGGAUAACUUAAAUUCCAUACCCAUUAUUGAAUUUUUUGCACCUUCGGAGACCAACCAUAGACCAUGGGAGUCAACAAGACGUUCCUUUGCCCCUAAUUGUGAUCUGUGUCCUGAGUUGAUUGCAAUAGGUCAAAACCAACCCUUUUCUAUAGCUGAGGUCCUAUCUUUUAAUCAAGAAGAUAAUGAGCUUUUAGCUCCACCUAGGGAAUCUUUUAAUCUUUCUAUAAAUUCUGGUUUAAAUCUAGCCCUACAAUACCAUGUUUUUCCUAGAUAUUUUCACAUUGGUCUUAAUCAUAUAACCUUUGGUAGAGUCCUUCUUUCUUUAUCUAUUAGUAAAGGAAGGUAUGUCUUCAUUUGUGGACAUCCUUCUUGCACUAGUCUUCAUAAAAAAUUCCUAGAGAUAGAGAAGGAAUCAUCUCCCAGACGAGGAAAGGAAGUUUCAAUAGCCAAUUUCCAAACAUUCCAAUCCCAUGAUUCGGCUAUCCAACCCAUCAUUGAGCCUAAUAAUUUCUACUAUGCUCUUUCUCUUGAACCUCCCAAUAAUUCUAUGAAUCUCUCUAGACAUCCCAUGCAUAAGAGUCACCAAGACCACGAGGAUCGAGAAGAGCAACAUCAAUGGCUAGAGGGCAUUAAAAAUCCAUGUGCUAUCACCAUUAAAUGGAUGGAUAAAACAAACUUGAGAGACAAACCUAGAGGAAUUUUAAGCAUUCAUGAAGAAUCAUCCUUGGAGUUUGAGAAUGAGAGAAACAACAGUGAGCAUGGAAAUUAUUUCAUAAAUACCUCACCAAGUCCUUGCUCAUAUAAAACAUCUCCCCAAUCAAUUAGUCUCUCCAACCUCACCACAUUUGAGAUCUCCAACCCCCUAUUCCUUUCUAUUUAUAAAAACUUUAAAGGGGUGGUUAUCGAUGCAUAUGUCUAUAAUAAAUAUUGCAGAUAUCGUUGAGUCGAUCUUGAUAUAGGCACGCUUAGGGUGGUGUAGGAGGGGAAACCACUUCACCAACAUAAUUUGAUGGUUUCCCAAGGACAAGCUUAGUGUCCUAAAACAAGCACUGAUUAGAUCGUAACAUGAGCUUGUUGACACUGUUUUUGGGCACGUGUCCAGGAUGACAGGAUAAGAUGACAGUAUGUGGUUUACAGAAUGAGUUGCCGAUGAGGAUGGUUGCCGAUAAAGAAGAGGUUGGACGUGACUAAGUUUACAGGUGAUGAUGUGUCUGUGCCGAUGACUAUGAUGAGGAGGUCUGCCGAUGACCAUGGUAAAAGAGUCUGCCGAUGAUACAGAGGGGGAGUCUGGAAGCUGCUGAUCGGGCUGUGGAAGAGUUUCAAUUUGUCACGAGGGAUAGCUGAGUUAUUUCCUUAUUGGUUUAAGUCGUUUUGUAUACGGAUUCCGUGUGAUUUGGAAUUCGAAUUCUGGUCGUGUUUAGUUAUAGCUCUUUGAGCAGGGUAUAAAUAUGGACCCUAGUGCUUUGUAAUGAGACAUCUAUCAAUCAACCAAACACACGUUUUUACUCAUAUUCCAGCAUCUACUUUUCGACGACUUCGUCAUACUUUUUCCUUUUAUUACGAGUUCUUAGGAAUUCGUCGACUUAAGCUCGGCGUAUUUUCAAGUUCCGCGUGAGUACCUCUUAGCCGUGACAUCCGGGCGCAUCGCUGUUGUCCGGACUAAAGUAUUCGAGUUAUCACCCUUGCCGAUAGUAAGGUCAAAUCGGCUGGCACGCCUUAAUGUUUGAAUUGGGUAUUAGCCCUUUGUGUUUGCAGAUCAGUUUUGCAUCAACACAUCUUUUGGCACGCCCAGUGGGACCAGAUUCAAGAUCAAGGUCAACAUGUCGACCUCUGACUUCGAUCAGGAGAACAUCAUCCCUGUGACGGAGGCCAAUCUCAAGGAUGAGCAGAAGCAAGCUAUUGCCCAAGCCAUGGAAGAAUUCAAGCUGCAAUGCCUAAGGUCUUUCAGCAUAAACAGGAGCGGCGAGGUGAUCCAGAAAGAUGCAUUGCCGGCACCACGGCAGGUUACCUUUGAAGCCAAUCCUGGUAAGCUUCAAGAUAUGGUUGACAGUGCUAUUAACCGAGCUUUGAUCAACCAAGCUGGUGUACUGUCUAAUACGGUUUUCAAUGCCGUGGCAAGAACUUUCAAGGAAGGACAAAUCCCACCAGAUUAUGUGGGCCCCUCUCAUCAUCAGCCAACGGCACCAGAGGUCACGGCUCCAUCGGCUGCUUUGACGACUGCAAGUGCACAAUCUGUCGUCCCUCCAAGUACAUCGGGAGCUACUGGUGCACUAUCUGUGCCGAUGACAACUAACCCGCAGACUUCAGGUGGGCAGAAUAAGCUGACUACAGAUAUGUUAGCAUCGACAAUGUCAGGGUUGACUCUUCCUCCUAACUGGUGGGGUUAUGGUAUGCCUCCAGAAUUGACGCCAGGUACAUCGCAGAUAACCGACAUGAGGGGCAAGACUCCUAUGACAUCGGCGCUUCCCAAUGCGCCGGUGAACCAGAGUCCCCGGUAUACGACAACUACUACUGCAAGGCCUCACACUGGGAAUCCUCAAGAUUCAAAGUUCCAGAUGCCUAAUGCAUCGGCAGAUUCGAUGCUGAUGCAAUAGAGGUCUAUGGCCCAGUCGGGAUAUGUCAAUUCGACGAUGGUACCCAAUUACCAAUCAUCAGCAGCACCUAUACCGAUGAAUACCAAUAAUGGGUGGCUUGGACAACAAGUCUUUCCACAAUCGCCCCAGCAGAGUUAUCAGGCUACAGGGUUCCAGCAAGGACAUGUCUAUCCCGGGUUCCAAGGUCAGGGGAUUCCCAACCAGCCGAUGAAUUUCGGACAGCAACUCGGGGGACAACAAAUCAGUGGACAGCAGUUUGGUGGUCCGCAGAUUGGAGGGCAGACGAUCAACCCAGUGUUCCGUGCAGAUCACGCCCCGAACAGACACGUGGAGGUUCGCCAUCAGAUGCCGGACCCGCAGCCUCCUCAUCGGCAGGAUGCCGAUGCAUAUUGGGACGAUAAAAUUGCUGAAGUAAUGAGGGAACAAUUUGGGAUAAAACCCAAAGUCAACACUUACUCUUAUCGGACACCGUAUCCUCCUGCAUAUGAUUUGAUCCCGCUUCCACAUCGGUACAAGGUACCGGAUUUUACCAAAUUUUCCGGGCAGGACGACACGUCAACCAUGGAGCAUGUUAACAGGUUCAUCAUUCAAUGCGGAGAAGCUGGUAACAGGGACGAAUUAAGGGUUCGUCUAUUUUCAUCAUCAUUAUCUGGAUCGUCCUUUACUUGGUUCAUAUCAUUACCUCCUAACUCAGUGAUUACUUGGGCCGAUUUGGAGAAGCAAUUCUACAAAUACUUCUUCUCCGGGGUUCAUGAGAAGAAGAUCACCGACUUGGUCAAGUUGAGACAGCGCAAUGAUGAAUCUGUUGAAGGUUUCGUGCAGAGGAUACGGGAAGUUAAGAAUAAAUUCUAGAUGAUCGGCAGCUAGCCGAUUUGGCUUUCCAGGGUUUAUUGCCACACAUCAGGGAUAAGUAUGCUUCUCAGGAGUUUGAAAGCUUAAGUCAUUUAGUGCAGAGGAUUUCUGAUCAAGACGUCAAGCCUUUCGAGCCCAAAAGAGCAUGGAACAAGAAAGUAUCAUUUGUUGAUGAAGCAACGAGCUCCGAUUCUGAUGAGGAACCAGUCAUCGGCUUGGCAGAGUGGGUCAAAAACAAGAAGCCGAUGUCUUGUCCUUUUGGGCAGAAAGAACCAGAGAAGUUCGCUUUCGACACUGCUAAGGCCGAUAAGAUAUUUGAUUUUCUACUCCAAGAAGGUCAGAUCAAGCUGUCUCCUAAUCACGUGAUCCCAUCGGCUGAGGAGUUGAAGAGGAUGAGAUAUUGCAAGUGGCACAAUGCAACUUCUCAUGACACUAAUGAAUGCAAAGUUUUCAGACAGCAGCUGCAAUCGGCAAUAGAGUCUGGGAGGAUUAAGUUUGACAGUUCCAAGACCCAGAAGCCGAUGAAGAUAGACCAACAUCCUUUCCCGACAAACAUGUUGGAUGCCAAGGGGAAGGCCAAGGUCUUAACAUCGGAAACAGCCGAGAAAAGUGCAUCGGUAGAUCCUCAGCAUCAAGUUACUACUGCCGAUGCAAAAAGUAAGGGCUUAGUCCAGGAAGGAACCAGUUCGGGUAGGCCCCCUCGGUCUGGUAUCGUUAUAACUCAUAGAAGACCUCGAGAGAACUGGCAGCAACGGGAAGAUCGGUAUCGGCGCCAGCAAGAAGAUUAUCGAUGGGAGGAAGAAAGACGCCGACAGGAGUGGAAUCGGCAUAGAGAUCAUUGGAACUGCCCGUUCUUCAUCCAUUGUUGGGAGGAAAAUAUUAAGCUUCCUACUGUCAGAGACUGCCCUGAGUGCAAUGGUUAUGAUCGGUACGACAGGACUGAUCGGCGUUAUCAUGAUGACAAUCUGCGAUUAGAUGGGCCGAUCAGAGGAAGAGCAUCGGUUCAUGAUCGGCUGGGGGCAGGCUUAGCGUGCACGAUAGGCUUGGUGAUCGUGUCCAAUAUUUUCCCAGGAACCAGGAAGAGCUCGAGGAGAUGGCUAAUGCGCGGUUCCCGAUGAGUUUAUAUUUUGCAGGGAUGCUCACACGUAUCGUAUGGAGUCAAGGGAGAACCGACGCCCGGCAGCAAGGCGAAAGCCAUUCCCUCCAUGGUGUCCUGAAGGGUUGACCAAGACACAGAAAAGGAGACUGCAGCGUGAAAGGCAAGAGGAGCUAAACAAGGGCGAAAACUCUGGUCAGUCUGGAGAUCGGCAGCAAUCAGAUCCUAAGAAAGGAGGUCCAUCGGCAGGAGUUAACAUGGUCUUUAUGUUACCGAUGGAGUUUCUUGCACCAUCCAGUGAUGAUGAGUUGGAAUUGUCCGAUCGGAUAGCUCAGCUGGCUCUAGAUCCAAUGACCGCUAUCUUUGAGAAACCUGCCGAUGACGAAAGACAGCAUCUCAAAGCUCUGUUCGUCAAAGGAAGGGUUGAUGGGCAACCAAUGACCAAGAUCCUAGUUGAUGGUGGAGCUGCUAUUAAUAUUAUGCCAUAUGCAGUAUAUCGGAAGCUUGGGAAAGGGGAUCAGGACUUGACCAAGACCGAUAUGAUGCUCAAGGAUUUUGAAGGAAACGUGUCUCCAGUCAAAGGGGCAAUAUGUGUGGAGUUGACCAUCGGCAGCAAAACCUUGCCGACAACUUUCUUCGUAAUCAGUGGAAAGGGUGCUUAUAACUUAUUGUUGGGAAGAGAUUGGAUUCAUGCCAAUUGCUGCAUCCCGUCUACAAUGCACCAAUGCCUGGUUCAGUGGGUAGGCGACAAAAUUGAGAUUGUCCCAGGAGAUUCUUCUUAUGUUAUAGCAUCAGUAGAAGCGGAUACCUAUGAGAGGACUAGGUGCAUUUCAGGGGAAGUUUGGGAGAAGGAUUUUCUCAAAGUUGCCGAUUACGAAAUUCCACCGAUCCAAGCAGUCGGUUCUAACGACGGUUUUUAAUGGAUAGGUUCGCCGAUGAUGGAAAAUUAGGCCAGGGAUUCACAUCGGCCGAUGAUUUGGUAGAAGUAGAUAUAGGUAGUGGUGAUAAGCCUAGGCCCACUUUUAUUAGUGCUAAGUUAAGUCCUGAGUGUAAGCAGCAAUUAACCAAUUUGUUAAAGGAAUAUAAAGAUUGCUUUGCUUGGGAUUAUACCGAGAUGCCUGGUUUAGACCGAUCAAUUGUUGAACAUCGGUUACCCAUUAAGUCUGGAUUUUGGCCACAUCAGCAGCCAGCUCGCCGAUGUAAUCCUAAUAUUCUACCUGAUAUUAAGGCCGAAAUCACUAAGCUUAUUGAAGCUAAGUUUAUUCGGCAGUGUCGGUAUGCCGAAUGGAUUUCCAAUGUCGUUCCGGUUUACAAGAAAAAUGGGAAGCUUCGGGUGUGCAUUGAUUUCAGGAAUCUCAAUAAAGCUACGCCGAUGGAUGGAUACCCAAUGCCUGUUGCCGAUCUGUUGGUGGACGCCGCGGCUGGUCAUCGGGUCAUCAGCUUUAUGGACGGCAAUGCAGGAUACAAUCAAAUAUUCAUGGCAGAGGAAGAUAUUCCAAAAACCGCAUUUAGGUGUCCUGGUCAUGUUGGGUUAUUUGAAUGGAUAGUCAUGACCUUUGGGUUAAAGAAUGCUGGUGCUACUUAUCAAAGAGCCAUGGAUUUUAUAUUUCAUGAGUUUAUCGGCAAGCUGGUGGAGAUCUAUAUUGAUGAUGUGGUGGUUAAAUCUGGAGAUUUCUCAAAGCAUCUUGCCGACUUACAAAAGGUGUUAGAGUGCACAAGGAAGCAUGGGUUGAAGAUGAAUCCCAAUAAGUGUGCAUUUGGUGUAUCGGUAGGGCAGUUUCUUGGUUUCAUGGUACAUCAAAGGGGGAUUGAAAUUAGUCGAAGAUCUGUUGAUGCCAUCAAUAAAAUAGUGGCCCCUACCAACAAGACUGAGCUCCAGUCCUUGAUCGGCAAGGUAAAUUUUAUCAGGAGAUUUAUAUCCAAUCUGUCUGGUAAGAUUCGUGCUUUCAGUCCUCUCCUUAAGUUGAAAGCCGAUCAAGAGUUUAUUUGGGGAAAAGAGCAGCAGUUGGCUUUGGAUGAAAUCAAGAAAUAUCUAGCGAAUCCUCCAGUUCUAGUUCCACCUCAACAGGGAAAGCCCUUCAGAUUGUAUUUGUCUACCGAUGGGACGGUUAUCGGUUCGGCUUUGAUUCAAGAAUUUGAAGGGAAAAAACGUGUAAUUUAUUACUUAAGCAGGAGAUUAAUUGAUGCUGAGACCAGGUAUUCGGCCAUUGAGAAGUUAUGCUUAUGCUUAUAUUUUUCGUGUAUUAAAUUGAGGCACUAUUUAUUAUCGGCCGAAUGCACUGUUGUUUGCAAAGAUGAUGUGGUCCGAUACAUGCUAUCUAUGCCGAUUAUGAGUGGCAGGAUCGGUAAAUGGAUUUUAGCACUGUCGGAGUUCGAUCUGCGUUACGAAUCGGCUAAGGCAGUUAAAGGACAGAUUAUGGCCGAUUUUGUGACUCAGCAUUGCGGUGUAGUGGAGGACUUGGAAAUUGUGCCCUGGACACUUUUCUUUGAUGAAUCUACAUGUGACCGCGGGGCAGGGAUCGGCAUUGUAUUAGUUUCCCCUAAGGGGAGGAAGUAUGAAUUUUCCUUACCGAUUGUUGCUACAUCGACAAAUAAUCAGGCUCUGAUCAAGGGAUUGGAGUUGUUAAGAGCAGUUCGUGUUGAUGCUGUUGAAAUUUUUGGGGAUUCUAUGUUGGUUAUAAAUCAAUUGGCCGGGAGCUAUGAAUGCCGAAGUGAAGUUCUCAUAACUCAUUUCGAGAAAAGCAUGCGACUGUUGAAAGAAUUCAAAGAUUUCCGAUUAGAGCAUAUUCCUCGAUUGCAUAAUGAAGAGGCCAAUCGGUUAGCUCAGCAUGCCUCGGGGUAUCAGCCUAUGAUUAAUGCAAUAUCGACAAUCGGUGCCGAUGAUUGGAGGAAGGAAAUUAUUGAUUAUCUAAAGGAUCCAUCCAAGAAAGUUGAAAGACGAGUUCGAUUUCAAGCGACCAAAUAUGUGCUCCUCGAAAAUGUAUUGUAUUAUCGAACUAUUGAUGGGAUUCUUCUCCGAUGUUUGGGUGAUGAUGAAGCUAGGAGUUUGAUGGGAGAGAUCCAUGAAGGGGUAUGUGGAGCACAUCAGUCGGCUUUCAAGAUGAAAUGGAUGAUUAGAAGGAAUGGAUAUUUUUGGCCGACUAUACUUGAGGAUUGCUUUAAGUAUUUCAAGGGAUGUCAAGGUUGUAAAAAGUUUGGUAACAUUCAAAGAGCACCCGCAUCGGCUAUGAAUCCUAUUAUCAAGCCUUGGCCGUUUCGGGGAUGGGCUAUCGAUCUGAUCGGCCAGAUUUAUCCACCAUCUAGUAAGGGGCAUAAGUUUAUUUUGGUUGCCACUGAUUAUUUCACUAAAUGGGUUGAAGCUAUUCCUUUGAAGAAGGUCACCUCGGCCAAUAUGAUUGAUUUUGUGAAGGAACACGUUAUUUACCGAUUUGGGAUUCCUCAGACAAUUACUACCGAUCAGGGCACUAUGUUCACAUCGGGGGAGUUUGAUGAAUUCGCAAUCGGUAUGGGGAUUAAAGUGUUAAAUUCUUCUCCUUAUUAUGCUCAAGCCAAUGGGCAGGCCGAAGCAUCUAACAAAGGGAUUAUCAAGCUUAUUAAACGAAAGAUUGAAGAAAAUCCUAAGCGGUGGCAUACAUUGUUAAAUGAAGCACUGUGGUCUUAUCGGAUGGCUUGUCAUGGAUCAACCAAGGUGUCACCCUAUCAAUUGGUGUAUGGACAUGAUGCAGUGUUGCCUUGGGAGAUUAAGGCCGGAUCCAGGCGAUUAUCUUUUCAAGAUCGGUUAACCGCCGAUGAUUAUGCUACUUUGAUGACCGAUGAAUUGGAUGAUCUAGCAGGGCAUCGGUUAAAAGCUUUAAUGAGUAUAGAAGAAAAUAAGAAGAGAGUUGCUAGAUGGUAUGAUAAGAAAGUGAAGGCUAAGGAGUUUGUCGAUGGGGAUUUGGUAUGGAAAUUAAUUUUGCCAGUCGGGACUAAAAGUGCGAAGUUUGGAAAGUGGUCUCCUAAUUGGGAAGGUCCUUAUCGGAUAAGUCGAUCGGCUCCUGGUAAUGCCUAUAUUCUAGAAACUCUCGAAGGAGUUGAAUUUCCUAGAGCAUUAAAUGGCAAAUAUUUAAAGAAGUACUACCCCAGCAUAUGGGUCGAUGCAUAAAAGUUUUAAUGCCGAUAACACUCCUAUCGGCUGGAUUCAAACGUUUGGGGGCUUAAUGUUUCAAAAGAUGCCGAUAACAGUCCUAUCGGCUAGACUAAAAGCUGAGGAAGUAGGGAAGCACAUAUAUGAUGCCGAUGAAAACUUUAUGUGUUAAGCAGCGCCUGGAUUGCCGAUAUAGCACGUAGCCGGAUUUGGUUGGCUGCUUCUAUCUCCUUAAUGUCAUCAUCGGCAGAACCCUCUAUCGGCUUCAGUUUCUUCUUCAGUUGAAGUGCCUUGCGACCAUGAACGUUUCGCUCAUGCUCAAGAAGCUUGAUGGUCUCUGGCAGUUGGCUCUCUUCCUGUUGAGCUUGGGAUAAGGCAUCCUCCACUUCCUUGAGUUCUGCCAACAAGGAUUCUCUUCUUGCCGAUAGAUCGGAUAUCUUCUGCUUCAGCGCGUCUCCUGAAGAUCUCAGGAUGCCGAUGUUCUUGUGCUUCUCAUCGGUCAAGAGCUUCUCUUUCCUCAUUUCGUCGGAGAGUUGAGUCUGAGCAGCUCUAUUGGCAAGACGCCGAGAAGCUCUCUGGUACUGCAGCUGGCGACUCUCCAAAUGAGCGGCUUGGAAAAGGGUUUCUUCGACAUCGGCUGGGAUUUGGCCUCUGAGAGUUCUGAACAGGGUCUUGGUAGGGUCAGAGUCGUCAACCAACUACGCUGUGUCUUGGUGAAGGAGAGCUGACAAUUCCUCCAGUCUGGUCCUGAUCUCUGCCGAUGUAAUGCCAACUGUCUGAGAAGAGCUUGCCUCUUCGCCUUCUUCUUCAGAGAGAUCGAUGGCGAAGGAGAACAGGCUGUCGGGAGAAUCUUGUUCCUGGGAGGGAGAGCAAAGUUAGUUCAUACUCGGAGAAUCGGCAAAUAAUACUGGUAAAGCUUGGGUGGCUUACUUGUUUUAAGGCUAUUUCCUGCCUUUGUCUGAAAGAUGCCGAUGGGAUGAUAUCGACUAAAAGAAGACAGGAAGGGUUAUGAGACUAAGUGAGAAUAAGUUUAUCGGCGGAAGUAUUGUUGAAAUAUGUUACCUGGAGGAGGAACAACAGUUGUCUGAAUCGGGGGAACCGCCGAUGAUAUAAUUGGACCUGCCGGGCCAGUUGUUUGUUCACCCACGUCAGCUGAUGUACCUUCUGUUUGAGGUUCUUCCUGCUGGGGUUCUUCCAUCUGUGAUGCUUCCUGCAUUGGUUGGGAAGAUGGUGCUUGCUGUGUCUGGACUCCUGGAGAAGAAGGAGAGGACUCCACCGGAAUUGGAGACACCGGAGGAGGAGGGGGACUUGCCACUUUCUGGCGCUUUGUUCCAGCCUUAGCACCUUUGGUGCCCUUUCUCUUUGGCUGACUAGACUGGGGGGCAUCGGCACUUUGGCGCUUGGCUUUUGCCGAUGCACCGGUUUGCUGCAACAACGAAAAGGGGUUUAUAAGCGCAGAUGUAGCCGAUAUGAAGAUGGUCAGUGUAAAAGAAAAAGAUUUGACAAAUUGCCUUGAAAGCCUGCGCCAGAGUGGAAGCAGCUACCGUAGGUGAUGUCUGAGUUCUCUUGGUGGUGACUUUCCUGAGGCGCACACCCUGAUGCACGACGGAAGCCAGAGUGGGAGCAUUGUGGCCGAUUGAGGAGAUCGGGCCUGAUGGAAACAAGUCAAUCGGCUUGCCACUCCUGCUAAUCGAUGGGGGGAUGUUGUCAACCUGCAAAAAGAAUACAAGGGUAAGCUACCAAUGGAAAUAGUAUUGAAAAAUGAAACAUCGGUUUAAAAUACUUACAGUGUCAUCGGGGACUUCGUAUUCGGGGUCGAUCAUGCCGCGGUAUGAGAGGGCCGAUCUGCAGAAUAGAUGCUCUUUCCAUUCUGCCCACCACAGCUUGUAUGCCUGAGUAAUAAAGGCAGCUGGAACCCAUUCUGACAGAUCUACAUCUGUAUCGGUAUUUGGUGGUAGUUGGGCUACUCGAAUCCAUUCAAGAAAGUUGGUGAUGGGUUCUCUGGGUUUUAUCACAUUGGCAUAAGGAAGUGCAAUCAGCAACUGGCCGAAAGCUAGCUGACGGGCUAAGGCCGAUGGAUUGUAAAAUUCAUAGGUUUGGGGAGAGGUUUUUGUGCUACCAAAGAAAUUCACUGGUAUGGCUCUGGGAGUCACAAUUGCCAUCAUCACCUCAUUAUCCCUGUCAAGAGCUUCAUCAAAAUGGAUUGAAGGUUAGAGGGAGCAUGCUGUCUGGGUCAUCAUAAGCCAACCAUGGUCGUUCAUCUCUGGCCAAUCCCUCAUACAGAGUCUGGAAGAAUCGACCGAUUUGAUCCGGAUUACUCCCUGAACUAGGUAGAACUAUGGCAGCUUCGCCAAAGUUCAGGGGGGCACGUGUUGCCGAUUCCUCUUCGCCCAACACAUGAUUUUCGGCUAUAUCUCUUGGGAAAUGCUGAGUGAACAAGUUGAAGUCAAGGCGCUUAUGCAAGUGCAGAUUGAGCCACAUGUUAAUAAACCACCAGGGACCUCCCAAGUUGCCGAUAGACUGACCAAGCAGGAGCUUCUGGGCUACCUGAUGGAGAAGAUGGUAAGCAGCGCCAAGCAAGUAUCGGCCGAGAGGAAAUUGGCCACCGUUAGCCAGUCUCUCUGCUGCUGAUAGAUAGACGGAAGUCGGUCCUGCCGAUCGACCACAGAAUACGAACUUGUCCAGCCACAUGUUCAGAAAGGUGGUUUGUUCCUUUAUGGAGACAGGCCCCUUCCCUCGGUACUUCUGAAUGUACCCCGACCAACCGCCGAUAGCGCGAGUCUCCACUUUGGCACUAGGAGCGGUAUCAAAGAAGUGGGUGCUAUCGGCAGAAGAGACAUCUAGACCAGUGAGCAUAGCUACAUCGGCAAGAGUGGGAGAAACAGGGCCGUGGCCAAAGACGAAGGCAUUAAGGGUAUCUGACCAAAAAUAAGACGCAGCUAUCAACAGCGACUCGUUCUUGUGCAUAUCGGCAAUAGAUAGCCUGAUGCAUUGGGCUAACUUCCUUUCACCCCACUGGACUUCAUUCGAAUUGCUGAUUCUCAAGAACCAGUCUUUCCACCCUACAGUAGGGCUGGGCCAAGAGCGAAAGGUGUCUUUCCACAGAUCUAAAGAAAAAUUUUCGGUUCUAAAGGGAAUCCUGUUGGUUUCUGCAUUGAUAAGGUCAGUUGGAUCUGGAUCCCCUAGAGGGCCGAGACAUUGGAGGUGUGGUUGAUCGGUGGGGAUGACAAUUUUGUUGGACAACUCCUAGUGUUUUGGGGAAUAAAAAAAUAAUACAAAGAAAAGGGAAAAGGAAGAUAUUCAGUAAGAUUAAUCGCGGAUGAACAGGAAUACGAGAAGAAUACAGGAGAUGAGAUGGAAAUCUGACCUCAGGGACGACGAAGCCAAUGGCCAUCUUGCCGUGAAGAGAACGUUUGAAGACACCGGAGUUGAUGAAGAGGGGUGCUUGUCGGAGGUCUUGAAGGUUGUGAAUGGCGCCGCCGCUGGAAAAGUAAAAGUAGGGAUGGUGAAAUGAUGUGAUGGAGAAGGAGUACCCGAGAAGGAACUAUUUAUAGGAUAAAACGGGCAAGGGCAAAUCUGACUUAUCUCUUUGCGGGAUCCGAGAAACCCGAGGGUGCUCAGGUAGAUAUGGUAACUGUUCGCACGGUAAUCAAGGGAUUGUGCAGGUGAUUUGACGGGGAACGGUCAUUACCUGGAAAUAUUUUGCUGUGCGGGAUCUUCUGGUCGGUCCAUCGGCAGCAUACUGUAACGGUCAUAUUGCCGAUGGGUGGAUAAAGUAAAGGUAGUCAUUUGUACAAACGUCCUGGUUAGUCCAUCGGUAGAUCUUCGUAACGGUAAUAUUGCCGAUGUGCGGAUGAGAAGGAAGUGCCCGUUCAGGAAGUUGAGGAUUUCGAGGAAUCUGCAGGAGAAUAAGAUCGGAGUUGUUUGGAUUGAGGUUGUCGGUUACCAGAUUAGGAGCAUUAAUUGCGGGAAAAGGCAUCAUUACUGCAGAAAAUUUCGGAGCAUUAAUAGUUUCAUACUCCGAAAUUGGGGGGCAUGUGUUGACACCGUUUUUGGGCACGUGUCCAGGAUGACAGGAUAAGAUGACUGUAUGUGGUUUACAGAAUGAGUUGCCGAUGAGGAUGGUUGCCGAUAAAGAAGAGGUUGGACGUGACUAAGUUUACAGGUGAUGAUGUGUCUGUGCCGAUGACUAUGAUGAGGACGUCUGCCGAUGACCAUGGUAAAAGAGUCUGCCGAUGAUACAGAGGGGGAGUCUGGAAGCUGCUGAUCGGGUUGUGGAAGAGUUUCAAUUUGUCAUGAGGGAUAGCUGAGUUAUUUCCUUAUUUGUUUAAGUCGUUUUGUAUACGGAUUCCGUGUGAUUUGGAAUUCGAAUUCUGGUCGUGUUUAGUUAUAGCUCUUUGAGCAGGGUAUAAAUAUGGACCCUAGUGCUUUGUAAUGAGACAUCUAUCAAUCAACCAAACACACGUUUUUACUCAUAUUCCAGCAUCUACUUUUCGACGACUUCGUCAUACUUUUUCCUUUUAUUACGAGUUCUUAGGAAUUCGUCGACUUAAGCUCGGCGUAUUCUCAAGUUCCGCGUGAGUACCUCUUAGCUGUGACAUCCGGGCGCAUCGCUGUUGUCAGGACUAAAGUAUUCGAGUUAUCACCCUUGCCGAUAGUAAGGUCAAAUCGGCUGGCACGCCUUAACGUUUGAAUUGGGUAUUAGCCCUUUGUGUUUGCAGAUCAGUUUUGCAUCAACAGAGCUGUUAAUUGUUUGCAACAUUGCCAUAUGUAUUGAGCAUAUAAGGAGAAUUGUAGAAAUAUUCCUUCGGGUAUUCGUGUCACUAACCUUUCUAGGAUUGGAGCAAGAAGAUUCGAGGAAUGACUAGCGCAAUGUAUGCCCAACCAAUCAUCACGCAACAUUGAAUUAAAUUCAUCCAAUCUUGAAUUUUGCAAAAUUCAAGCUUGGGGGAGUACUUUACAUAAACACAUCAUUUGCCAUGUUGCUAUGUUGGUUGUCCUUACCUUUGAGACAUGCUCAAUUUGUUAAAUACUAAUCACACUACUUCAUCUCCACUUGAGUAGAUCUCUAUAAAUACCAUCAUGCUACCUAUGUUUAUCUUAAGUAAAUGUUGGUUUGGAAGUACUGGACAUACUUCCAUUGGCUUUUAAAUUAAGCAUGGUGCUUAGGUUAAAUAGCCUUCCUUAAUCUGAUUUGACAUGGAGUCUAGUUUACUUACUGAACUAAAAACUACUUAAGUAGGCAUUGGUAUAUUUUGUCGGACUAACCCCUGCAGGAAAAUUUUUAAUAUCAACAUGGGAAGUCCUGAGAUACAAACUUACAUUGGAGAUAAAGGAGACACAUGAAAUUUAACGAUUUGCACAAGGAAGACAUAGCUCAUUCAUCAUAGAGAGAUGAUCCAUGGAAAAAGACAAAGAGUGCCACAAACACAAUGCACAACCGCUAAGAAAGGAAAGCUUCCACAAAGUGAUACUAUACCAUCACUCUUCAAGUAAGGUAACAUCCUAAGGUACUUGACAAUCACUUUUAUAAGCUUCUCCAUGGUUCUGGCAUACACAUGAAUAAUAGAGACAAACAUGUAUGAUUUGUAGCUCCAAAUUAACCAACCCAAUUAAUUCAACAUGUUUAGUCCUUUAAUCUUUGUUCUUAUUAUUACCUUUGUGAUCCCACACACCUAAUCAUUUAAGUUAAAAUGUUGCACAUUCAAUCUUUCGAAGAUAUACACAAAACAUAAAUAUAGAUAAAUUAUCUUUCCAUUAGGUCAAGCGAUCUGAUCUGACAAAUGUUUUAAAUGCUACACUCAUGAUCUUAUUAUCCAUCAACUUUGUCUUGCUCACCAUGAUUAAGGUUAGAGAACAACAAAUACACUUUUGGUUCUGUUGGUGUUUUUCACCAACAGAGCACAUGCACUUGAUCUCUGCCUUGUCUCUAAGAACAGGUACACUUCAAGCAAAACAUGGAGGAGUUUUACAACUCCCAGACUCCACCAAGUGAAGGACCUGGAUCUACGAGCACAAACACAUUGAGUAGGAUAUUGCCAACACCGCACUUCGAACUGCUGAGCAAACAAAGAACAUGGUAUGAAGAUUUGAAACCCUAACUUUGAUUCUGUAGAAGAGGUAUGAUCUCCAGGGGCCAGGGGGGUCUGGUUUUAUAGUCCCUUCAAGUGAAACCGACAUUGAUCGUGUGGUUUUCCUUGAAGUAUUAGGUCGGUGGAGCAUGAUCCCCGAACUUCACCCUGAUUGGUCCAGGGGGGAGGGCGGGCGCCCUCAGGACUAGGGCGAGCGCCCUGUCCCUGAGGCCUCUCGGCUUCCGCUUCGGUCCCGUGGCUUCUGGAGUCUUCUAGAUGAUAGAAAAUUGCGCGGCACGUUAAUAUCUCUAUGUAAACCCGACGUGUGGGCCUUUCCUCCAUAUUUCCUGAUAACCCCCUGCAGAAAUAGACAAACACCAAAACUCGUGGAAUUCUAUCAGAUAAAACCCUAAGUCUAGGUGUUGGUUGCAUUUAGAUCCUUUUCUAUGAUUAAUUGAUGGUUAAAUAUGAGCAUUAAGGACCGUCAACAAGCUCCCCCAAACUUAACCUUUGCUCGUCCCUGAGCAAAGAUGAACUCAAGAUUUUCUGCAGUGGUUUCAUAACUUAAAGAUACACAUGCAUUUAAACAAGAUCUCAUCUCUUGUUAGAGUAAACUGUUAAGACUUAAAACUUACUCAUUUACCUUUCACCAUUGGACUUGUAACCGUCACUUCUGUCUUGAGUAGUUAAAAGAUAGAACAGUCUAGUCAAGCACCAUGUCUCAUGUUCUUGAUCAACUAUAGCUCUGGAGUUUUUGCAGAUUUUCAAAUAAAACUCAGAGAUUCCUUGUAUGACUCUCUCUAGUCUCUCUUUUGUGGUAUUUCUGGAUCCUUACCAAGGCAGUAGUGGUGUAUGCCUUCUCUCAAAGUAUGUGGUAUUAUUGGUAUGAGGCAUAAUGACAUUGCCUUCUCUCUCACCCUACUCUAAUAAGGCUUUUGAUAUCUGGAGCUCAUAGGUGGAAGACAGCUAAUACAUACUUACAAGACAUUUAUUGCAUAGUCAAACCAUGGAUCCAGAAGAACAAGUCAAUAAGUCAAAUCAAGACGUGCAUGUGUGGCGAAUGAAUGGUGUAUGGUGAUGAUGGUGAUAACAAUGGUGAAAGUCUAAUUCUACUUAUGCUCUUUUGAGGGAAUACAUACCUUUCUUGCUCUUUUGAAACUUUUCGAGGAGAAUGAGAUGCUCUAUAUUUUCUUUUUUUUUUAUUUUCUCUCAGGUGGGUAUCUUGUACCCCUAAUUCUACUGUCGGACACGUGUCCAUUUUUACCUCUCGUCUCACUUUUUCUUUCUUUCGAGGUUCCGGGCACUUGCCCCUUUUUAUUUCCUCGUAUCUCUCUUUUUUUUUCUCUUUUUUUUUCUCUCUUUUUUUCUCUUUUUUUUAUUAGAGCACUCAUCUCAUGAGAUAAUAUAGCAAGUGGUAGUAACAAGAUAACUUGAGCAUUUAUUUCACAAGGGAAAAACAGAAAUAUUUUUGGCUAUUCUCUCCCGGAUUAGGAGUAGAAUAUUUUUUGGGUGGUUCUGGAGAUGAAAAUGGAUGGAUAUAUGUGGAUGCGUACUUCUGGAGUAGAAGCAGCAUGUAUGAAUGAACGUGCAAGUGGAUCUUGAUUUUAACCACAUGACAAGCUCCUAAGGGUCUACACAGCUUGACCACACUCAAUGCUCAUAAGCAGUAAAGUAAAUGUAUGGUUCAUAGUCUAACAAGCAUGUAUAUAUGGCUGUGGUAGGAAUUUAAACUCUCAUCAUACAGGAACUCAUCAUGCAACAUUUUAAAGAUUUUCAAAGAUAAAAUUCUCCAGAAUUCUAGCAUCUCUAGGAACAGAUAAACAGCAGCUCAACCUUCCCAUAUCAUAUCCGUUAACGACUUAGACUUCAGAUCAAGUACUCUUCCCACAAGUUCAGGUUUAGAGCAAAUCUUAAUUAAUAACAGUCAUGCCUAAACUUGAGAGAGAUUUCAAUUUAAGAACUAGUCAUAGCAGAGCAACUAUUCAUCAUUUCCAUUUUAGAGCUUAUCAUGAGGGUUCAUAGCAAAUUUUAUUUAUUUAUUUAUCAAACUAAGCAAAGAUAUAUAUAUAUAUAUAUAUAGUAUAAACGUGCGUAGAAUACUUAGCUGGAUAAAUGGAGGUGCUCUCCCCCAAGCUGGAUUUUGACGUAAUUUCUUUUGAUGUAGCUAGCAGGUGGCUGAGGUGUAUUUGAAUGUCAGCAGCACCCUGACAGCGAUUAGGAUGUCCUCCGUCUGCUAGUCUUCUUUGAUCCUUGAAUUCUGUAGAUCUCAAAUAGACAACAAAGCUUUGUGGAACUAGUUAAGUGUUAGCAUAAAAUCUCUUAGCCGUUAUCAUAUUGAGCUUUCUCAAUAAAUGUUACUCUCUUUAGUAGGAUCAUAAAUCUAUUUUUAUAGUUUUAUUUUUCUAUAGGACAGGAAUAUAUAUUUAUUUUAUUUCUAUGCCACCACAGUGAAUGUACUUAUGGGUUUUAUGCCAUGAGCAUACCCACAUGGGGCUUACUAUUUUUAUCAUUUUUAUUUUCUUUUCAAGAUGAUAUGAACCUGAUUAACUAAGCAAACUAUUUUAAAUAAUUGAAAGGAAAAAGGAUAACUACCAAGUUUACCUCUUGGCAAGGCGUUCGGUGUUUUUAAGUCCUCCGAACGGUGCUCUCCGUUUUCUUAGUCGUCCUGGGAUUGCUAGAUGGCGUAGUUGGUGGUUCCGGCAGCGCCUGGUUUUCAUGUAUAACUAUCUUCUCUCUCAACACCUGACUCGGUGCUACGGUCUCCUCAGGACAGUUCUGUUCAAGUUGUAUGUCUUCAGACCUUACCACUUCUCCUUCGUAGUCUGCCCAUCCAUCCUUGAUGAUUUGCCUCCUCUGGUUGCGGUUGCGUCGUCUUCUUCUUGCCCUGACCAGCUUAGAGUCUUCAACUAUAUAGUUAGGGUCAUUAAAACAGUGGCGUACCUUCUCUGAGGGGAAGUGCAUGUGGACUUCUCUGGUUCCAAUGUAUAUGAUUGCUUUAAUGGUGCUAAAGAACGGUCUUCCAAGGAUGACGGGUGGAUUGUAUUCGUCUUCUCCCAUGUCAAUAUCCUUCAAAUCAUCUGGGGCUGAAUGUAUGUUGGUUUUACGGGCAUGGUUCCGAACUGGAGUUGAUAGGUGACUGCGGCCAUUAUGUUGACGUCUGAUCCGGUGUCGCAAAGCGUCUUCUGCAAGUUGUAUCCAUUAAUGGAGCACUAGAUGCUUGGCAUACUUGGGUCGUCCUUUUUUUUUGGUCAGGAACGGUGACUUAAAUCGACGAUCUUGACCUCCUUGAACUGCAGUGACCAUCUAAGCUGACUCGGUCCACAUUUGCUUGUUCUUGUUCCUCCUGUUGGUCCUCUUCCUUGGUUCAUGUCGGGAUUGCUCUGGGAUUUGUGUAGUCUUGUUCUUGAAGGAAAAUGUCUCAUUUCUCCCUUUGAUGUAGAAACUGAUCUUGGCAGCACUAGCGUAGAUGACAGCUCCCGAGGUGUUCAGGAAUGGCUUCCCUAAGAUGGGUGCCCUCUCAUCAAUACCAGUCUCUAUCACCACGAAGUUUGCUGGGGCGUACAAGGUACCAACUCGAACGCAGAGGUUCUUCAAUAUUCCCUUGGGGAAACUUAGUGUCUGAUCUGCAGGCUUGGGCAUAAUGUUGACGCUAGAGCCAAAGUCGCAGAGUGCUUCUAGGAAGUCCACCAUGCCGAUGGAGAUCGGGAUGACGGGGCGUCCUGGGUUGUCUCUCUUGACCGGCAGAAGGUCAGUAAUUACUUCCACUAUGGGGUUACUCCAGUAGUUACGUCCUCAAGCAUCUCUGGGCAGUGAUUGCCUGAGUGUCUAGUAUCUCCAGUGUGUUUGUGCUCCUAGAUCUAGGUUCUUCACUUGGUGGAGUCUGGGAGUUGUAAAACUCCUUCAUAUAUUGUUCGAAGUGUACCUGCUCAUAAAUACAAGGCAGAGAUCAAGUGCAUGGGCCCUGUUGGUGGAAAACACCAACAGAACCAAAAGUGUAUUUGUUCUUCUCUAACCUUAAGCAUAGUGAGCAAGACAAAGUUGAAGGAUAAUAAGAUCAUGAGUGUAGCAUUUAAAGCAUUUGUCAGAUCAGAUCGCUCAACCUAAUGGAAAGAUAAUCUAUCUAUAUUUAUGUUGUUUUGUUUUUUUUUAUAAAAUAUAUCUUCCAAAGAUUGAGUGUGCAACAUUUUAGCUCAUAUGAUUAGGAGUGUGGGAUCACAAAGGUGGAAUGACUAAACAUAUUGAAUCGACUGGGUUGGUUAAUCUAGAUUUGUAAAUCAUACAUGUUUGUCUCUUUUAUUCAUGUGAACGCCAGAACCAAGGAGAAGCUUAUAAAAGUGAUAGUCAAGUACCUUAAGAUGUUACCUUACUUGAAGAGUGAUGGUACGGUAUCUCCUUGUGGAAGCUUUCCUUUCUUAGCGGUUGUGCAUCGUGUUUGUAGCACCCUCCAUGGAUCAUCUCUUGUGAGCUAUGCCUUCCUUGUGUAAAUUGUUAAACUUCAUGUGCCUCUCUCUUUGUCAAAAAUGUGAGUGUAUCUCAGGACUUCCCAGGUCGAUAGUGAAAGUUUUCCUACAGGGGUUAGUCCAACAAAAUAUCCCAUAUCUACUAUAGCAUACUAUCGGCUCAAAAAUCAACCUAGACACCAUGUCUAAUUUGAUUCAGGAGGGCUUUUUUAACCUAAGCACCAUGCUUAAUUUAAAACCCCUUCGAAGUAAGAUCAUCAUUCCUAAACUAAGCACCAAGCUCAAUUAAGAGAUAAAUGAAACUACUCCAAACCUAGACAUAUACUAAAGCAAAUAAAGGUAGGAUGAGAGCAUUUAUAGAGAUCUACUCAAGUGGAGAUGAAGUAGUGUGAUUAGUAUUUAACAAAUUGAGCAUGUCUCAAUGGUAGGGUCAACCAAUAUAGCAACAUGGCAAAGGAUGUUUUUAUGUAAAGUACUCCCCCAAGCUUGAAUUUUGCAAAAUUCAAGUUUGGAUGAAUUUAAUUCAAUGUUGUAUGAUGAUUGGUUGUACAUACCUUGUGCUUGUCAUUCAUCCGAUCUUGUUGCUCCAAUCCUAGAAAGGUUAGUGACAAGAAUACCCGAAGGAAUUUUUUUACAAUUAUCCUUAUAUGCUCAAUACACAAGUUAAUGUUGCAAAUAAUUAAAAGCUCAUGUUACAAUAUGAUCGGUGCUUGUUUUAGGACACUAAGCUUGUCCUUGGGAAACCAUCAAUUUAUGUCAGUGAAGUGGUUUCCCCUCCAACGCUGACCUAUAUCAAGAUCAACUCAACGAGAUCUGCAAAAUUUAUUAUAGACAUAUGCAUCGACAACCGCCCUUUUAAAGUUUUUAUAAAUAGAAAGGAUGAGGGGGUUGGAGAUCUCGAAUGUGGUGAUGUUGGAGAGACCAAUGGAUUGUGAAGAUGUUGCAUAUGAGCAUGGAGUAAAUGAAGUGGCUAAGAAAUAAACUCCACGCUCAUUAAUGCUUAGAGUGAAAUCCAUGUGGUGUGGUGAAAAUGGUAAGGUGAGUGUGGUAAAAAAGGAAAAGAAAAAGGAUACACGGACGACUUGGUUCGAAACUAGCACAGCUACCGUUCCCCGGCAACGGCGCCAGAAAGCUUGUUGGGUAUUUUAAACGCAAACAGAAAAAUCCGCAAGCGCACGGAUACCGAUGUAGCUUUCACCCGGGAGUAUUCCAGAGUAUCGAUUUUCCACAGAGAACGUGAGUGUACUAAUUAAGAUCCAAGAUCGCCCAAGGAUAACUAUAUAAUUAUUUUUGGUGGGAAGAGAGGAAGUUUCCUGAGAGUUCUCUAGUUGAUCUAAGAAUCAAGAAUUACUUCAAGAUUAUCUAUAUCGGGACAUCAGAGCACUAACCACAGAAAGAGAUGAGAAGGGGGCUAGGAAGGUCUGACUACGGUCCUACAAACACCGAUCCGAACGUGGUGGAAUACGUCGACCGUUAGGGCUGUCACUACCCUAGGGCUACCACAACAAUCCGUAGGAUUGGGUGCAAUUCCAGGUAAUCGCAAGACUAAACACCACGUCUAAUCUAUUAAUUACUACUCUAGCGUUAUAAAGACUAGAGCACUUGAUGCAAGCGGGAAUCCAACAAAUAACUUGAAUGUAAAUAAAAGUAAUUAAAGAACUCAAGAAUUAUGAGUUGAAGAACCUGGAGAACGAUGAAGAACGAACCAGAUGCUGCAAAAGUAUAAUGUUGAGGAAGAUCCGACAGAUCCGGCUCCUCCUCCGCUCUCCUCUUCUCUCUCCCUAUUUUCUAGAUUACAACUAGAACUAACUAGAACUAGAACCAGAAGAACUAGAACCAGAACUAGAUGAACUAGAACUAGAUCUAGAUGAACUAGAGGUAGAACUAGAAGAACUAGAGGGAUCCUCUCUACUUGGAUGAAGAAUUGAAACCCUAACUUUGAUUCUGUAGAAGAGGUAUGAUCUCCAGAGGCCAGGGGGGUCUGGUUUUAUAGUCCCUUCAAGUGAAUCUGGGCCGUCGGAUCAAACCGACAUUGAUCGUGUGGUUUUCCUUGAAGUAUUAGGUCGGUGGAGCAUGAUCCCCGAACUUCACCCUGAUUGGUCCAGGGGGGAGGGCGGGCGCCCUCAGGACUAGGGCGGCGCCCUGUCCCUGAGGCCUCUCGGCUUCCGCUUCGGUCCCGUGGCUUCUGGAGUCUUCUAGAUGAUAGAAAAUUGCGCGGCACGUUAAUAUCUCUAUGUAAACCCGACGUGUGGGCCUUUCCUCCAUAUUUCCUGAUAACCCCCUGCAGAAAUAGACAAACACCAAAACUCGUGGAAUUCUGUCAGAUAAAACCCUAAGUCUAGGUGUUGGUUGCAUUUGGAUCCUUUUCUAUGAUUAAUUGAUGGUUAAAUAUGAGCAUUAAGGACCGUCAACAGCUAACAAGAUCCUAAUUGCUUCCAAUCAUGCAACCGAGGCAUAUGUUUCACCAAAGUCAAGACCUUCAACUUGAGUAUAGCCUUGUGCUACCAAUCUUGCUUUGUUCCUUACAACUAUCCCAUCUUGGUCUUGCUUGUUGCAAAAGACCCAUCUAGUGCCAAUGACAUUGUGAUCACUAGGUCUCUCAACUAAUUCCCAUACUUGAUUUCUCUUGAAAUUGUUAAGCACUUCAUGCAUAGCAUUAACCCAAUCAACAUCUCUCAAUGCUUCAUCAAUCUUCUUUGGCUAAUGUGAGACACAAAGGAGAAAUGCUCACAAAAUGAUGCUAAUCUUGAUCUAGUUUGCACUCCUCUUUGAAUAUCACCUAUGAUAUGAUCUAAUGGAUGAUCUCUUGCAAUAUUUUUUGGUUGGAGUAUUUGCACUUGAUUGCUUGCACUCAGUUGAUCAUGAGAUGAUGUACUAGCUUGUUGAUCUUGCACUUGAGUACCACUUGCUUGAUUUUGAUCAUGAGAGCCACUAGUUUGCACAUUAGAGGUAGGAAGCACUUGAUAUUUGUCAUCUUCAACAUCAAUCACCUCUCUAGGCCUUAAAUCACCAAUAUCCAUAUUCUUCAUUGCAUCGGCCAAUUGAGUGCCUCUCACAUCAUCUAGAUUCUCAUCUUCCUCGUGAGAGCCAUUUGUUUCAUCAAAUUCAACAUCAUGCACCUCUUCAAGAGUACCACUAGCCAAAUACCACACUCUAUAAGCUUUGCUAGUAGUGGAGUAACCAAGCAAGAAGCCUUCAUCACAUUUCUUUUCAAAUUUACUCAAUCUAGUGCCUUUCUUCAAUAUGUAGCAUUUGCAACCAAAAACCCGAAAGUAUGCAAUGUUGGGCUUUCUUCCAUUUAAGAGCUCAUAUGGUGUCUUCUCCAUCAUUGGGUGACAACAGAGUCGGUUGCUAUGGUAGCAGGCCGUGUUGAUUGCUUCGGCCCAAAAAGAAUGACUCACAUUGUACUCACUCAACAUUGAUCUUGCCAUGUCAAUCAAGGUUCUAUUUUUCCUUUCAACAAAACCAUUUGAUUGUGGAGUGUACUUGGCUGAGAAUUGAUGCCUAAUGCCAAAUUCAUCACAAAGCUGAUCAAUUCUUGUAUUCUUAAACUCACUUCCAUUCUCACUUCUCACUUUCUUGAUGGUUGUUUCAAACUCAUUGUGUAUUCUCUUGACAAAUGAUUUGAAGGUUGCAAAAGCAUCACUCUUGUCACUAAGAAAGAAUACCCAUGUUUAUCUUGUGAAAUCAUCCAGUAUCACAAAUCCAUAUUUGUUUCCACCAAUGCUUGCGUAUGUGGUUGGUCCAAAUAAGUCCAUGUGCAACAACUCAAAUGCCUUGCAUGUACUCAUGAUGCUUUUCUUUGGAUGAGUGUUGCCAACUUGUUUUCCGGCUUGACAUGCACUACAAAGCUUGUCUUUCUCAAAUGUGACAUCUUUCAAGCCUCUAACAACAUGUUUGAUUAACUUAUUUAAUUUCUUCAUUCCAACAUGACCAAGCCUUCUAUGCCAUCACCAACCCAUGCUAGAUUUAGUGAGCAAGCAUGUUGAUAAUUGAGCUUCACUAGCAUUGAAAUAAACCAAGUAUAGAUUCUCAUAUCUAAAGCCUUUGAAUAUCAAGUUUGAUGUGACACGUUGUCCCGAUCUUAAAGAUGUAGGAUGAACACCGAUAACUAGCUGAAGAACAGCCAGAUAACUUGCUGCAAGCAACAAUAACUAGUGCAACCUGGCAAAUAAAACUCGAAGCCAACCACCGUCUUUAACCGGCAACCUGAAUCGAGGAUUCGCCCAACCACACUCUCAAAGAACCAACCAACACAACCUAAAAUCAGUCAAGGAAUACCUUGAAGGGAGUAGGAGCACCAAUUGGGAGCGGAUGAAGCCGCCGCCUAUGUAAUCCCGCGAGGAAAUCACAAGAGCAAAGGGGUAGAGAUCACUCUCUGAAUUUGUUAGCACGCAGCUGAACAAAGGGGUUUUGUAUUUCAAUUAUCAAAAGUCUGACAUUACAAUGAGUCUUAGGGGGUAUUUAUACUAGCAACAGCCCUGCUAGAUAGGUAUGAAAACGAAAUAGAGUUUCUGAGGGAAGGUAAUGUGAAAGGUCCCCUUGAAAUGGAUUCUCGAGGUGCCUUCGCGUGACUGUUGGUCUCCAGAGCAGUUUCCAAUAAACUGACCAUAACUUUUUAUUGGGAAGUCCAAAUGAUGAACUGUUUCUUGGGUGUAAAACUAGACUCCAAGAGCUUUCCAUCAAUGUAUGCCAUACACCACGAAACUCUGUAGAUUGGUAGAGUUUUACUUGGCAAGUUGUACCAACAUUCUGUCACGAUAGACUGUUGACCUUCUAAGCAGUCUGUACUAAUUCUGGUCUGCAGGCAAUAUGGUGUAUCCAAACUGGUCGCUACUAGAUUCAUUGGAAUGUAGACUCGUCAAGCUUUCCAACAAGUGCUCAUGGACCUUCAUAGCUUUUGUGAGUAAAAAGUUAUGAAGAUUUCUUUCACUGGUCCGUUUUUGACUUCCACUGGUCCGUUUUUGACUUCUUCUGGAACUUGCACUGGUCCGUUCUUUAGGGUACGAUUCAUCCUUCUCUUCUUCUAUAUACCUGAGUACAAUCAAGAUACAACACAUAGGUAGUAUAUAAUUCCCAUUAAUAUUAAAAUGAAUAUCACAAAGUAGCGCGUGGACCUCUUGUUGUAGCUUCUUUGCACGACUACGUGUAAUCGGUCCAUCGAUGACUUGGGCUGGUGUCGGUGUAGGUAAAACUUGAGUGGGUAUAGCUUGACUUGGAGCUUGUGACAUCUUGCUUGGUGACGUGGUCAUAUCAUCCUCCCCCCCUUGAAAAGGAGUCGUCCUCGACUCUAAAGUGUCUUCACUUGUGAAUGGUGAGAGAUCAGCAACAUUGAAGGAGUUGCACACGCCAUAACUUGCAGUAAGAUCAAUCUUGUAUGCAUUGUCAUUGAUCUUCUCAAGAACACGAAAUGGACCAUCUACUCGUGGCAGCAAUUUUGAUUUGCGCUGCUGAGGAAAGCGAUCCUUGUGCAAGUGUAUCCACACCAAGUCCCCGGGUUCAAAUAACACAUUCUUCCUAUGUUUGUUCAUACUUGCAGCCUUGCGUCCUGCCUUGAGUUCAAUUGCUUCCGUGGUCUUCUCGUGUACCUUCUUGAUGUAUGCAGCAUGCUUGGAGGCUUCCAUAUUGGUUCUUUCCUGCAAUGGAAGGGGCAACAAAUAUAUCGAAGCAAUAGGUUUGAACCCAUAAACAAUUUCAAAAGGACACAUAUUAGUGGUAGAGUGUACUGCCCUGUUAUGUGCAAACUCCACAUGUGGCAAGCAUUCCUCCCAAACCUUCAGGUUCUUUUUCACCAUUGUUCGCAGCAACAUUGACAAUGUGCGAUUCACUUUCUUAGAUUUCACAAUGUAUGAAAAUGUUUCGAUGAACUCAUCCCAUUUGGCAUGACGACGGUUCAAUUUUGCCUGUCCUUUCAAGUAUUUCAAAGCUUUAUGAUCAGAGUGAAUAACAAAUUCUUUUGGCCAUAAGUAGUGCUGCCAUGUUUCAAGAACACAUACCAAAGCAUAUAAUUCUUUAUCAUACACAAAAUAAUUCAGUUGAGCACCUCCUAGUUUUUCAUUAAAAUAUGCUACAGGUUUUCCUUGUUGCAUUAAAACUCCUCCUAUCCCAAUUCCACUAGCAUCACAUUCUAUUUCAAAAAUUUUAGUGAAAUCAGGAAGAACAAGUACAGGUGCUUCAGUCAAACGUUUCUUUAAUUCUUAAAAUGCAUUUUGUUGUGAUUUUUCCCAUUUAAAGUCAACACCUUUCUUUAUCAAUUCGUUCAAAGGAGCAGCGAUGGUACUGAAAUCUCUCACAAACCUCCUAUAAAAACCAGCAAGGUCAUGAAAACUUCUUACUUGACUUACAUUUGUUGGAGUUGGCCAAUCCUUGAUGGCUUUCACCUUGCUUUCAUCCACUUCUAUGCCCUUUCCUGAAACUACAAAGGCAAGAAACACAACAUGGUCUGUGCAAAAACUGCACUUCUCAAGAUUAGCAAAUAAUUUCUCCUUUCUAAGCUCUUCCAAGACUUGCCGAAUAUGAUUCACAUGUUCCUCAAAAGACUUGCUGUAAAUUAAGAUAUCAUCGAAGUAGACAACAAUAAAUUUUCCAAUGAGAGCUCUCAAGACAUGGUUCAUUAAUCUCAUGAAAGUACUAGGAGCAUUAGUCAAACCAAAAGGCAUAACUAACUAUUCAUACAGCCCAAAUUUUGUUUUAAAUGCAGUUUUCCAUUCAUCCCCUAUUUUCAUUAUUAUCUGAUGGUAUCCACUUCUCAAAUCAAUUUUAGCGAAUAUGGUGGAACCACUUAAUUCAUCAAGCAUGUCAUCUAAACGUGGGAUAGGGUGGCGAUAGCAAACAGUAAUGUUAUUUAUAGCUCUACAAUCAACACACAUUCUCCAAGAACUAUCUUUCUUAGGUACUAAAAUUAGAGGAACAGCACAAGGACUUAAACUUUCACGAACAUAACCUUUAUCAAGAAGUUCUUGCACUUGCCUUUGUAUCUCCUUUGUUUCUUCUGGAUUGGUUAGGUAUGGUGGUCGAUUAGGUAGUGCAGCCCCUGGAAUGAGAUCAAUUUGAUGCUCAAUCCCACGAAUUCGAGGUCGUCCCGCUGGUGUUUCUUCUGGAAAGACAUCUCCAUAGUCCUGCAAAAGAUGAGACACAACACUAGGAAGAGAGGUCAUGUGGCUAGCUGAAAUUAAAAUGUCUUUGUUCACAAGUACAAAGAGCACUUGUUCGGGGUUGUUCCUCACUUCUCUCAUUUCAGAUUUUUGUGGCUAGCAUGACUAAAUUCUCUCCCUCUCAUUUCUUUUUCUCCCUCAAAUUUGGCUUGUGGCACUCACUCACCGAAUUGUGGAUGGCACUCAAUUUCUUUUGCUCUCGUUCCUCUCUACUCACUGCAACAAUUUCAGAUUUCUUUUGUAAAUGUUCAGCCAUGAUUUGUUGGGGUGUCAUAGGCUUGAGAACAAACUUCCUCCCCGUUAGAUUGAUAGUAAACUGAUUUGUUCUCCCACAAUGUUGGCUAUAUCGAUCAUAUUGCCAUGGUCUUCCAAGCAGCAAGUGACACACCGAUAUAGGUGCCACAUCACUACCCACUGUGUCAACAUAUUCACCAAUCUUGAAUGGAACUUUCACUUUAUAUCCAAUCUUGAUAUCUUCUGAAUCAUUCAGCCAUUGUACCUGAGAUGGAUGAGGGUGUUGUAGCAGCUUCAAGCCAAGUUUAUCAUCCAUCUCACGACUAGCAAGAUUGUGGCAGCUCCCUCCAUCAAUAAUCAUCUUCACCUCUUUAUCAUGCACCUUUGCUCUAGUUUGAAAUAAUUUAUGUUGCUGCCCAUUUUCAGCUUCAUUUCACUGGACACUCAAUAUUUGAGUCACCUCAAGAGCAGCUCCUUGCUCAAACUCGCAGCUAGUAAGGUCAUCAUCUCCAUGGGCUUCCUCCUCAACUCCCUCUUCACUAGCUGAUUCAUAUUCUCCAUCAUCAUUCACAAUGGUCACCUGAUUAUUUGGGCACUCCUUACUUAUAUGCCCAUGGCCUCCACACUUGAAGCUCUGAAUUCCACUACUUUUGGAAGUAGAACCCACUGAAGUAGUGGUUGAUGCUGCUGGCUUUGAACUUGAGACAGCAGUGUUCUUUCCACUAAAAGUACCCUGAAAAAUAGAUCGUGAGCCUACACUUGAGUCUUUCACCGUAGAUGAUUCAGCAGCAAACUUUGUUUUUGAUUUGCUUCCUCUAGAGAAAUUCCUCGUGGAUGGUUCAGCAGCAAAUUUUGGCAUGGUAAAUUUCAGUUUGCCAAAACUUUCUUCAUGGUUGCCUCUUCUAUGACAUCGGCGACCAAAACUGAGUUGGAAGCGGUUGUCGUCAGCCUCAUCUUCAGAUUCAUCAUCAUUUCUUUGACUAUGUCUUCUUCCUCUACCAUGUGCAGCCCUCCGGUUCCUCUGACCUCCUCCUCUUCCAUCACUAUCUUCUCUAUCUCCACUAUGGUUACUUGCACCAUCAUGAGGUGGACGAUGCCUUCUGAUUUCAGUCAAAAGAUUCUGAAGAUCUUGUGUCAACCUCUCUUGUUUUUCUUCCAUGCUUUGUCGGAGUUUAUAAAAUUAUGCUAUGGUGACACGAUCUUUGAUGUCCACUCGACCCAUCUUCCUGUAAGGUUAGCUGAAUACAAAUAACUUGUAUUUGUGGAAUAUGAAAAUUUGGUGACUCUCACAACUCACCUCUCUAACCACCAAGGCUCUUAUGAAUUCCUCUGCUGCAGAUUACUAGGAAAACAAAUGUCUGGUGGCAACUGAAAGUGAUGGCGAGGCGAAUACAAAAACAGAGAGUACCGAUUACGAUGAUUUUUAUGUGGAGCUUGGCGGGGAGUAAUACAUAAGGAAUGCAAUCUGAAUUCUAGUUGUUGUAAAGUUAAGUAACGAUCCAAACUAGAAGUUCUCUGCCUAGUGCUAAUCAAAAGAUUCGAAGUGUAUAAAUAGAUCACACACACGCAAAGAAAUUUCAGAAUUGAUGCAAACAAGGAGUAUGAUUGGGAUGCAAGUGUUGCAAUCAGACCCAACCAAAGUUUUGCACCAAACAAAGAUAGCAAACUGGUUGUAGAACUUCAUAUGAAACUUUCAGCACUUGUGCACAUAAACCAACUAAUCUUUCAGACUUUCUCUCUGAACCUUUCUCAACUUUUUUUUUCACUUCACUUUUUUUUGCACUUUCUUUUCUUUCUUUUUUUUGACACACUUUUAUAUAUAUAUAGAACUAAAAACAGGGAUCAAAUUAUGAUACUUGCAUAACUAAGAUAGAAAUAAAACAACAACCAGUAGCUAGAUAGGACCAAAGUUAACACAAAGGAUGACAUAGGCUAUAGAGAUUUUUUUUUGUGGGGAUUUUUAGAUAUAAAAGAGGCACAAAGAACACGCGAAGGAUAAAUGAUCUGCAACUAAAACAAAGACUCUAAUGGACUGCAGCUUAACCGAACUCACUAAAAUAACAGAUUGAAAGAAAGGUCUAAACAAUAUAUUUUUCUGGCUUUUUGGUGGAUAGGACGAAGCAAAAAAAUAUAUAUAGCUAGGGAUAAAAUUUCUACCGUUGUAACGAAAGCUUUGAUACAAGAUGAUGUGACACGUUGUCCUGAUCUUCACGACGUAGGAUGAACACCGAUAACUAGCUGAAGAACAGCCGGAUAACUUGCUACAAGCAGCGAUAACUAGUGCAACCUGGCAAAUAAAACUCGAAGCCAACCACCAUCUUUAACCGGCAACCUGAAUCGAGGAUUCGCCCAACCACACUCUCAAAGAACCAACCAACACAACCUACAAUCAAUAAAGGAAUACCUUGAAGGGAGUAGGAGCACCAAUUGGGAGCGGAUGAAGCCACCGCCUAUGUAAUCCUUCGAGGAAAUCACAAGAGCAAAGGGGUAGAGAUCACUCUCUGAAUUUGUUAGCACGCAGCUGAACAAAGGGGUUCUGUAUUUCAAUUAUCAAAAGUCUGACAUUACAAUGAGUCUUAGGGGGCAUUUAUACUAGCAAUAGCCCUGCUAGAUAGGUAUGAAAACGAAAUAGAGUUUCUGAGGGAAGGCAAUGUGAAAGGUCCCCUCGAAAUGGAUUCCCGACGUGGCUUCGCGUGACUGUUGGCCUCCAGAGCAGUUUCCAACAAACUGACCAUAACUUUUUAUUAGGAAGUCCAAAUGAUGAACCAUUUCUUGGAUGUGAAACUAGACUCCAAGAGCUUUCCAUCAAUGUAUUCCAUGCACCACGAAACUCUGUAGAUUGGUACAGUUUUAAUUGGCAAUUUGUACCAACAUUCUGUCAUGAUAGACUGUUGACCUUCUAAGUAGUCUGUACUAAUUCUGGUCUGCAGGCAAUAUGGAGUAUCCAAACUGGUCGCUACUAGAUUCAUUGGAAAGUAGACUCGUCAAGCUUUCCAACAAGUGCUCAUGAACCUUCACAGCUUUUGUGAGUGAAAGGUUAUGAAGAUUUCUUGCACUGGUCCAUUUUUUACUUCCACUGGUCCAUUUUUGACUUCUUCUGGAACUUGCACUGGUCCGUUCUUCAGGGUCUGAUUCAUCCUUCUCUUCUUCUAUAUAACUGAGUACAAUCAAGGUACAACACAUAGGUAGUAUAUAAUUCCCAUUAAUAUUAAAAUGAAUAUCACAAAGUAGCGCAUGGACCUCUUGUUGUAGCUUCUUUGCACGACUACGUGUAAUCGGUCCAUCGAUGACUUGGGCUGGUGUCGGUGUAGGUGAAACUUGAGUGGGUGUAGCUUGACUUGGAGCUUGUGACAUCUUGCUUGGUGAUGUGGUCAUAUCAUCCUGCCCCCCUUGAAAAGGAGUCGUCCUCGACUCUAAAGUGUCUUCACUUGUGAAUGGUGAGAGAUCAGCAACAUUGAAGGAGUUGCACACGCCAUAACUUGCAGGAAGAUCAAUCUUGUAUGCAUUGUCAUUGAUCUUCUCAAGAACACGAAAUGGACCAUCUACUCGUGGCAGCAAUUUUGAUUUACGCUGCCGAGGAAAGCGAUCCUUGCGCAAGUGUAUCCACACCAAGUCCCCGGGUUCAAAUAACACCUUCUUCCUAUGUUUGUUCAUACUUGCAGCCUUGCGUCCUGCCUUGAGUUCAAUUGCUUCCUUGGUCUUCUCGUGUGCCUUCUUGAUGUAUGCAGCACGCUUGGAGGCUUCCAUAUUGGUUCUUUCCUGCAAUGGAAGGGGCAACAAAUCUAUCAAAGCAAUAGGUUUGAACCCAUAAACAAUUUCAAAAGGACACAUAUUAGUGGUAGAGUGUACUGCCCUGUUAUGUGCAAACUCCACAUCUGGCAAGCAUUCCUCUCAAACCUUCAGGUUCUUUUUCACCAUUGUUCGCAGCAACAUUGACAAUGUGCGAUUCACUUUCUUAGAUUUUGCAAUGUAUGAAAAUGUUUCGAUGAACUCAUCCCAUUUGGCAUGACGACGGUUCAAUUUUGCCUGUCCUUUCAAGUAUUUCAAAGCUUCAUGAUCAGAGUGAAUAACAAAUUCUUUUGGCCAUAAGUAGUGCUACCAUGUUUCAAGCACACGUACCAAAGCAUAUAAUUCUUUAUCAUAAACAAAAUAAUUCAGUUGAGCACCUCCUAGUUUUUCACUAAAAUAUGCUACAGGUUUUCCUUGUUGCAUUAAAACUCCACCUAUCCCAACCACUAGCAUCACAUUCUAUUUCAAAAGUUUUAGUGAAAUCAGGAAGAACAAGUACAGGUGCUUCAGUCAAACGUUUCUUUAAUUCUUGAAAUGCAUUUUGUUGUGAUUUUUCCCAUUUAAAGUCAACACCUUUGUUUAUCAAUUCAUUCAAAGGAGCAGCGAUGGUACUGAAAUCUCUCACAAACCUCCUAUAAAAACCAGCAAGGUCAUGAAAACUUCUUACUUGACUUACAUUUGUUGGAGUUGGCCAAUCCUUGAUGGCUUUCACCUUGCUUUCAUCCACUUCUAUGCCCUUUCCUGAAACAACAAAGCCAAGAAACACAAUAUGGUCUGUGCAAAAACUGCACUUCUCAAGAUUAGCAUAUAAUUUCUCCUUUCUAAGCUCUUCUAAGACUUGCCGAAUAUGAUUCACAUGUUCCUCAAAAGACUUGCUGUAAAUUAAGAUAUCAUCGAAGUAGACAACAACAAAUUUUCCAAUGAAAGCUCUCAAGACAUGGUUCAUUAAUCUCAUGAAAGUACUAGGAGCAUUAGUCAAACCAAAAGGCAUAACUAACUAUUCAUACAGCCCAAAUUUUGUUUUAAAUGCAGUUUUCCAUUCAUCCCCUGUUUUCAUUAUUAUCUGAUGGUAUCCACUUCUCAAAUCAAUUUUAGUGAAUAUGGUGGAACCAUUUAAUUCAUCAAGCAUGUCAUCUAAACGUGGGAUAGGGUGGCGAUAGCGAACAGUGAUGUUAUUUAUAGCUCUACAAUCAACACACAUUCUCCAAGAACCAUCUUUCUUAGGUACUAAAAUUAGAGGAACAGCACAAGGACUUAAACUUUCACGAACAUAACCUUUAUCAAGAAGUUCUUGCACUUGCCUUUGUAUCUCCUUUGUUUCUUCUGGAUUGGUUCGGUAUGGUGGUCGAUUAGGUAGUGCAGCCCCUGGAUUGAGAUCAAUUUGAUCCUCAAUCCCACGUAUUCGAGGUAGUCCCACCGGUGUUUCUUCUGGAAAGACAUCUCCAUAGUCUGCAAAAGAUGAGACACAACACUAGGAAGAGAGGUCAUGUCGUUAGCUGAAAUUAAAAUGUCUUUGUUCACAAGUACAAAGAUCACUUGUUCGGGGUUGUUCCUCACUUCUCUCAUUUCAGAUUUUGUGGCUAGCAUGACUAAAUUCUCUCCCUCUCCUUUCUUUUUCUCCCUCGAAUUUGGCUUGUGGCACUCACUCACCGAAUUGUGGAUGGCACUCAAUUUCUUUUGCUCUCGUUCCUCUCUACUCACUGCAACAAUUUUAGUUUUCUUUUGUAAAUGUUCAGCCAUGAUUUGUUGGGGUGUCAUAGGCUUGAGAACAAACUUCCUCCCUGUUAGAUUGAUAGUAAACUGAUUUGUUCUCCCAUAAUGUUGGCUAUAUCGAUUAUAUUGCCAUGGUCUUCCAAGCAGCAAGUGACACACCGACAUAGGUGCCACAUCACUAUCCACUGUGUCAUCAUAUUCACCAAUCUUGAAUGGAACUUUCACUUUAUAUCCAAUCUUGCUAUCUUCCGAAUCAUUCAGCCAUUGUACAUGAGAUGGAUGAGGGUGUUGUAGCAGUUUCAAGCCAAGUUUAUCACCCAUCUCACGACUAGCAAGAUUGUGGCAGCUCCCUCCAUCAAUAAUCACCUUCACCUCUUUAUCAUGCACCAUUGCUCUAGUUUGAAAUAAUUUAUGUUGCUGCCCAUUUUUAGCUUCAUUUGACUGAACACUCAAUAUUUGAGUCACCUCAAGAGCAGCUCCUUGCUCAAACUCGCAGCUAGUAAGGUCCUCAUCUCCAUGGGCUUCCUCCUCAACUCCCUCUUCACUAGCUGAUUCAUAUUCUCCAUCAUCAUUCGCAAUGGUCACCUGAUUAUUUGGGCACUCCUUACUUAUAUGCCCAUGGCCUCCACACUUGAAGUUCAGAAUUCCACUACUUUUGGAAGUAGAACCCACUAAAGUAGUGGUUGAUGCUGCUGGCUUUGAACUUGAGACAGCAGUGUUCUUUCCACUAAAAGUACCCUGAAAAAUAGAUCGUGAGCCUACACUUGAGUCUUGAUAUGACCAUGCCAGCAAGCAAGAUGUCACAAGCUCCAAGUCAAGCUACAACCACUCAAGUUUUACCUACACCUACAACCAGUGCAAGUCCUAGAAGACACAUCAAAAACGGACCAGUGGAAGUCAAAAACGGACCAGUGCAAAGAAAUCUUCAUAACUUUUUAAUCACAAAAGCUAUGAAGGCCCAUGAGGACUUGUUGGAAAGCUUGUCGAGUCUACUUUCCAAUGAAUCUAGUGGCGACCAGUUUUGAUACUCCAUAUUGCCUGCAGUCCAAAAUUAGUACAGACUGCUCAGAAGGUCAACAGUCUGCCAUGAUAGAAUGUUGGUACAACUUGCCAUGCAAAACUGUACCAAUCUACAACGUUUCGAGGUACAUGGCAUACAUUGCUGGAAAGCUAUUCGAGUCUAGUUUCACACCCAAGAAACGGUUCGUCAUUUGGACUUCCCAAUAAAGAGUUAUGGUCAGUUUAUUGGAAACUGCUCUGGAGGCCAACAGUCACGCGAAGCCAGUCGGGAAUCCAUUCCGAGGGGUCCUUUCACAUUGCCUUCACCCAGAAACUCUAUUUCGUAUUCAUACCUAUCUAGGAGGGUUAUUCCUAGUAUAAAUAUCCCCUACCUCUAAGCUAUCAGAAACCUUUGAUCAUUUGAUAAACUACAUGAUAUUGCAGCCGCGCUGCUUUAGUGCCUUACUCAACCUUUGUUCUUCCUUGUUCUUCUUGGACUUGUGAAGUGAAUCCUCUGGGUUCCACUACUUCGUGCUCUACGGCUUCCGUUCGGCUGCGCCGUAUUGUGUGGAUUAGCUCCGGAUUGUGGUUCUGCGGUCGUUCGGAGAUCGAGUCGAAGUCUUCGUGGUUUUCGUGCCUCUCUCCCCGUCGCUUGGUCGCAUCCAACCUUUGUCAGGAAUAAAGCUAGUUACCCGCUGUUCGCAGCAAGUAAUCCUUGUUCUUUUGAUCUACUGUCGUGAAGAUCGGGCCACCCUCGUACCGAUCCAUAUCGGUACCCUAUCAACUGGUAUCAAAGCUUUUGUUGUCACGGUAGAUCUUACAAACAUCCACAUAUUUAUCUUUAGUAUAUCAAUCAUUUGCUACUGAUUUGUUCAUCACCUAUAGUCCACUAAAAAAGCCACAAAAAAAAUCCUAAAGCCCUUUGACGGUACUGUUAUCUUGUGUUUUGUGUUCAUCAAAGUUGCUAGUCACCAUCUUUACAUAUACUGUGUUGUGUUUUAUUUGCUAUCCGCACACCUGUUAGUAUAAAAAAAAGAGUUCAAAAAAAGUCAGAAAAAAACAGAGAAAAGAAAAGAGAAAGAACAGGAAAAGUAGAAGAAGAGGAAAGGGGUUGUAUUGCGGUUUGCUCACUGAAAAUUCAGUUUACACAUUCAGAUUCUUGGUGAUUUAUAUACCAGCAACACUAUAUCUUGUGAGCACAUCAAAUCACUUGAUUUUCAGUACCGUGGCCUCCUUUGUUUAGCCACCUAUAGCUCCACCUAAAACUGAAACUAAGACAUUCGACUCGUAAUCCUUGUGACCUCGGAAUCACUUCUGUUGAGCUGCUACACUAGCACAAUUCACUGUCCUUGAGAACAGGAAAGAGCAUUGGUAAGUAAGAGGUGAGGUUGUGUGAUUCCACAAAUUUACCCAUUCCACUAUAUUUUGCCUUAAGUGCUAACAUGACAGGAUCCAACUCAAGUAUUCAAGGUAAUCGUCAUGGAGAAGAACCCCCUGUUGCACGGGCUGAGUUGCGCCAAAUGGCAGACUCACUCCUGCAGGCCAUGGAGAGAAUGCUUGAUACACGCAUACCUGCGUAUGGGCAGAGGGCUCCUCGGCAUCAAUCUGAUGAAUCUGGUGCUGAAAAUUCUAAUGGAGGACAUGACCGUUUCAGAGAUGGUCGUGGUGGUGGUAGGCGGGCUGGUCAUCAUGGCCAAAAUGGAGGGCGAGCUCAUGGACGUGGUCGUGGCCAUCGAGUUCAUUUUGAUGAUGAAGAAUUUGAUAACUUUGGUCACGAAGAGGGGUCUGAUGAGAAUCCCUUUGCAAAUGAUGGGCUGCAUAGGCGGCGCCAUUAUCAUCGGUGGCAUGCUGAUCAUGGAGAUAGAGAGCAUCAUCAUGGACGUCGUAAUAGGGAAGAACCGGACAGCAUUGCUCGUGUCAAGUUGAGUAUCCCAAAAUUCACUGCAAGAGAGGAUGCAGAUGCAUAUCUUGAGUGGGCUGAGCAGUGUGAUCAAAUUUUUAGAGUGCAUAAUCUCUCUGAUCAGAGGUGUGUCAAUCUUGCUUCAGUGGAGUUCUCUGGUUAUGCUCUGACUUGGUGGAAUCAGAUACAAGAGAAUCAACUUGUGUUGGGCCGUGAACAUAUCAACACAUGGGAAGAGAUGAAGCAAGUGAUGAGAAGGCGAUUUGUACCAUCAAGCUGUCAGCGUGACCUUCGCAAUAGGUUACAAAUGUUGAAGCAAGGGAAAAGAUAGGUUGAUGAGUAUUAUAAGGAGAUGGAGCUGUUGUUAGUGUGGACUGGAAUUAGAGAGGAUCCAGAGUAAAAAAUGGCAAGAUUUUUGGGUGGUCUCAAUGAGGAAAUUGCUGGAUUUGUUGAGAUGUUUCCAUACCAUACUUUGCAAGACCUUGUUGAUCAAGCUAUGCGUACUGAAAGAAAAAUUCAGCAAGAGACACGUGAAAAAUCUUAUGCAAGUCAUUCUAUUGCAGCCCCAUGGCGCAAGCAGCAGUCCAGCACUUCUUUUGGUGGGGGACGGUUCCAAGGUGCUGCAGCUAGGCCCUCUUCAUCUAAUGCUCCUUCAAAGAUGGUGGUUUCUACAGCAUCAUCCCCUGCAUAUCAGCAGCGACCUGCUACAAGUGUAGCAGCCCCAACUGUUGUUUCCUCAGCUACUACUUCCUCUGCACGUAGUAGAGAAAUUGUGUGCCACAAGUGCCAUGGUCGUGGACAUAUUGCUGCACAAUGUCCUAGUAGGAGGACCAUGAUUGUGAAUGAGAAUGGUGAAUGGGAAUCUGAAAGUGAUCGAGAGGAAGAAGGUCCAAGAUAUGAUGAGGAUCAUGAGAACCAUGAUAAUGAGAUCCAACCCGAUGAAGGUGAUAACAACUGCUUUAUUUCUCUUCGUGUGCUUAGUGUUACUGCUGCAAAGGAAGAGAAUGGGCAGCGACACAAUCUUUUCCACACUCGAGGCAUGAUCAAAGAGAAGUUGUGUAGAAUUAUUAUUGACAAUGGCAGCUGCAACAAUAUUGCUAGCCAAGAAUUGGUUGAUAGAAUGGAGCUAAAACAAAGGCGUCAUCCUAAUCCAUACAAGAUGCUGUGGCUGAAUGAUUGUGGUGCGCUGCGUGUGAGCCAUGUUGUGACAGUUCCUUUCUCUAUUGGGAGGUAUAAUGAUCAUGUGGAGUGUGAUGUGGUGCCUAUGCAAGCAUGCCAGCUGCUACUAGGUAGACCAUGGUUAUAUAAUCGUGAUGCUCAGAUCUUUGGAAGAACCAAAAAGCUGGUUUUCAUGUACAAAGGAGAGCGAAUUUCUUUGCUCCCUUUGACACCAGAGGAGAUUUUGAAUGAUGAUCUAAAAAGAAAACAGCGAGAGAGCGAGAACCACUUGCGAGUGACCCACAAAAAUAGUGAGGGAGUGUUUCCAAAGCCAAUUAAAACCCCACAGCCACAAAUGACCAAGACAAAGGGAAAAGAGGGAUUAGUUAUGAUGGCUAGGAAAGGGGAUUUAAAAGAAUUGAGGGAACCCAACGCCACAUUCGUUGUACUCCUGUACAAGAAAAAUUUUCUUUCCCCUAACAACUUAUCCUCUACUUUGCCAAUUGUUAUUUUUAAUGUGUUACAGGAAUACGAGGAUGUCUUUCCAGAGGAGGUACCACCAGGGCUGCCACCCAAGAGAGGAAUUGAACAUCAAAUUGACCUUGUUCCCGGUGCUUCACUUCCAAACCGAGCUGCAUACCGCACCAAUCCGGAGGAAACAAAAGAAAUUCAGCAACAAGUGGAAGAAUUGAUGAGAAAAGGGUAUGUGCAGGAAAGUCUUUCACCUUGUGCAGUCCCUGUUCUUUUAGUUCCAAAAAAAGAUGGUUCAUGGAGAAUGUGUGUUGACUGUAGAGCUAUUAAUUACAUCACAGUAAGAUAUAGGCAUCCCAUUCCUAGACUUGAUGAUAUGCUUGAUGAACUUAGUGGUGCAAAAAUUUUCACUAAAAUUGACUUGAGAAGUGGCUAUCACCAAAUAAGAAUGAGAGAAGGAGAUGAGUGAAAGACAACUUUAAAACCAAGUUUGGGUUGUAUGAAUGGUUGGUAAUGCCCUUUGGAUAGACUAAUGCACCAAGUACCUUUAUGAGAUUGAUGAAUCAUGUGCUUAGAUCUUUCAUUGGCAAGUUUGUUGUGGUUUACUUUGAUUAUAUAUUAAUUUACAGCAAGUCUCUUGAUGAACAUGUUGAGCAUAUCCAAAGUGUGCUUGCUGUCCUACGUGAGCAAAAAUUGUAUGCUAACCUUGACAAGUGCACAUUUUGCACCGACAAGGUAGUCUUUCUUGGUUUUGUUGUUUCAGGACAUGGUGUGGAGGUGGAUGAGGAUAAGAUCAAAGCUGUUCGUGAGUGGAUGCCUCCACAAAAUGCAAGUCAAGUGCGUAGCUUCGUUGGACUUGCUGGUUUCUACCGGCGAUUUGUGAAAGAUUUCAGCACCAUUGCUGCUCCAAUCAAUGAGUUGACAAAGAAAGGAGUGCCUUUUAAUUGGGGAGAAGCACAAGAGAAGGCAUUUGAAGAACUGAAGAUGAAGUUGACAACAGCCCCACUUCUUGCACUUCCAGAUUUCGGUAAGACAUUUUAAAUUGAAUGUGAUGCAAGUGAUAUAGGAAUUGGUGGCGUUCUCAUGCAAGAAAGGAGGCCGAUUGCAUACUUCAGUGAAAAGCUAAGUGGUCCAACUCUGAAUUACUCAGUUUAUGAUAAAGAAUUAUAUGCUCUUGUUAGAAGCUUGGAAACUUGGCAACACUACCUUUUGCCUAAAGAAUUUGUGAUACAUUCAGACCAUGAAUCUUUGAAACACUUAAAGGCCAACUAAAACUGAACCGAAGACAUGCAAAAUGGAGUAAGUUCAUUGAGUCCUUUCCUUAUGUUGUCAAGUACAAGAAAGGGAAAUAUAACAUUGUAGCUGAUGCUUUGUCUCGACGUCAUACUUUGCUUUCACGACUUGAUACUAAAAUUCUUGGAUUAGAAAGUAUAAAAGAACUAUAUGUUAAGGAUUCAUAUUUUGCUGAACCAUAUUCCAAGUGUUGUGGCAGCAAGGGAUGGGAAAAAUUCCAUUUGCAUGAGGGUUUCUUAUUUCGAGCUAAUAAACUUUGCAUUCCAGAUUGCUCUGUUCGCAUUUUGCUCGUGCAGGAAGCUCAUGCAGGAGGACUUAUGGGCCAUUCUGGUGCAAAGAAAACAGAACAAGUGCUGACUGACCAUUUCUUUUGGCCUAAGAUGAGAAGAGAUGUGGAGAGACAUGUUCUUCGCUGUGAAACCUGCCAUAAAGCUAAGUCCCGUUUGAAUCCUCAUGGUUUAUACACUCCUCUACCUAUCCCUAGUGUCCCUUGGGAGGACAUUUGUAUGGACUUUGUCCUUGGUUUACCACGAACCAAGAGGGGAAAGGAUUCCAUAUUUGUUGUGGUUGAUAGAUUUAGCAAAAUGGCACACUUUAUUCCCUGUCAUAAGAGCAAUGAUGCUUCAAACAUUGCUGAAUUGUUUUUCAGAGAAAUUGUGCGUCUACAUAGAGUGCCACGUACCAUCGUGUCUAAUCGUGACACCAUGUUUUUGAGUUACUUUUGGAAAACCAUGUGGGGAAAACUGGGGACAAGGCUGCUGUUCUCCACAACGUGUCAUCCUCAAACGGAUGGACAAACUGAAGUUGUGAACCGCACAUUAUCAACAUUGCUGCGAGCUGUCCUAAAGUAGAAUCUGAAAUUGUGGGAAGAAAGCUUGCCUCAUGUGGAGUUUGCAUACAACAGGGCAGUACAUUCGACCACAAAAUUUUGUCCAUUUGAGAUUGUCUAUGGGUUCAAACCUACUGCUCCCAUCGAUCUUUUGCCUUUGCCUAUGCAGGAACGUGUGAACUUUGAUGCAAGCAAGCGAGCAGAAUUUGUCAAGAAGCUUCAUGAUCAAGCUAAAGCAAACAUUGAGAAGAUGACCAAGUUAUAUGAGAAGCACGCCAACAAGGGUCGUAAGAAGAUGUUAUUUGAACCGGGAGACUUGGUUUGGGUGCACCUGCGCAAGGAUCGCUUUCCUGAACAACGCAAGAGCAAGCUGCAACCCCGAGCCGAUGGUCCAUUCAAAGUGCUUCGCAAGAUCAAUGAGAAUGCUUAUGAAAUUGAUCUUCCAAGUACUUAUGGUGUGAGUACAAGUUUCAAUGUCUCCGACCUUUCUCCAUUCUUUGUAUUGGAAGAGUCGAGGACGACUCUUUUUGAAGGGGGGGAGGAUGAUAUGACCAUGCCAGCAAGCAAGAUGUCACAAGCUCCAAGUCAAGCUACAGCCACUCAAGUUUUACCUACACCGACACCAGCCCAAGUCAUCGAUGGACCGGUUACACGUAGUCGUGCAAAGAAGCUACAACAAGAGGUCCACGCGCUACUUUGUGAGAUUCAUUUUAACAUUAAUGAGAAUUAUAUACUACCUUAGUGUUCUACCUUGAUUGUACUCAGGUAUAUAGAAGAAAAGAAGGAUGAAUCGGACCCUGAAGAACGAACCAGUGCAAGUCCUAGAAGACACGUCGAAAACGGACCAGUGGAAGUCAAAAACGGACCAGUGCAAAGAAAUCUUCAUAACUUUUUAAUCACAAAAGCUAUGAAGGCCCAUGAGGACUUGUUGCAAAGCUCGUCGAGUCUACUUUCCAAUGAAGCUAGUGGCGACCAGUUUUGACACCCCAUAUUGCCUGCAGACCAGAAUUAGUACAGACUGCUCAGAUGGUCAACAGUCUGCCGUGACAGAAUGUUGGUACAAGUUGCCGUGCAAAACUGUACCAAUAUACAACGUUUCGAGGUACAUGGCAUACCUUGCUGGAAAGCUCUUCGAGUCUAGUUUCGCACCCAAUAAACGGUUCGUCAUUUGGACUUCCCAGUAAAGAGUUAUGGUCAGUUUAUUGGAAACUGCUCUAGAGGCCAACAGUCACGCGAAGCCAAUCGGGAAUCCAUUCCGAGGGGUCCUUUCACAUUGCCUUCACCCAGAAACUCUUUUUCGUUUUCAUACCUAUCUAGGAGGGUUGUUCUUAGUAUAAAUAUCCCCAACCUCUAAGCUAUCAUAAACCUUUGAUCAUUUGAUAAACUACAUGAUAUUGCAGCCGCGCUGCUGAGUGCCUUACUCAACCUUUGUUCUUCCUUGUUCUUCUUGGACUUGUGAAGUGAAUCCUGUGGGUUCCACGACUUCGUGCUCUACGGCUUCCGUUCGGCUGUGCCGUAUUGUGGGGAUUAGCUCCGGAUUGUGGUUCUGCGGUCGUUCGGAGAUCGAGUCGAAGUCUUCGUGGUUUUCGUGCCUCUCUCCCCGUCGCUUGGUCGCAUCCAACAUUUGUCAGGAAUAAAGCUAGUUACCCGCUGUUCGCAGCAAGUUAUCCUUGUUCUUUUGAUCUACUGUCGUGAAGAUCGGGCCACCCUCGUACCGAUCCAUAUCGGUACCCUAUCAACUGGUAUCAAAGCUUUUGUUGUCACGGUAGAUCUUACAAACAUCCACAUAUUUAUCUUUAGUAUAUCAAUCAUUUGCUACUGAUUUGUUCAUCACCUAUAGUCCACUAAAAAAGCCACAAAAAAAUCCUAAAGCCCUUUGACGGUACUGUUAUCUUGUGUUUUGUGUUCAUCAAAGUUGCUAGUCACCCUCUUUACAUAUACUGUGUUGUGUUUUAUUUGCUAUCCGCACACCUGUUAGUAUAAAAAAAGAGUUCAAAAAAAAGUCAGAAAAAAAACAGAGAAAAGAAAAGAGAAAGAACAGGAAAAGUAGAAGAAGAGGAAAGCGGUUGUAUUGCGGUUUGCUCACUGAAAAUUCAGUUUACACAUUCAGAUUCUUGGUGAUUUAUAUACCAGCAACACUAUAUCUUGUGAGCACAUCAAAUCAUUUGAUUUUCAGUACCGUGGCCUCCCUUGUUUAGCCACCUAUAGCUCCACCUAAAACUGAAACUAAGACAUUCGACUCGUAAUCCUUGUGACCUCGGAAUCACUUCUGUUGAGCUGCUACACUAGCACAAUUCACUGUCCUUGAGAACAGGAACGAGCAUUGGUAAGUAAGAGGUGAGGUUGUGUGAUUCCACAAAUUUACCCAUUCCACUAUAUUUUGCCUUAAGUGCUAACAUGACAGGAUCCAACUCAAGUAUUCAUGGUAAUCGUCAUGGAGAAGAACCCCCUGUUGCACGGGCUGAGUUGCGCCAAAUGGCAGACUCACUCCUGCAGGCCAUGGAGAGAAUGCUUGAUACACGCAUACCUGCGUAUGGGCAGAGAGCUCCUCGGCAUCAAUCUGAUGAAUCUGGUGCUGAAAAUUCUAAUGGAGGACAUGACCGUUUCAGAGAUGGUCGUGGUGGUGGUAGGCGGGCUGGUCAUCAUGGCCAAAAUGGAGGGCGAGCUCAUGGACGUGGUCGUGGCCAUCGAGUUCAUUUUCAUGAUGAAGAAUUUGAUAACUUUGGUCACGAAGAGGGGUCUGAUGAGAAUCCCUUUGCAAAUGAUGGGCUGCAUAGGCGGCGCCAUUAUCAUCGGUGGCAUGCUGAUCAUGGAGAUAGAGAGCAUCAUCAUGGACGUCGUAAUAGGGAAGAACCAGACAGCAUUGCUCGUGUCAAGUUGAGUAUCCCAAAAUUCACUGCAAGAGAGGAUGCAGAUGCAUAUCUUGAGUGGGCUGAGCAGUGUGAUCAAAUUUUUAGAGUGCAUAAUCUCUCUGAUCAGAGGUGUGUCAAUCUUGCUUCAGUGGAGUUCUCUGGUUAUGCUCUGACUUGGUGGAAUCAGAUACAAGAGAAUCAACUUGUGUUGGGCCGUGAACAUAUCAACACAUGGGAAGAGAUGAAGCAAGUGAUGAGAAGGCGAUUUGUACCAUCAAGCUGUCAGCGUGACCUUCGCAAUAGGUUACAAAUGUUGAAGCAAGGGAAAAGAUAGGUUGAUGAGUAUUAUAAGGAGAUGGAGCUGUUGUUAGUGUGGACUGGAAUUAGAGAGGAUCCAGAGUAAAAAAUGGCAAGAUUUUUGGGUGGUCUCAAUGAGGAAAUUGCUGGAUUUGUUGAGAUGUUUCCAUACCAUACUUUGCAAGACCUUGUUGAUCAAGCUAUGCGUACUGAAAGAAAAAUUCAGCAAGAGACACGUGGAAAAUCUUAUGCAAGUCAUUCUAUUGCAGCCCCAUGGCGCAAGCAGCAGUCCAGCACUUCUUUUGGUGGGGGACGGUUCCAAGGUGCUGCAGCUAGGCCCUCUUCAUCUAAUGCUCCUUCAAAGAUGGUGGUUUCUACAGUAUCAUCCCCUGCAUAUCAGCAGCGACCUGCUACAAGUGUAGCAGCCCCAACUGUUGUUUCCUCAGCUACUACUUCCUCUGCACGUAGUAGAGAAAUUGUGUGCCACAAGUGCCAUGGUCGUGGACAUAUUGCUGCACAAUGUCCUAGUAGGAGGACCAUGAUUGUGAAUGAGAAUGGUGAAUGGGAAUCUGAAAGUGAUCGAGAGGAAGAAGGUCCAAGAUAUGAUGAGGAUCAUGAGAACCAUGAUAAUGAGAUCCAACCCGAUGAAGGUGAUAACAACUGCUUUAUUACUCUUUGUGUGCUUAGUGUUACUGCUGCAAAGGAAGAGAAUGGGCAGCGACACAAUCUUUUCCACACUCGAGGCAUGAUCAAAGAGAAGUUGUGUAGAAUUAUUAUUGACAAUGGCAGCUGCAACAAUAUUGCUAGCCAAGAAUUGGUUGAUAGAAUGGAGCUAAAACAAAGGCGUCAUCCUAAUCCAUACAAGAUGCAGUGGCUGAAUGAUUAUGGUGCGCUGCGUGUGAGCCAUGUUGUGACAGUUCCUUUCUCUAUUGGGAGGUAUAAUGAUCAUGUGGAGUGUGAUGUGGUGCCUAUGCAAGCAUGCCAGCUGCUACUAGGUAGACCAUGGUUAUAUGAUCGUGAUGCUCAGAUCUUUGGAAGAACCAAAAAGCUGGUUUUCAUGUACAAAGGAGAGCGAAUUUCUUUGCUCCCUUUGACACCAGAGGAGAUUUUGAAUGAUGAUCUAAAAAGAAAACAGCGAGAGAGCGAGAACCACUUGCGAGUGACCCACAAAAAUAGUGAGGGAGUGUUUCCAAAGCCAAUUAAAACCCCACAGCCACAAAUGACCAAGACAAAGGGAAAAGAGGGAUUAGUUAUGAUGGCUAGGAAAGGGGAUUUAAAAGAAUUGAGGGAACCCAACGCCACAUUCGUUGUACUCCUGUACAAGAAAAAUUUUCUUUCCCCUAACAACUUAUCCUCUACUUUGCCAAGUGUUAUUUUUAAUGUGUUACAGGAAUACGAGGAUGUCUUUCCAGAGGAGGUACCACCAGGGCUACCACCCAAGAGAGGAAUUGAACAUCAAAUUGACCUUGUUCCCGGUGCUUCACUUACAAACCGAGCUGCAUACCGCACCAAUCCGGAGGAAACAAAAGAAAUUCAGCAACAAGUGGAAGAAUUGAUGAGAAAAGGGUAUGUGCAGGAAAGUCUUUCACCUUGUGCAGUCCCUGUUCUUUUAGUUCCAAAAAAAGAUGGUUCAUGGAGAAUGUGUGUUGACUGUAGAGCUAUUAAUUACAUCACAGUAAGAUAUAGGCAUCCCAUUCCUAGACUUGAUGAUAUGCUUGAUGAACUUAGUGGUGCAACAAUUUUCACUAAAAUUGACUUGAGAAGUGGCUAUCACCAAAUAAGAAUGAGAGAAGGAGAUGAGUGGAAGACAACUUUAAAACCAAGUUUGGGUUGUAUGAAUGGUUGGUAAUGCCCUUUGGAUUGACUAAUGCACCAAGUACCUUUAUGAGAUUGAUGAAAUGUGCUUAGAUCUUUCAUUGGCAAGUUUGUUGUGGUUUACUUUGAUUAUAUAUUAAUUUACAGCAAGUCUCUUGAUGAACAUGUUGAGCAUAUCCAAAGUGUGCUUGCUGUCCUACGUGAGCAAAAAUUGUAUGCUAACCUUGACAAGUGCACAUUUUGCACCGACAAGGUAGACUUUCUUGGUUUUGUUGUUUCAGGACAUGGUGUGGAGGUGGAUGAGGAUAAGAUCAAAGCUGUUCGUGAGUGGAUGCCUCCACAGAAUGCAAGUCAAGUGCGUAGCUUCCUUGGACUUGCUGGUUUCUACCGGCGAUUUGUGAAAGAUUUCAGCACCAUUGCUGCUCCAAUCAAUGAGUUGACAAAGAAAGGAGUGCCUUUUAAUUGGGGAGAAGCACAAGAGAAGGCAUUUGAAGAACUGAAGAUGAAGUUGACAACAGCCCCACUUCUUGCACUUCCAGAUUUCGGUAAGACAUUUUAAAUUGAAUGUGAUGCAAGUGAUAUAGGAAUUGGUGGCGUUCUCAUGCAAGAAAGGAGGCCGAUUGCAUACUUCAGUGAAAAGCUAAGUGGUCCAACACUGAAUUACUCAGUUUAUGAUAAAGAAUUAUAUGCUCUUGUUAGAAGCUUGGAAACUUGGCAACACUACCUUUUGCCUAAAGAAUUUGUGAUACAUUCAGACCAUGAAUCUUUGAAACAUCUUAAAGCCCAACUAAAACUGAACCGAAGACAUGCAAAAUGGAGUAAGUUCAUUGAGUCCUUUCCUUAUGUUGUCAAGUACAAGAAAGGGAAAUAUAACAUUGUAGCUGAUGCUUUGUCUCGACGUCAUACUUUGCUUUCACGACUUGAUACUAAAAUUCUUGGAUUAGAAAGUAUAAAAGAACUAUAUGUUAAGGAUUCAUAUUUUGCUGAACCAUAUUCCAAGUGUUGUGGCAGCAAGGGAUGGGAAAAAUUCCAUUUGCAUGAGGGUUUCUUAUUUCGAGCUAAUAAACUUUGCAUUCCAGAUUGCUCUGUUCGCAUUUUGCUCGUGCAGGAAGCUCAUGCAGGAGGACUUAUGGGCCAUUUUGGUGCAAAGAAAACAGAACAAGUGCUGACUGACCAUUUCUUUUGGCCUAAGAUGAGAAGAGAUGUGGAGAGACAUGUUCUUCGCUGUGAAACCUGCCAUAAAGCUAAGUCCCGUUUGAAUCUUCAUGGUUUAUACACUCCUCUACCUAUCCCUAGUGUCUCUUGGGAGGACAUUUGUAUGGACUUUGUCCUUGGUUUACCACGAACCAAGAGGGGAAAGGAUUCCAUAUUUGUUGUGGUUGAUAGAUUUAGCAAAAUGGCACACUUUAUUCCCUGUCAUAAGAGCGAUGAUGCUUCAAACAUUGCUAAAUUGUUUUUCAGAGAAAUUGUGCGUCUACAUGGAGUGCCACGUACCAUCGUGUCUAAUCGUGACACCAUGUUUUUGAGUUACUUUUGGAAAACCUUGUGGGGAAAACUGGGGACAAGGCUGUUGUUCUCCACAACGUGUCAUCCUCAAACGGAUGGACAAACUGAAGUUGUGAACCGCACAUUAUCAACAUUGCUGCGAGCUGUCCUAAAGUAGAAUCUGAAAUUGUGGGAAGAAAGCUUGCCUCAUGUGGAGUUUGCAUACAACAGGGCAGUACUUUCGACCACAAAAUUUUGUCCAUUUGAGAUUGUCUAUGGGUUCAAACCUACUGCUCCCAUUGAUCUUUUGCCUUUGCCUAUGCAGGAACGUGUGAACUUUGAUGCAAGCAAGCGAGCAGAAUUUGUCAAGAAGCUUCAUGAUCAAGCUAAAGCAAACAUUGAGAAGAUGACCAAGUUAUAUGAGAAGCACGGCAACAAGGGUCGUAAGAAGAUGUUAUUUGAACCGGGAGACUUGGUUUGGGUGCACCUGCGCAAGGAUCGCUUUCCUGAACAACGCAAGAGCAAGCUGCAACCCCAAGCCGAUGGUCCAUUCAAAGUGCUUCGCAAGAUCAAUGAGAAUGCUUAUGAAAUUGAUCUUCCAAGUACUUAUGGUGUGAGUACAAGUUUCAAUGUCUCCGACCUUUCUCCAUUCUUUGGAUUGGAAGAGUCGAGGACGACUCUUUUUGAAGGGGGGGAGGAUGAUAUGACCAUGCCAGCAAGCAAGAUGUCACAAGCUCCAAGUCAAGCUACAGCCACUCAAGUUUUACCUACACCGACACCAGCCCAAGUCAUCGAUGGACCGGUUACACGUAGUCGUGCAAAGAAGCUACAACAAGAGGUCCACGCGCUACUUUGUGAGAUUCAUUUUAACAUUAAUGAGAAUUAUAUACUACCUUAGUGUUCUACCUUGAUUGUACUCAGGUAUAUAGAAGAAAAGAAGGAUGAAUCGGACCCUGAAGAACGAACCAGUGCAAGUCCUAGAAGACACGUCAAAAACGGACCAGUGGAAGUCAAAAACGGACCAGUGCAAAGAAAUCUUCAUAACUUUUUAAUCACAAAAGCUAUGAAGGCCCAUGAGGACUUGUUGGAAAGCUCGUCGAGUCUACUUUCCAAUGAAUCUAGUGCCGACCAGUUUUGACACCCUAUAUUGCCUGCAGACCAGAAUUAGUACAGACUGCUCAGAAGGUCAACAGUCUGCCGUGACAGAAUGUUGGUACAAGUUGCCGUGCAAAACUGUACCAAUAUACAACGUUUCUAGGUACAUGGCAUACCUUGCUGGAAAGCUCUUCGAGUCUAGUUUCGCACCCAAUAAACGGUUCAUCAUUUGGACUUCCCAAUAAAGAGUUAUGGUCAGUUUAUUAGAAACUGCUCUAGAGGCCAACAGUCACGCGAAGCCAGUCGGGAAUCCAUUCCGAGGGGUCCUUUCACAUUGCCUUCACCCAGAAACUCUAUUUCGUUUUCAUACCUAUCUAGGAGGGUUGUUCCUAGUACAAAUAUCCCCAACCUCUAAGCUAUCAUAAACCUUUGAUCAUUUGAUAAACUACAUGAUAUUGCAGCCGCGCUGCUGAGUGCCUUACUCAACCUUUGUCCUUCCUUGUUCUUCUUGGACUUGUGAAGUGAAUCCUCUGGGUUCCACGACUUCGUGCUCUACGGCUUCCGUUCGGCUGUGCCGUAUUGUGUGGAUUAGCUACGGAUUGUGGAUUUGCGGUCGUUCGGAGAUCGAGUCGAAGUCUUCGUGGUUUCGGUGCCUCUCUCCCCGUCGCUUGGUCGCAUCCAACCUUUGUCAGGUAUAAAGCUAGUUACCCGCUAUUCGCAGCAAGUUAUCCUUGUUCUUUUGAUCUACUGUCGUGAAGAUCGGGCCACCCUCGUACCGAUCCAUAUUGGUACCCUAUCAAGUCUUUCACCGUAGAUGAUUCAGCAGCAAACUUUGUUUUUGAUUUGCUUCCUCUAGAGAAAUUCCUCGUGGAUGGUUCAGCAGCAAAUUUUGGCAUGGUAAAUUUCAGUUUGCCAAAACUUUCUUCAUGGUUGCCUCUUCUAUGACAACGGCGACCAAAACUGAGUUGGAAGCGGUUGUCAUCAGCCUCAUCUUCAGAUUCAUCAUCAUUUCUUUGACUAUGUCUUCUUCCUCUACCAUGUGCAGCCCUCCGGUUCCUCUGACCUCCUCCUCUUCCAUCACUAUCUUCUCUAUCUCCGCUAUGGUUGCUUGCACCAUCAUGAGGUGGACGAUGCCUUCUAAUUUCAGUCAAAAGAUUCUGAAGAUCUUGUGUCAACUUCUCUUGUUUUUCUUCCAUGCUUUGUCGGAGUUUAUUAAAUUGUGCUAUGGUGACACGAUCUUUGAUGUCCACUCGACCCAUCUUCCUGUAAGGUUAGCUGAAUACAAAUAAUUUGUAUUUGUGGAAUAUGAAAAUUUGGUGACUCUCACAACUCACCUCUCUAACCACCAAGGCUCUUAUGAAUUCCUCUGCUGCAGAUUACUAGGAAAACAAAUGUCUGGAGGCAACUGAAAGUGAUGGCGAGGCGAAUACAAGAACAGAGAGUACCGAUUACGAUGAUUUUUAUGUGGAGCUUGGCGGGGAGUAAUACACAAGGAAUGCAAUCUGAAUUAUAGUUGUUGUAAAGUUAAGUAACGAUCCAAACUAGAAGUUCUCUGCCUAGUGCUGAUCAAAAGAUUCGAAGUGUGUAAAUAGAUCACACACACGCAAAGAAAUUUCAGAAUUGAUGCAAACAAGGAGUAUGAUUGGGAUGCAAGUGUUGCAAUCAGACCCAACCAAAGUUUUGCACCAAACAAAGAUAGCAAACUGGUUGUAGAACUUGAUAUGAAACUUUCAGCACUUGUGCACAUAAACCAACUAAUCUUUCAGACUUUCUCUCUGAACCUUUCUCAACUUUUUUUUCACUUCACUUUUUUUUUUGCACUUUCUUUUUUUUCUUUUUUGUGACACACUUUUAUAUAUAUAUAUAUAGAACUAAAAACAGGGAUCAGAUUAUGAUACUUGCACAACUAAGACAGAAAUAAAACAACAACCAGUAGCUAGAUAGGACCAAAGUUAACACAAAGGAUGAUAUAGGCUAUAGAGAUUUUUUUUGUAGGGAUAUUUAGAUAUAAAAGAGGCACAAAGAACACGCGAAGGAUAAAUGAUCAGCAACUAAAACAAAGACUCUAAUGGACUGCGACUUAACCGAACUCACUAAAAUAACAGAUUGAAAGAAAGGUCUAAGCAAUAUAUUUUUCUGGCUUUUUGGUGGAUAGGACGAAGCAAAAAUAUAUAUGUAGCUAGGGAUAAAAUUCCUACCGUGGUAACGAAAGCUUUGAUACCAGAUGAUACGACACGUUGUCCCGAUCUUCACGACAUAGGAUGAACACCGAUAACUAGCUGAAGAACAGUUGGAUAACUUGCUGCAAGCAGCGAUAACUAGUGCAACCUGGCAAAUAAAACUCGAAGCCAACCACCGUCUUUAACCGGCAACCUGAAUCGAGGAUUCGCCCAACCACACUCUCAAAGAACCAACCAACACAACCCACAAUCAAUCAAGGAAUACCUUGAAGGGAGUAGGAGCAACAAUUGGGAGCGGAUGAAGCCGCCGCCUAUGUAAUCCCGCGAGGAAAUCACAAGAGCAAAGGGGUAGAGAUCACUCUCUGAAUUUGUUAGCACGCAGCUGAACAAAGGGGUUCUGUAUUUCAAUUAUCAAAAGUCUGACAUUACAAUGAGUCUUAGGGGGUUUUUAUACUAGCAAUAGCCUUGCUAGAUAGGUAUGAAAACGAAAUAGAGUUUCUGAGGGAAGGCAAUGUGAAAGGUUCCCUCGAAAUGGAUUCCCGAGGUGGCUUCGCGUGACUGUUAGCCUCCAGAGCAGUUUCCAAUAAACUGACCAUAACCUUUUAUUGGAAGUCCAAAUGAUGAACCGUUUCUUGGUUGUGAAACUAGACUCCAAGAGCUUUCCAUCAAUGUAUGCCAUGCACCACGAAACUCUGUAGAUUGGUACAGUUUUACUUGGCAAGUUGUACCAACAUUCUGUCACGACAGACUGUUGACCUUCUAAGCAGUCUGUACUAAUUCUGGUAUGCAGGCAAUAUGGUGUAUCCAAACUGGUUGCUACUAGAUUCAUUGGAAAGUAGACUCGUCAAGCUUUCCAACAAGUGCUCAUGGACCUUGAUAGCUUUUGUGACUAAAAAGUUAUGAAGAUUUCUUGCACUGGUCCGUUUUUGACUUCUUCUGGAACUUGCACUGGUCCGUUCUUCAGGGUUCGAUUCAUCCUUCUCUUCUUCUAUAUACCUGAGUACAAUCAAGGUACAACACAUAGGUAGUAUAUAAUUCCCAUUAAUAUUAAAAUGAAUAUCACAAAGUAGCGCGUGAACCUCUUGUUGUAGCUUCUUUGCACGACUACGUGUAAUCGGUCCAUCGAUGACUUGGGCUGGUGUCGGUGUAGGUGAAACUUGAUUGGGUGUAGCUUGACUUGAAGCUUGUGACAUCUUGCUUGGGGACGUGGUCAUAUCAAAGUUAGAGCCAUCUACACUUAUGAUCUCUACAUCAUCAAUUCCAAAUAUGCAUUUGAAACCAAGAUCACAAAGUUGGGCUACGGAUAAUAAGUUGAAGUUCAAGCUCUCUACUAGUAGCACAUUGGAAAUGCUCAAGUCAUUGGAUAUAGCAAUUUUACCAAGUCCUUUGACCUUGCCUUUGCCAUUGUCACCAAAUGUGAUACUAUCAACACCAUUGUCAUCAUUUGGAUUGAUUGAAUUGAACAUUCUUGCAUCACCGGUCAUGUGUUGUGUGCACCCACUAUCAAGCACCCAAUGCCUUCCUCCGGCUUUAUAGUUUACCUACAAAACAAAUCAAUGUUUCUUAGGUACCCAUACUUGCUUGGGUCCUUGGAGGUUAGUGACUAAGCUCUUUGGUACCCAAAUGGCCUUCUUCUUUGGAACCACAAUUGGUGUACCAACAAACUUAGCAUGCACACCCUUCUCACCCUUGGUAAGCACAUAACAAGAAUCAAAAGGAAUGUAAUGUACAUUAGCAAUUUUCUUGUUCUUGUUCAUUUUGUUGCAAUUAAGCUCUAGGUGCCCAACUUGCUUGCAUUUGUUGCAAUACCGACCAUUGCUCUUCACAAAGCUAGGCUUGUGACCUGCAAAGGCUUUCUUGCCCUUCUUGGGGGUAUAGCCUAAUCCCUCUUUGUUGAGAGAAAACCUUUGGCUACCCAAGCACUUUAGCAAGCGGGCCUCACCGCCAUAGGCUUCGCCUAAGGCAUGAGUGAGCUCAUCCACUUCUCUCUUGAGAGUCUCAUUCUCAUCCUUUAUUGAAGCAUCACAUGUGAUACCAUCACUAGAAGUAGAGGUAGAGUUGGUGGUGGUGGAUGAAGACCUAUAAGAAGAGUUAGUGGCAACAACAAUAGGUAGGUUGGGUGAUUCUUUAAUUAAGUCACAUGUUGUGCCCAGAUCACAUGAUACAACAACCUUUUCCUUGUUCUCUUCUAACAACAAGGAGUGAGCUUUCUCAAGCUUGGUGUGAGCCUUGCCAAGCUUCUCAUGGGCUUCCACUAGCCUCUUAUGAUUAGCAUUGAGCUCAUCAAAGGAUUGCUCAAGAGCUUUUAACUUCUUUGCCAAUUCUUUGUACUUCUUGUUUUUAGAUUAAAUAAGAGAAUCGGCUUGUUCUAACAUGUCCAUGAGUUGUUAAUUAGUGAAUUCAUUUUCAUCAUCACUAUCACUAUCAUGUUCAUGUUCACUUUCACUUUCACUUUCACUCUCAUCAUAUUGUACCUUGUGGCCCUUGGCCAUGAAGCAUGAAGGAGUGUCGAAGAGUGAUGGCUUGUUGUUGAUAGCAAUGCUAGCAAGUGCCUUUUUCUUGGAUGCUUUGUCAUCAUCACUUGAAUCAUCAUCCGAAGAGGUAUCACUAUCCCAUGUCACAACAUAGGAUCCACCCUUCUUCUUAUUUUUGAAGACCAUCUUCUUCUCCUUCUUUUCUUUCUUCUCCUUCUUGUUCUUCUUGUCAUGCUCAUCAUUGUCACUAUUGUAAGGACAAUCCGCCACAAUAUGAUUGGGGCUUUUACACUUGUAGCAUAGCCUCACAUGCUCCUUGUUCUUGAAAUGAUCUCUUCUCUUUCUUGUGUGAUAGCCCUUUUUCUUCAUCAUCUUGCCAAACUUGCGGAUAAAGAGUGCUAGUGCUUCAUCAUCACUAUCAUCAUUGGAGCACUCCUCAUCACUUGAUUCUUCUUUCUUGGCCUUGCCCUUGUUCUUGCUCUUGGAUGAAGAGCUAGCUUUGAAUGGUACACUCUUCUUCUUCUUGUCAUAAUCAUCCUUCUUCAUGACCUCAUCAUCAUCAUUGUCAUUGUAUUGAUCUUCGGUCAUGACAUCUCCAAGUACCUCAUUGGGAGAUACACCCGUCAAUCCACCUCUAAAGAUGAUUGUUCUCAAUGUCUUGAACCUCUUGGGCAAGCACAUCAAGAACUUGUGAAUAAAGUCCUCAUCCUUCACUUUCUCACCUAGGCCCUUGAGAUCAUUGAUGAUGACUUGGAGCCUAUAGAACAUCUCCGGUAUGGACUCAUCAUCCUUCAUCUUGAAGUUGGAUAGCUUGUCCUUGAGCAUAUACAACUUGGCACUUUUUACCAUUGUAGUGCCCUCAUAUGUUUCUUCUAGCCUUGUCCAUACUUCACUAGCCUUCUCAAGAUCUUUGACUUGUUCAAACACCUUUGAAUCAAUGCCAUUAUAGAUUGUGUUGAGAGCCAUAGUAUUGCAUUGCUUGUUGGCUCUCUCAUUGUCGGUGGGGUUAGCCGGAUCAAGAAUCACAAAGUCAUUUUCGGUGACUUCCCACACUCUAUCAUUUAUUGAUCCAAGAUACAUUUUCAUCUUUCUCUUCCAAUAGUCAAAAGAACUCGUGCCAUAGAAGAACGGUGGUUUGCCCCCAACAUGGUUGAACACUAUUUGAGCCAUAAUUUGAGCACCGAGGUUGUUAAGCCUUCACAAACGGUGACCACGGCUCCGAUACCACUUGAAAGGUCCUAAUAUGGCUAGAGGGGGGUGAAUAGACUAUUUAAAAAUUCUACAAACUCACUAGAGAAAGAGGUUAGUAAAAAACAAAGCAAAGCUUUUUGCUCUAGCACUAAAGGGGUGUUUGCAAGCUACCUAUCCAACAAUUCUAGUUGAUAUAAUCACUUGGCACACAAGAGCUAUGUCUCUACUUACACUAGAGAGCUACCUAAAGUUUCUAUACAAGUAUGUAAGCUACUCUAGUUUGCAAGAAAGUAAGAGAGAAGGUUUGAACUUUAUACCACCACGUAGAGGGGAUGAACCAAUCAAUAAUAUGAAGUCCAAUCACCGGGAGAAAUCCAAAGUACAAUCACAAUGGAGACACACAAUUUUCUCCCGAGGUUCACGUGCUUGCCGGCACGCUACGUCCCCGUUGUGUCGACCAACACUUGGUGGUUCGGUGGCUAAGAGGUGUAGCACGAACCUUGUCCUCACAAGGACACCACAAGAACCUACCCACAAGUGAGGUAGCUCAAUGACACGAGCAAUCCACUAAUGUUGCCUUUGGCUCUCCGCCGAGGUAGGCACAAACCACUCACAGUCACCGGGAGAUGGCCAUGAACAAUCACCAACUCGUGCCAAUCCUCCUUCGCUGCUCCAAGCCUUCGAGGUGGCGACAACCACCAAGAGUAACAAGAAAACCGCAGCUAGAACGAUCCCCAAGUGCCACUAGAUGCAAUCACUCAAGCAAAUGCACUUGGAAUCACUCCCAAUCUCACAAAGAUGUAUAAUCUAUGAAGGAGAUGAGUGGGAGGGGUUUGCUUAGGCUCACAAGGAUGUCAAGUAUCUUAGAAUGCCAAGAGAGUGAGCCCCAAGCUGGCCAAACAUGUAUAUAUAGCCCCUCAAACAAAUAGAGCCGUUAGCUCUUUCACUGGGCAAAAUACGGGGUCACUGGACGCUCAUCACCAGCGUCCGGUGCUCCAACAUUAGUCAUGUGUUAGAGUCUAACAGUCACCUGCAGUGCAACGGACGCUGAGCAAGUUGGCACCGGACGCGUCCGGUGCACACCAGACCCGUGCGCAGAGAGCUCCGCAAACUCGCAGGGUCACAGGACGCUAAGCACCGGUAGCGUCCGGUGCUCACCGGACCCAUGCGCAGAGAGGGUCGCAAAACGCCCGCACACCGGACGCUAACCACCGGACACUCCCUGAGCGUCCGGUGCUUCCAGUCAAACACUCCGACCGAAGUCAGAUAGCACAGGACGCAUGAACAGGAGCUACCCAGCGUCCGGUGCUCACCGUCCGGUGCUUAACCCUAGCACCAUAGCACACCGGACGCACAACCUCUGCGUCCGGUGCCUCAACGGCCAGCAUCCGGUGAGUGUUUCUCAGCGAGAAACGCUCUGGAGACUUCUCCAAAAUUCCCACCGGCGCAAUAGAAAAUAUGCAUUUCAUUUUCUCGAAAAGCGCCGAUCCUCUCUCUACCCUUCAAACUCCACCUCCUUCUCAAAGUGUGCCAACAACACAACGUGUGUACCAACAAGUGCACGUGUGUUAGCAUUUUCACAAUCAUUUUCAUUGAAGGAGUUAAGUUAGCUCACUAGGUUCUAAAUGCAUGCACAUGAACAAUGACACCUAGUGGCACUUGAUAAUCGCUUAGCCAAAGAAUUCCCCUCUUUGUAGUACGGCUAUCUAUCCUAAAUGUGAUCACACCCUCUAUGGUGUCUUGAUCACCAAAACCAAAACCCUAAGCAAUACCUUUGCCUUGAUCUCCAUAGGGUUUUGUUUUUCUCUUUCUUCUUUUCCAAGUUGAGCACUUGAUCACCUUGUGGUCAUCACCAUGAUCAUCUCUUGCUCCAACACUUGGCAUGUACCAACCUCAUUAUGUCUACACACACUUAGCAUAGAGGUUAGUACUAGGGUUUCAUCAAUUAUCCAAAACCAAACUAUGGCUUUCACUCGCUCGACGCAUUCUCGAGAGAUCUCCACGAGCCAUCGAGGCACUGCUUGGGGGCUGACAUCGAAACCCCCCAGCAAACCGACGCCAUCGAGGCACUGCUAGCCGCAGCAGAGGUAAUGGAGACAGAACAGCGGCCCGGUCGACCUUUCGACUAGCGCACGCCGUUCCUCGACUGCCUGAUUCGUUGCGAGCUACCAGAAGAUCGAUCCGAGGCCCGCCGUAUCGCUCGACGGGCCAAGUCAUACGUAAUCUACGGCAAAGGCAAUGAGCUAUACCGACGAAGCUCGACAGGAAUCUUGCAGCGUUGCAUCACCAUAGAGGAAGGCUGAAAGCUCCUCGAGGAUCUACACUCAGGGGCUUGUGGCCACCACGCUGCUCCACGGACCCUCGUAGGGAACGCUUUUCGACAAGGCUUCUACUAGCCAGCGGCCGUAGCUGACGCCAUCGAGCUCGUGCGCUCGUGCCAUGGGUGUCAAUUUUACGCCAAGCAGACGCAUCUUCCCGCCCACGCUCUCCAGAUGAUCCCCAUCACGUGGCCGUUUGCGGUGUGGGGACUCGACCUAGUAGGUCCUCUACAGAAGGCAGCAGGGGGAUACACCCAUUUGCUGGUGGCCAUCGACAAAUUCUCCAAAUGGAUCGAGGCUCGACCCAUCACGAACAUCCGCUCUGAGCAGGCCGUCCUUUUCUUCACCGAUAUCAUCCACCGGUUUGGGAUUCCUAACAUCAUCAUCACCGACAACGGCACUCAGUUCACCGGCAAAAAGUUCUUGGACUUCUGUGACCGGCAUCACAUCCGUGUGAACUGGUCCGCAGUGGCCCACCCUCGAACUAACGGCCAGGUCGAGUGUGCCAAUGGCAUAAUUUUGUAGGGGCUGAAACCAAGAAUCUACAACCGCUUGAAGAAAUUCGGCAAGAAAUGGGUUGAAGAGCUCUCUUCGGUCCUAUGGAGCUUAAGGACGACACCGAGCAGGGCCACAAAAUACACCCCAUUCUUCUUGGUCUACGGCUCCGAGGUCGUGCUCCCGACGGACCUCGAGUAUGGGUCCCCUCGACUCAAAGCAUACAACGAGCAAUCAAAUAAAGAGACUCGAGAGAAUGCGGUCGACCAACUCGAGGAAGCUCGAGACAUGGCCCUCAUCAACUCCGCCAGAUACCAGCAGAAGCUUCCACACUACCACGACAAGCAUGUGCGCAAGAGGGAUCUGAACAUGGGCGAUCUUGUCCUACGGCAGCGGCAAAGCAACCAAGGACAACACAAGCUGACUCCGCCCUGGGAAGGCCCAUACGUAGUGGCCGAGGUCCUAAAGCCAGGGACAUACAAGCUAGCGGAUGAAAAAGGGGCAGUCUUCACCAACGCGUGGACCAUCGAACAGCUACGUCGAUUCUACCCCUAAAAUUUCAAAGCUUUAUGUUCCCAUGUACAUUCUGUACCAAGACCUUAUGAAUGAAUGCAUGAAUCGAUAAGAUCUUUCCCUCGAGUAAUUUACUUUUUUUCGUUGGUUGAAAUCUCGACGUUAGAAGGGAGUACCAACUAUGACCCAUCAUAGUCGAUACCCCCUCGGGGGCUAGCAGGGGGGUGCCCCCCAAGUGUCGAAAAAACCAAGCGAUUUUUUCCUUUCCUAUUAGUAAACCUCGCACGGUCGAAUAGUAGAGGCACCUCAAGCCCCUUAAGGGCCGAGAGACAAUGAGCCUGAGAACUCCUAAGCCCCCGGGCUAUGGUAACUCUACUCGCUUCCUCACCCUCGAGGCAAUCGAGAUCGCCUUAAACAAAAGACCAAACGGGGAAUACAAACAUAGGUAGAAAGGGAAACAAAGGAACCUCGAGCGGAAAGACAGGCAAAUACUCACAGAUCUAUAAACCGCUUAAAAGACACAAUAUCACUUAACACAGAAUGAUAAGUACUAUACAAGGGGCCUUAGCACCCAAAGUAGGCUCGCAGGCCUCAGUCUGCGUCUCGGCCCUCACCACCAUCGUCUACGCCCGAGCUAGUCUCGGGAGGAAGUACUUCCGGCUCAAACAACUUGGCCAACCUUUCCCAGGGACCUCCGCAUCAUCGAUCAAGGCGUGGAGCCUCUCCUCGUUCUCCGUGUCGGUCUUGGAGAUGUCGGUGACGAAGCCGUGGGACACCACCUCCAUAUCAUAAGAAAAGCCUGAGCAGACGACCGCCAUUGCCUGCUUCACUCCGAUAUGAAGAGCGUCCCGCACUCGAUCCCUCAGCGUUGCGCCUAGGUAGCACAGCUGAUCGACCAGUGCGUCGCCUCGAGCCACCUCCCUCGACUCGUCCACAGGCUCGAGCUCCCAGGAGGCCGACAGAUCGCUUAUCGCGGUCCGUAGCCGACCAUUCAACGCAACCUCCCCCUCGAGCUGAGCCUUGGUAGAGCGGGCUUCGACCUGAGCUGCGAGCAGUUCGUCCUUAAGCCCUAUAAAGACCAACACGGAGAAACUAGGCAACACAAAUCAUGCCUUUGAAGGAAAACAUGAUAGUAGAAACGAACCAUGAAUUUUCUCCUCUAGAGCGGUGUUCUCGCCAACAAGGUCGGUGUUGGCCCUCUCGAUCCUUUUGUAGGAGCGCGCCAGGUCGGUGUUGGCGACCCGCAGGUCUUCGAUCACCUUGCCCGCCUGUGCGAUGGCUCCAUCUUUCUCCAACAACGCCCUCUUCAGACGGUCGACGUCAUCAGAGAGGCUGCGAGAUCGAGCCCGCUCCACCUCAAGAUCCUCGAGGGCCUUCUUCUUGGCCUCCUCUGCAGUGCUCCAAGCGAUCUCGCCCUUCACACACUCCACCGUCAUCUCUUGGUAGACCUCUCGGGCAGAGGCAAGGUCAGCCUUGAGGAGGGCCUUCUCCUUGUCAAGAUCGGCAGCUGUGUCCUUAUAAAACUUGGCCUCUUCUUGGGCCUUGGACGCAGCCUCCUCGUCCGACACGGUCCGCUCCCUUAGCAGCGUAGCCUCUUCCGCCGCCUUCCUUGAGGCCUCCCGAGCUUCAGCCAGAGCGGCCUCCCUCUCCUUCUUCUCCUCCUCGAGCGCCAAAAGUUCCUUGUAAACCUUGAGGAGUUUCUCCUGCGACUCCAGGAGUUGGUCCUUGAGGAGAGGGAAUUGCUCCCAGCCGCCUCUCGUCACAUGGAUAAAGCUUGACUUGAUGGGGGAGGUCUCUUUUAGAUCAUGCGAGCCAGCAGUGGAACAGUAAGAACACAAAACCAAAAUGUCCUAUGAUAGCUAAGGCCCAAAAAUACUUACAAAGUAAGCCGGUCCGAGCCCGUUGUUGACGACGUUGGACAGGAGCCCUACCACAUGCUUCAUCCAGAGGCGAAGCACCUCAAGAUGCUCCCACUUCUCGGCCUCCUUCCAAUCGUCCAUAAAGAUGUUAGGCUCGGAUGGGUCGGUGGAGGCUCGGAUGCGGAUCCGGUCAGGGCACCAGUUUUCCAUCUCCUGAUCCGCGCGCGCCUUGACACCCCAGAUGAGCUCUUCGACGGUCUCAAGCGACCCCCCAUGGCGUAGAAACAGGUCGAUAAGGGAGGGGAACCGCCCGUCAUCAUCCACCAUCUUCUAGGUCCCGGUCUCACAGGCACCGCCGCCGCCCGACGUCCCGGCUUUGUCUUCCUCGGCGGGAAUGCGGUCCUCCCACGACCGACGCUCUCGAAGGAAUCCAGGAGCGAUCCCGUCGAUGCUGUAGAACGUGCCCUUGAUCUCGGACUGAGGGUCGACAGGGGUGCGCAUCAUACAAGCGAGUGCCACCAUGCCAUCCGCCCACCCGGACUCAGCAGGGAUCGAAGCGGGCGCUCCCGGACGGAGCCACGCCGGGGUCGGCGGACCAUAAACCGGCAGACCCUCUUCCCCGGCUUCGGGCUCUUGUGGCGGUGGUGGCACUGGCUGGGGCGGACUGUGAGGUGGUGGCUUGAGCAGUUCCUCUAACUGCUGGCUCCUCUACUGCUGCUCCCGGAGCUCCCGCAGCUCCUGCUGCCGAUCCUGCUCCAGCAGCUCCUCGAGCUGGGGUCCCUCUGGCGUCGCCCCUCCUCUUUUUCUUCUCCUUCCUACUGCGGCUGCUGCUGCCCCUCCUGCAGCUGCUAUCGUGUCUCCCGCUCGCGCUCCUCCUCCUCCCUCUUCCUCUGCUCCUCGACGGAGUGGAGCCCGAUGGGCCACGGCGUCCGCUUCGCCACAGGGGAAGCCUCGACCUCCUCAUCCAUGGAUCGAGCUUCCUUUGAAGGCCCGUCGCCGCCCGACCCGUCACUUAUUGUUAUAGGAUCCCCCUUGACCCCAGAUCGGGGAGGCUCGGGGGCUCCGUCCUGCUCUUGGGGGCGAGGCGCCUCGACCCGCUUCGGCGACGGUGGGGUGGACUCCGCCACAAUGGGCAUGGCGGGGCGCUCUCGACGCUAGUCGACGGCCGAGGAUCAGAGGAGCCUGCAAGCACUCGAAAGCAAAAGUCAGUCGCCAUGAUGAUCGACAUAAGGACAACACAACUCCCAUGAUGAUGGGAAUAAACUGCUAACCUGAGUCUUUGGAGGCCGCUCCCACCUUAAGCCUCUUGGCCAUCGAGGGCUGGGCCUAUUCGAGCGUCCGCUUCAAACUAAGGAGAGAGGAACAAGCGUAAGAGAAGCCGUUACCCAAGAAAAUGCCAAGACAUCGGAGGGUGAGAAUCAUAACAUCGAAAAUCUUACCCCAUAGGAAGGGCGACCCGCCUACCGGUCCCUCGACCAGCAGGCUUCGAGCCACCCCGCGUCGAGGCUCCGGGCCCCACGCGAGCGGGCGCCGGUGUUGGCUCGGCGUUUCCCGCCUGGCCAGCGCUUGGACUGGUACUCCCAAUUGACGGUCCUUAAUGCUCACAUUUAACCGUCAACUAAUCAUGGAAAAGGACUUAUAUGCAACCAACACCCAGACUUAGGGUUUUCUCUGACAGAAUUCCACAAGUUUUGGUGUUUGUCUAUUUCUGCAGGGGGUUAUCACGAAAUACAGAGGAAAGGCCCACACGUUAGGUUUACAUAGAGAUAUUAAUGUGCCACGCAAUUUUCUAUCAUCUAGAAGACUCCAGAAGCCACAGGAACGAACGGGAAGCCGAGAGGGCUCAAGGACAGGGCGCCCGCCCAACUCUCCUGGGCGCCGCCCUGCUACAGUGCCCAAUCAGAGUCCGUUUCGUGGAUCACGCUCCACCGACCUAAAGGAUCAAGAAAAACCGUACGAUUAAUGUCGGUUUGAUCCGACGGCCCAGAUUCAUCUGAAAAGACUAUAUAAGCAAGGCCCCCUGGCCCCUGGAGAGCAUACCUCUUCUACAGAAUCAAAGCUAGGGUUUCAAUUCUUCAUCCAAGUAGAGAGGAUCCCUCUAGUUCAUCUAGUUCUAGUUCUAGUUCAUCUAGUUCUAGUUCAUCUAGUUCUAGUUCAUCUAGUUCUAGUUCCUCUAGUUCUAGUUCUAGUUCGUUCUAGUUGUAAUCUAGAGAACAGGGAGAGAGAAGAGGAGAGCGGAGGAGGAGCCGGAUCUGUCGGAUCUUCCUCAACAUUAUUCUUUUGCAGCAACUGGUUCGUUCUUCAUCGUUCUCCAAGUUCUUCAAUUCAUAAUUCCUGAGUUCUUUAAUUACUUUUAUUUACAUUCAAGUUAUUUAUUGGAUUCCCGCUUCCAUCAAGUGCUCUAGUCUUUAUAACGCUAGAGUAGUAAUUAAUAGAUUAGACGUGGUGUUUAGUCUCACAAUUACCUGGAAUUGCACCCAAUCCUGCGGUUUGUUGUGGUAGCCCUAGGGUAGUGAUAGCCCGAACGGUCGACGUAUUCCACCUCGUUCGGAUCGGUGUUUGUAGGACCGUAGUCAGAGCUUCCUAGCCCCCUUCUCAUCUCUUUCUGUGGUUAGUGUUCUGAUGUCCCGAAAUAAAUAAUCUUUGAAGUAAUUCUUGAUUCUUAGAUCAAUUAGAGAACUCUCAGGAAACUUCCCCUCUUCCCACUAAAAAAAUAAUUAUAUAGUUAUCCUUGGGUGAUCUUGAAUCUUAAUUAGUACACUCACGUUCCCUGUGGAAAAUCGAUACUCUGGAAUACUGCCGGGUGACAGCUACAUCGGUAUCCAUGCACUUGCGGAUUUUUCUGUUUGCGUUUAAAAUACCCAACAAGCUUUCUAGCGCCGUUGCCGGGGAAUGGUAGCUGUGCUAGUUUCGAACCAAGUCAUCCGUGUAUCCUUUUUCUUUUCCUUUUUUACCACACUCACCUUAUCAUUUUCACUAUACCACAUGGAUUUCACUCUAAGCAUUAAUGAGCAUGGAAUUUAUUUCAUAGCCACUUCAUUUACUCUAUGCUCAUAUGCAACAUCUUCCCAAUCCAUUUGUUUUUCCAACAUCACCACAUUCGAGAUCUCCAACCCCCUCAUCCUUUCUAUUUAUAAAAACUUUAAAAGGGCGGUUGUCGAUGCAUAUGUCUAUAUUAAAUAUUGGAGAUCUCGUUGAGUUGAUCUUGAUAUAGGUCAGUGUUGGAGGGGAAACCACUUCGCCGACAUAAAUUGAUGGUUUCCCAAGGACAAGCUUAGUGUCCUAAAACAAGCACUGAUCAGAUCGUAACAUGAUCUUUGAAUUAUUUGCAAUAUUACCUUGUGAAUUGAGCAUAUAAGGAUAAUUGUAAAAAAAAGAAUUUUCCUUCGGGUAUUCUUGUCACAAACCUUUCUAGGAUUGGAGCAAGAAGAUCGGAUGAAUGACAAGCACAAGGUAUGUCCAACCAAUCAUCAUACAGCAUUGAACUAAAUUCAUCCAAACUUGAAUUUUGCAAAAUUCAAGCUUGGGUGAGUAAACACCAUAAAACAUCAUGGUAAGGUUUAAACUCAUUUUUAUUAUCAAAUUUUCUAUUUAUUUGAUUAUUAAGGUGAAUUAAUGAGCAUGUAUUACAAUUACUCUAAAAAUUCUAAUAAAAUUACCGCUAGCUAUCUAGGCUACCACAAGGUUACUUUAAAAUUUUCAUGGCUCUUGCACAUGCAGAUUAUGAGAUACAAAAAUGACAAGCUAAUAAUGGCAUUACAAGCAUAAAUGUGAAACCCUAUCAAAAAGUGUCAAACAACAGAUUUCAGUUUUUUCUUAGCUUUGUUUACACAUGAUUCCAUCACCCAGCAAGUUCCACCCUAAAAGGAGUCAUACAUUAUUUAUUAAAAAUACCACAAGAACUCCUAUUUAAACAAAGGAUAAUUAUAACUUUACCAACAGGCAUCCAAAAAAUCAUGAGAACUUUAACAAAGCCUAAUCAUAUCAUAACUAACAAUCUCCUAAAUUUGCAUGGCCAUAGGACUCACAGAUCUCAAGAUAUAAUUAUCUUCUUUUUAACAAGGAUUAAAUCAUAUCUAUUUAUUUCUUUAAAAACAUGGCAUGUUUCAUAUUUUUAUUAAAAACUAGACUAACUCAAGGAUCUCACAAAAUUGAAAUCACCCCAUUUGGAUCUGUCUAACUCAAGUUAUGAAUUUUCCAAGAAUAGCAUUAAAUCUGCCAAAAAUAGAAAUAGGGGAGAGGGGAUUAGUGGCUGACAGAGGGACCCACUAGUCAGCGGGACCUACUCGACAGUGACACAGAAACAGGGGAGAGCUCGUCGCCAGUGAAUCUCGACGACGGCGAGGUCUCGGUCGAAUCCAAGGGCACGGUCGUGACCCUCUCACCAAGGCGGACCUACCGAGGUAUGAUACCCUUACUCUACCAAGCUCUAGGGUGCUCGUCGGCGUGAAUGGUGGCUCGGCGGCGCUUGUAACAGAACCGACCAAAUUAUAAGAGAUUAAGCCUAACGGAGACCAUUUGCAUAGUCAAUCCAUCAGACUUAAGCCCAUAUAAUCCCGGUAGUCCGUGAAAUCUCGAAGGAUUUCAAACCACACAUCGUACAACAGCCAAGAUCGUAAUAAGUUUAGCGGUCGCCAUCCACCAAUACAUCCAGAUUACAACAUUAGUAAAAUCCAUCGGAGUUCUUAAAAAUUAUUACAAACCAAGUUCUUCAAGUAGCGGAAGCUUCAUAGUUCGAAAAUACCACACACACACUUAGUCUGAUACAGUGCCAUAGUUCGGUCAUUCCCACAAAAGCAAAAGAGGAGACGGAGUGACCAUCGCCCUUGGUCUAGUCAUCACCCAUGGCUGGGUACAGACAGAGGAUGCAAUAACCAUAGUACAUUUGACCAUCUGCAAAACAACAUGGGAGUAGAAACCUAAGUACGAGAAGGUACUCAGCUAGACUUACCCGUCAUAAACUUUAAAAUAAAGACUCUUCAAGGAUCAUGAAGGCUAUAUAGUGGGGUAGCUGACAACCAUUUUGCAAAACCGCAGGAUUUGACUAUCAUAACCUACAUAAAUCUUUCUUCUUUUACUUUGCUCAAGUUGAAAGUAUCAUUACCUAUUAUCUAGGUUUGUACCUGCACUAUUACAAGCAAGUAUAGGGAUAUGAUAGUACUUCAUCAUAGCAUUCAUAAAUUCUUUAUCAUUAUAACCCAAGUGUUCCAUAGUCCUUACUACGAGGACGAAGCUCAUGUCAAGUGCUCACUAUCCAGGAGCGAUGGCGAUUCGAAUCGAUUUCUAACUAGCUGGCGAGGUAUUCCCCACACAAACCACACUCACUGAUCAAGUGAGCUACAGAUCACCGUAUUACACUAUCCAGGACUAAGUCGUGGGUUCGGCAGGCACCGCCAGUACCCGAGGACCGUUCCGGCGACCAAGGUAUCCAAGGUAUACCAAGGUUGCGCGUCGCGCCCUCGUCGUUCUCCUCAACCAUCACCAAUACAGCGCAUGGCGGCUCGAUUCCCGGCCCGGAUAGUGUUCAGGCUUCACGGUCGGAACGACUUAUCCUUCCAGCUAAGUGUGGGGCAUGCGUUCAACAUGACAAGAGGGCCGUCAACGAUCGGUCCUUAAUCGACACAGACAGGGGCACUAUGGGCAACCCACCAUAAGACCCUGCCCGGUCUCCAAUUCCAUUCCACACUUGGUUAUUCUUUUCCCAAAAGCAAUCACUGCUUAAACAAGUAGGUAUCCACCUAUAUCUCGUAGGUGACAGGAAAUCACCCGACUUCUACCGGACUAAGCAAGCUAAGCAUAGACUCCGCGCCUAUCUACGUAGGACAAGGUAGAUAAGUGAGGGGUGAUAUCAAGGAGUACCAAUGCAUCAACGGUAUCAACCAACUCCUAUCACUUAAAUGCAAUAACAUAGAACAAGCAUAAUAUAUCCUGUAAGUUAGCGAGAAUAGGGAGACUUAGAAUGCUCCGGGGCUUGCCUUUCUCAAACGUGCUAGGCCGGUGAUCCGGACACUCCUGUAGCUCCUCUCCGGGUUCCUGUGCUUCCGGAGGUUCCUGCUCCUGAAUCUCCUCUGGCUCCUCGGGUCCCACCUCGUUCUCCUGCGAGCCUUUAUGAUGCAUGUGUGCUCAUGAGUGGAGUGCGAGAUGCCCGAGUGGAUGCUUGUAUGAGAAAGUACCAAAGGGUCAUGACAUGAUGCGUAGGCGAUUUAAUUGGUCAUGCUCUUUACAAGGUAGUCAACAUCAUCCAAGAGUAAGCAAUUGGAUUAAACAUCUAGUGCAUUCUCUUUUAUAAUUAUUUUUCAAGUGUGACCAGCAACCCACAAGUUGCUUCAAAGAUACACCAAACCCAAACUUAUUCUAUUCAACCUAUAUAUACCACAAUUCAUAAUUUUCUCUAUUCAUUUCUAGGCCCAUUAAAAUUUACAUGCAGUUCUGUUCCUCAAUAAAUUCCAUAAAAAUUACAGGAGACUACCAACCAAGCAUAAGGUCCACUGUAAGUUUUUUAUAAUUUUUGGAUACUUAUUUUGAGCUACAAAAAUCACAAGAUUAAUUAAUAAGGUAAGUAUAAUUACUCCACUAUGAUACCAGUGUCAAAUAACAGCUUUCAUAUUUUUACAAUUUGUCUAAUAUUAUCAGAAACACCCACAAAAAUUUCCACAUUAAUUGCAUGAUCCAAAUAAUUAUUAAAAAUCAUAAACCACUGCCAUGCAAGCAUUUAAAUUACCAUAAAUUCAUUUAUACACCAAUAAUGUACAGCAAUAUUUUUCCCAGUGAGUUAACAUACAUGCAGAGCCAACAAAUCAAGUUUCACAUUUUUCUGAACCAUAUAUUAGUUACCAUGCAUUUUCCAACUUUAGCAAAAAAAAUGGAUUAAAUAUAUUCAUACAGAAAAGUUACUCAAACAUGACAUGCAAUUACAUCAAGCUGUAGAUCUGAAAAUAUAGAGUACACCAGAAUUUAUUUCAUCCAAUUUGGAGCUGUAGAACUCAAGAUAUGAAUUUUACAAGUUUUAAAUCAUUUUCUGGAAAACCUUUUCUGAAAAUCAAAUCGAAAUCGGGAUCGAAAACGCUAGGGACACCCAGAUCUACACCCAACACGGUCCCCCUGCGACUGACAGUGGGCCUCUGACCCCACUGGUCAGCGAGACCGAGAGGGAGCACACCUCCGACGAGCAGAUCUCGCCGGCGGUGAGGUCUCCGGCCACGGGGUGAGCACCAACGUGCUCCCCGCAGCGAGGCACACCCAGCGGUACUCUCUGAUUGACCGCAGGAUGGCCAGAGCACCUCCGACGAGCGUGCAUGGCGGCACGGCGGCGCUGCUCGCCGUGGCCAGGCCGCUCCGGCGUGGUAGAGCGUGCGCAAACGUCUCUCCGAGCUUCCUCAUCAGCCUACCGACCUAGCGCAACCAAGAACCAGCGAAAAGAAGCAGGGAAACGCAAGAUCCGUCGCGGCGGAGUACUCCGGCGAGCUCGGGGUAACUCCGGCGAGCGAUUCACGCCGCUCGACGGACUCUCACCUCGGUAGAACGCUCGCAGGAGCUUACCCUAACGAUGGCGAAUGCGCCGGUGGCUUCGGUGUCGAGGUUUGGUCACUGGGGUGGCCGGCGGUGAGCAGCGGAGCUGCUCCGGCGAUGGCGUUGCGGCGGAGUCGCUGCGGCUGUGCUGCGCGAGCGGAGGGAGGAGGGAGAGGGGCGCGCGACAGAGUGGAGGGAGUGGCUUGGGAGCCCGAGCCGGCGUCCCGACCAGGGGGUGUAGGUGGCCGGCCGCGGCGCGCUCCUCGCCGGCGUACGGCCGCCACGUGGCCGACGCUGGCUGGGAUGAGGCGCGUCCGCGCGCUUGAGAGAGGGGGAGGGGGAAGCAGGUCGGGCCGCUCGCUGGACCGAAAGGGAGGCGGGGUUGGCCCAGCAGCGCCUGCCCCUUUUCUAUUUUUUUUGAAUUUCUUUUCUCAAAUUCUUUUCUAAAUUCAUUUGGACUAAUUUAAAUUCAUUUUCAGCUCUUGCCCCCAAAAGCAAAGUUGUUCCAAAACAAAAACCCUGCAACUUUGUUUUAAUAAGCAAGACCAAAUUCCACAUAGAAUUUGAAUUAAAAAUUAAAACUAGUUCUAGGUUUCAUUUUUCUAAAUUCAUUUUGGGGAUUUUUGUAUAAAUUCCAUUUCUCAAAUUCUAUAGCUCCAAAAAUUGUACAAAAAUAUUCUUAAUUCUUCUUACACAUAAAUCAACCUAGUUUGAAUAUUUCACCUUUUUAGAAGCAAGCAUCAUAUUUUUAACAUAAUUAAAACACAUGAAAUAAAGCACAUAAAAUCAUGUUUUGGGAUGAAUGACAUGCUCAUGAUGCUAUGCUUGAUGAGAAUGCUUAUGCAUGUUGUGAUAGGGCUAAAUGCAUGCUUAACACCUAGGGUGUUACAGCCCUUCCCCCCUUAGGGAAAUCUCGUCUCGAUAUUUUGGGUUACUAACCAUUUCUUAUGAAAUUUUGGAUAAACUGUUCUUGGUAUCCACAAUUCCCACUGGCUGCUCCUUAUACUCUAGGUCUGCUUUUAUUUUGAUCCCUCGAGGCUCAAUUCUUUGCUCACGUACCUUCAAACAUUUCCGCAGUUGCGACACAUGGAAGACCGGAAAGAUCGAGCUCAACUCUUCAGGUAACUGAAUCUUGUAGGCCACGGGGCCUUUCCUCUCCAGUAUUUGGUACGGUCCCACAUAUCUGGGUGCAAGCUUGCUUCGAACUCGGAAACGUUGAACUUUCUUCAUUGGCGUAACCUUGAGGUACACAUAGUCACCUAUUUUGAAUUCAAGUGGCCUUCUCCUCUUAUCAGCAUAACUCUUUUGUCGUGAUUGUGCCGCUUGCAUAUGCUGUUGUAUGACUUGCACCUUUUUCUCUGCUUCGUUCACAAAGUCGAUACCAUAGUAUCUUCUUUCACCAAGUUCAACCCAGUUUAACGGAGUUCUACACCUUCGACCAUACAAGGCUUCGAACGGAGCCAUCUUGAUACUCUCUUGAUAACUAUUAUUGUAUGAGAAUUCAGCCAGAGGUAACCAUGACUCUCAUGAUCCCUUGGACGAUAACACACAGGCCCUCAGCAUAUCUUCUAACACUUGAUUUAGCCUCUCAGUUUGACCUGAAGUCUGGGGAUGAUACGCGGUACUUCUUAUUAGACUGGUCCCCAAACUUUUAUGCAUUCGCUCCCAAAAGUGAGCGGCGAACUGUGGUCCUCUAUCUGAUAUGAUGGUCUUGGGAAUACCAUGCAACUUGACAAUCUCAGCAAUAUAUAUAUCGGCAUACUCGGGAGGUCUGUAGGUGUUCUUAACUGGAAUGAAAUGAGCCGACUUGGUUAAUCGAUCUAUGAUUACCCAAAUCGAGUCAUUCCCCUUCCUCGUGGUUGGUAAACCUGUGAUAAAGUCCAUGCUGACAUCUUCCCAUUUCCACUCUGGAACUGAUAACGGUUGCAACAGACCUGCAGGUUUCAUAUGGAUGGCCUUAACUCUGCAACACGUGUCACAACGGGCCACAUAUGCGGCUAUUUCUUUCUUCAUCUUGGUCCACCAAAAGUGGGGUCUUAGAUCUUGAUACAUUUUACUACUGCCAGGAUGAAUGGAAAGCUUAGAGAGAUGGGCUUCAUCCAUGAUGCGAUUCUUCAAUUCCCGAUCCUUCGGGACUACUAACCGAUGUUGAAACCACAGUACCCCUUUCUCAUCAACUCGAAACUGGGUUUUUGGGUCGUCUUUGAUCUUCUCUUUGAUGUGGAAAAUACCUUUGUCUGCCUUCUGACCUUCAAUGACUUGACUUUCGAGUGAACAACUGAGUUGUAUAUGACAUAAGACUUCAGGAUGCAUGAGAUUGAAACCAUCUUCAAAUAACGGUUGAACCACUUGAUAGUGCAGUUUACGACUCAGAGCAUCUGCUACUACAUUAGCUUUGCCUGGAUGGUAGUGGACUUCCAGAUCAUAGUCCUUGAUUAACUCUAACCACCGUCGUUGCCUCAUAUUCAGCUCGGACUGAGUGAAGAUGUACUUCAAGCUCUUAUGAUCGGUAUAAAUGUGACACUUAUUCCCCAGCAGAUAGUGUCUCCAAAUCUUCAAAGCAUGUACCACUGCUGCUAACUCGAGGUCGUGAGUUGGGUAGUUGACUUCGUGCUUUCUCAACUGUCGGGAAGCAUAAGCUAUCACCCUACCAUCUUGCAUCAACACACACCCCAGGCCACUCUUCGAUGCGUCACAAAACACAUCAAAAGGCUUCUCUAUAUUGGGUUGUGCCAGAACGGGAGUAGUGGUUAGCAACUUUCGCAAGGUGCGGAAGGCUAACUCACACCCUUCCGUCCAGACAAACUUAUGAUCCUUUUGUAGCAAACUUGUCAUUGGCUUAGCAAUCUUGGAGAAGUCAGGUAUGAAACGACGAUAAUACCCGGCCAGACCAAGAAAACUUCUAACUUCCAAGACAGAAGUUGGUGCCUUCCAGUCCAUGACUUCCUGCACUUUUGAUGGAUCCACAGCAAUCCCUUCUUCAGACAGAAUGUGCCCUAGGAAAGGAACUUUCUUCAACCAGAACUCACACUUACUGAACUUGGCAUAUAACUGAUGCUCUCGUAAUCGUGUCAGCACGAUUCUCACAUGCUCGGCGUGAUCUUGCUCAUUUUCUGAAUAAACCAGAAUAUCAUCGAUAAACACUACAACAAACUUAUCCAAUUCUGGCAUAAAGACUGAAUUCAUCAGAUACAUAAAGUAUGCAGGAGGAUUUGUCAAUCCAAAGGACAUGACAAGGUACUCAUACAACCCAUAUCUGGUGGAAAAAGCAUUCUUCGGGAUAUCUUGCGGACGAAUCUUGAUUUGGUGAUACCCAGACCUCAAAUCUAUCUUGGAAAACACUUUUGCCUUGGACAACUGAUCAAAUAAGAUAUCAAUCCUUGGCAAGGGAUACUUAUUCUUGAUUGUCACUGCAUUGAGUGGACGAUAGUCCACGCACAUGCGCAACGAUUGAUCCUUCUUUUUCACAAACAAUGCCGGACAACCCCAUUCCGACGAACUUGGCCGGAUGAAUCCUUUAUCCAGCAACUCCUUUAGUUGAUUUUUCAACUCGGCGAGUUCGUUAGGUGGCAUCCGGUACGGCCUUCUAGAUAUUGGUGCUGUACCCGGGAUCAACUCAAUUGCAAACUCUACUUCCCUAUCUGGAGGAAGUCCUGGUAAUUCCUCGAGAAAAACAUCAGGGAACUCACAGACUACUGGGAUCUGUGGUAAUGGAACCACGUGCGUAGCACAGGAGAUGCUAGCGAAGUCAAGACGACGGGGCAGAGGUACUUGAAAAGAGCUGCUGCCCUGUGGUUCUCUGAGGGAUAACAUCCUUUUCCCAGUGUCUAUGACGGCAUCCCAUCCCCUCAUCCAGUUCAUGCCCACGAUAACAUCCAGAACUAACCCAGGCAUGACCACUAGAUUUACCCGAAAAACUCGGUCACUUAUAUCCAGGGUUGCCCCUCGAACCACUCUAUUGGUCAACACAUCUGCCCCUGCUGAGCUGAUGCGGUAGCCGUAACCCAGAUUUGUAACCGGUUGACUAUGCUUUUGUGCAAAUGCUUGGCUCAUGAAUGAAUGCGAUGAUCCAGAAUCAAACAAAACAACUGCAAGAUGUUGGUUGACAGAGAACAUACCAGCUGUUACCGGUUCUCCUUCCGGGAUCUCCUCGAUCGAGGUAUGGUGCACACGAGCUGGAUAGGUUGGUUGCUGCCUCUUGGGGUAGGGACAUUCCUUAGCAAAGUGCCCCAUCUUGUGGCAGUUAUAGCAUGGACCCUUGGGCGCAUUGUUGGCGGCAGGUGCUGCAGGUUGAAUUGCCUUUGGCUUGGUAGGGGCUAUUGCCACCUUGUAUGGCUUCUGCUGUGUUGGAUGCCCGGUGUUCCUUCUCUGCGGCAGUCGGAACCUAGCACCUGGGGCAGGAGAACGAUACUGCUAUCGCCCCACCACUGGUGCCCUAGGCUGGGAUGAUCCGGCUUCAAAAGCCCUUUUUCGUGACUUGGAUGCACUGUAGUUGUUAUUGUUGUUCUCUUGGGUCAGGCAGUCACUGAUAUAGGCAUUGAAGGUAGCCCUGGCUCCUGUACCCAUGGUCUUUAGCAUCUUUGGAUUCAAGCCUCUCUGGAAACUAGCAAUCUUCUUGGCCUCCGUGUUCACAAACUCAAGGGCAUAGCGAGCGAGAUUGUUGAAAGUGUGUAGAUACUCCUUCACAGAUUUCGUCCCCUGGGACAGCCUCAUGAACUCCCCGAUCUUCAUUUCAACUAAACCCGGAGGAAUAUAAUUUCCCCGAAAAGCGGUGGUGAAGCGGUUCCAGGUAAUUGGGGUCCCCUCUGGGUGGUGAACAGAUGCUCCUUGCAACUGAUGUGCCGCAUACUCAGCCUUGAGUUCUUCUGUCAUUCGGAGAAGACAAAACUUCUGCUCCAUAGUGUUGAUCCACUCAUCCGCCUCGAGCGGUUCCAAAGCCUCUUUGAAAAUUGGUGGCUUGGUAUCCAUGAAGUCCUUGAAUGAGCUGUACUGGUUGACUUCACGGCCGCCCUGGUUAUCCCCACGACGGGUGUUGUCAGCUAUGUUAUGAAGAGCCUCUUCCAUGUUGCGUUGCAUCUGUUCCAUGUUGCGUUGGCUCCCCAGAAACUGCACGAAAAACACGUCCGCAGUGUACGGAGGAGGCGGUGGUGGUGGCGGUGUUGGUGCUCUGUCCUCAUUCCGUUGAGCCCCACCUCCGGACGUACCUGCUCCAAGACCCGGAUUGCUGUUACCCCCGCCACGUGUUUGCACCAUCUGCAUACGUCAAAUGAUAAGCAAUCGUUAGGGGUUGCCAUCAACGGUAGAAAUGUGUAGAAUCAUGCCGUACUGAAUUUACUGAGGGAAUAAAUUCGCACAAUAAAUAGAGGCACAACAAUUCAUCAUCUACGCACAACAUCACUAACAGAUUACUUAACGUUCACGUAACAAGGUUCGCGUACAUCCAACUUGCCAGCAUACAUACACUGGACUUUCAGCAUUAACUCAUAGAGUUUUACAUAGCCCAGAUCCAAAGGUACAAGACAUGCCAUGCAACAUACAUCUCAAAAGAAGAAGGACUAGCUCUAGAGCCCUAGCAUCUACUCGCUAUGGUCACUGUCCACACCGGAGCCCUCCUCAUCCUCAUCUCCACCAGCAGCUGCUCCUAUCACGGGAUCCGCGUCCAUCUCGUCCUCAGAGUCUAACUCAGCUGCUCCAGGCAGGUGGUGAGGGUGGAGCUGGUUAUGCAGCUGGUGGAUCUCCUCAUGCAAGUUCUCAUUGUACUCCUCCGCAUUAGCUAGCUACUGCUCUAGCUCCAGCUGUCGGGCCCUCAAAGUGUCCUCCUCGUGCCAGGCUUCAUUCCUCUGUCCAAGCACAUGGACUAGCAUGUGCUCGCAGUUUCUGUGAGCAGUAGUCACCCUGUCCUUCUGCUCCCGUACUGCAAGCAGGUCCUCACUCAGCUCACUGUUCUUCUGGACUGCCUCAUCUCUCUCUGUGGUCACACGGACCAACUCUGCCUGUAGCCUCUCAAUCUCAGAGUCAAACUCACGCUGCAACUGACGCUUCUCAUCCUGGACGGUGAGAAGAGACCCGGACAAGCGACCCAAACAACGCUCCAGGCCUCCAUAGGUCUUCAUCAGAGCGUACAUGGCACUCAUAGCUGCACCGUCACUCUGCUGGUCCUCAUCCGCACUUCUCUCUAGAGCAUUCACCUCGGACUGAUCCCACACCGAAGUGUAGGGGUCACCCCGGGGAAACACGCCAGCGAAGGCGUGGGCCAGCUCCUGUGGAAACCUCUCCAUGAGGUCCCUCAGAACUGCGAAAGCUGCCCUGCUGGCACCGUGGAAAGGCGUGACACCUCGGGACUCGUACACCCAGCCGCCCCAGGCGGGGUCACCUCCACUGGUAGGAACAACUGCCUCGAUCCCCACCAGGGUCUCGUCACCAAGCGGCUCCUUGUCCCAAUAGUAGCGAGGCUCCCUUCCUUCAGGAUACCCCAUCGAGCUGAGCACUCUCCAAAGCAAAGUGGGCAUCCCAAACUCCUCUAGGAACUUGCUCUUAUGUCGUGAGCUCCUAGCUGCCAACGGAUGGCGAGGGGCCCGCCCACCAGUGGACUUGCAAGCGGUGAGCCUAGUGCGCGCCAUCUGCUGCAAUGGAAUACCUUGGGUAAGAGCGAGGAUUACCUUUAAUUAUUUUAUUUAGAAUUGGGACAGAUUAAAUUAAGGGGGAAAGUAACCAAUGAUAUGAAAUGAACAUGGUGCAUGCACGAACUUACGAUCUCACAAACUUAGAAACAGAAGUUAACACUAAGCGGUAUAUGCGGUGGCACACAACGUUCUCUCAUAACGUAACUAGCGUUCUAAGCGAGAACGUGGUUAGUGUACCUGUAGAAAACUCAUUUCAGCCCACCCACAGUAUGAUCGUGCAGAACAAGAAUUUUAAACUAUACACUCCACAUACACAGACACCCGUCCAUGCAUAUGACGUGUCACUACCCACAUCAUCGCCCUAAUGACGGCAUCGCCUCUCAGGACGGAACUCCCAACAUGCGGUACUAUUUCCAAGACACACCAAAACAUGUGUGCAUGACACAGUGGCUAACAACACUCCCCUAGACCGGCAGUAUAUCCGAUCAUGCUCUCACAGCUCUCACUUACCGUGGCGUAGAGGAAAAAUGGAUCCAUACAUUCCCACUCAAAUGAAUGGUACUCAUACUAUUGCACGCCGUAUGAGCGACGAAAUAAAAUAUGAUGCAUUAACCCCCAAGUCAGUACUUAACUAGCCACCUUAGAGUCCUUAACUGGGCAUAAAGGAUAUGACCAUGGCACACUAAAUAGUUUUCCAAAACUUAGUUUAACACCUUGGUCAUCAUUAAUUAAUAAAAUCUUUUAUUAAACCGGGUUAGAUUUUGUUUAGAACGUACUUAUGAACAGUAACUCGCUAAACCUUGCUCCGAUACCAGCUGUAACAGAACCGACCAAAUUAUAAGAGAUUAAGCCUAACGGAGACCAUUUGCAUAGUCAACCCAUCAGACUUAAGCCCAUAUAAUCCCGGUAGUCCGUGAAAUCUCGAAGGAUUUCAAACCACACAUCGUACAACAGCCAAGAUCGUAAUAAGUUUAGCGGUCGCCAUCCACCAAUACAUCCAGAUUACAACAUUCGUAAAAUCCAUCGGAGUUCUUAAAAAUUAUUACAAACCAAGUUCUUCAAGUAGCGGAAGCUUCAUAGUUCGAAAAUACCACACACACACACUUAGUCUGAUACAGUGCCAUAGUUCGGUCAUUCCCACAAAAGCAAAAGAGGAGACGGAGUGACCAUCGCCCUUGGUCUAGUCAUCACCCAUGGCUGGGUACAGACAGAGGAUGCAAUAACCAUAGUACAUUUGACCAUCUGCAAAACAACAUGGGAGUAGAACCCUGAGUACGAGAAGGUACUCAGCUAGACUUACCCGUCAUAAACUUUAAAAUAAAGACUCUUCAAGGAUCAUGAAGGCUAUAUAGUGGGGUAGCUGACAACCAUUUUGCAAAACCGCAGGAUUUGACUAUCAUAACCUACAUAAAUCUUUCUUCUUUUACUUUGCUCAAGUUGAAAGUAUCAUUACCUAUUAUCUAGGUUUGUACCUGCACUAUUACAAGCAAGUAUAGGGAUAUGAUAGUACCUCAUCAUAGCAUUCAUAAAUUCUUUAUCAUUAUAACCCAAGUGUUCCAUAGUCCUUACUACGAGGACGAAGCUCAUGUCAAGUGCUCACUAUCCAGGAGCGAUGGCGAUUCGAAUCGAUUUCUAACUAGCUGGCGAGGUAUUCCCCACACAAACCACACUCACUGAUCAAGUGAGCUACAGAUCACCGUAUUACGCUAUCCAGGACUAAGUCGCGGGUUCGGUAGGCACCGCCAGUACCCAAGGACCAUUCCGGCGACCAAGGUAUCCAAGGUAUACCAAGGUUGCGCGCCGCGCCCUCGUCGUUCUCCUCAACCAUCACCAAUACAGCGCAUGGCGGCUCGAUUCCCGGCCCGGAUAGUGUUCAGGCUUCCCGGUUGGAACGACUUAUCCUUCCAGCUAAGUGUGGGGCAUGCGUUCUGUUGACGGUCCUUAAGUAUCAAAUUUAAUUAUCAAAUAAAUAAAGAAAAGGAUCCAAAUGAAAUCAAGAUCUAGACUUAGGGUUUUAUCUGACAGAAUUCCACGAGUUUUGGUGUUUGUCUAUUUCUGCAGGGGGUUAUCAGGAAAUAUGGAAGAAAGGCCCACAUGUCGGGAUUACGUAAAGAUAUUAACGUGCUGCGCAAUUAUCUUACAUCUAGAAGACUCCAAAAGCCACGAGAUCGAAGCGGAGGCGAAACGGGGCCAGAGACAGGGCGCCCGCACUGUCCAACUGGGCGCCCGCCCUGCCCCUGUGUCCAAUCAGGACUCUGCUUUGCGGGAGAUCUCCACCGACCUAAAGGAUGAAUCUAAACCAUACAAUCUAUGUCGGUUUGAUCCAAGGGCCCAUAUUCACUUGGAGGGACUAUAAAACCAGACCCCCUGGCCCCUGGAGGAGAGAGCCUCUCAACCCUAAUUCAUUGUUCCAUCAAGGGAGAAGAAGCCUCUGAUCAAGAUUAGAGCCACCACAUCAAUUAGACAUCUAGAUUAGCAUAGCUACAUAGGAUUGGAACUAGUAGGAGUCAAUCUUCGAUUGGUUUCCGGAUCUGUCAGGAGGAUUCUUGGUAAUUCUCUAAUUGUGCUUCUAAUUGCUUUCUAAUUAUCUUUGUUCUUCAAUAUUAUGAAUAUGACUUUGUUCUACUUCAAUAUAUUGCUUAUGACUUUGCUCUACUUGCUUAUAUUCAAGAUUAUAUUGUUCUUAGUUUAUCAUAGUUAUGUACUUGGCUUAGUUAGAUUCGAUCUAUAUACAUGCUUAGGAUCGUAUAGCGUUUAUCCAUCGGAUCCAUGGGUAAAUGAUAGAUAUUGUGUAGGCGUGGUGCUUAUACCGUAUUUAUCUGCGAUUGUACCCAAUAUGCCAGAUCGUGGUGUGGUUCGUGAUAGUGACAGCUUCAUUGAUUCUUAUAUAGUCCCCCUCUCGUGUAUUGGGCUGGCAGAGCAACAUUAUUACAGGGGUGUGAUUGCUAUGUUUCUCAUAUUCCUUGCUAAUAUCACUAUGCAUGGGCGUAGUCUUGUCUCACAAUGAUUGCUAAGUAUGCUUGCACUAACUAUGAUAAUGCUAGACUAUAUAGUUAAGAAUAACUUAGGGAAUAUUCUUGUAGUUCAUUCUAAUACCAUGCUAAUGACUUUCUAGAGUAUCUAAUUGAGGUGCUUAUCAUAUUUAUUAUGUGGCUAGAUCAGAUUAGUUAUCCUUGUCACUAUUAUUAUUUCAUAUAUCUUUUAUGUGACACUUAUCCCUGUAUGAAGAGUUAGAUAUAAUAUUCUCAAUUAUACAUGCAGUGAUAGAUGCUCAAUCUCAUAUUCUAUUCUGUAAUCAAUAGUGAUGAUUGCUAAUCCCUUCCCAAUGGUAAAAAUAUAAAUAACGAUACCUGAAUACUUCCCGGUUAAAAUGCUGUAUCGGUAUUAAUCUGUGCGCUUGCAGAUCCCAUUCAUUAUUUAUUUAGAAGAGCAAUUGCAUAUUUCAAUACCGCGUCUCUUAUAUCAUGCUGGGGAUGACAACUUGGCUUAAGUGGUGUGAGGGAUAGGUUUGGCAUUUUUGGCACCGUUACUAGAUUUAGAGAACUUAGUCUACUUUUGGUAAUGAUGUUAAGAAUACCCAACAAGCAUUUUUGGCGCCGUUGCCGGGGAAGGUUGAUUACUAAUCAGGAAUGGAAUAAAAGAUUUUUAGUUAUCAUUCGCAUCACUAAUAUGAUUGAGCUUAUCUAUUCUCUCAUACAGUUUUACCCCGAUAUUUUUCUAUUUUAUCUUAUGCAGGGGAAUGUAUGAAUAGAAGACAUCUUCCAGAAAUUUUGUUGACAAUCCCGAAGCAUUAUUCAAGAAGACGAGAGCCAAGCUAAAUAAAUCAUCAACACUUCACGAAGAAGCUUCAUCCAAUCAAGAAGAUCACCGGAACUUGUCUUCGGAGUUCGAAGCCAUGGCGAACAAAUCGAUCCGCGAGUUCUCAGCUCCCACUACGGACAACAUCCGCACUAGACCUGCUGCAGAGAUCGAUGGCAACUUUGAGCUCAAGCCUGGACUUAUCAACAUGGUGCAAUCCAACCAGUUCGGUGGGAAGGCACACGAAGAUGCUAGUGCUCAUUUACAACACUUCCUGGAGAUUUGCAACACAUUCACCAUAGCAGGAGUUUCCAAAGACGCUAUACUACUUUGCCUCUUCCCAUUCUCACUGUUAGGAAGAGCGAAGCAGUGGUUCUACGCUACAAAGGAGAAGAAUACUACGUGGGCACUCUGCUCAACAAACUUCCUGGCUAAGUUCUUUCCCAUGGGCAAGACCAAUGCUCUCCGUGGGAAGAUUACGAGUUUUCAGCAACAAAAUGAUGAAUCUGUUCCAGAAGCAUGGGAGCACUUUCAAGAUUACAUCCUAGAAUGUGCCCAUCAUGGAAUGGAGAGUUGGCUAUUGAUGCAGACAUUUUAUCAUGGGCUCGGCAACAGUGCCCGAGAAACCAUGGAUGCUGCAGCUGGAGGAGCAUUCUUAUCACUUACUAUACCACAAGCCACAUGUAAGAGAGGUGGAGGUAUGCAUCAGCUGAAGGAGGUAGACAUGCUGUCUGCAAAGCUAGACCUGCUCAUGAAGAAGCUCGAUGAUAGAGCUGGAGACAAGAAAGAAGUUAUGCACAUCUACGACUCUCACAUGACUUGUGAGGAGUGUGGAGACACUAGACACUCAGGCAACCACUGCCCUGAGAUGCUUGAGGAUGUGAACUACAUCAACAACAACAACUACUACUACUACAACCGUCCUCAACAAAAUCAAGGUUGGAAUCAACAGAGGCCUAACUACUCAGGUAAUUAUCAAGGUAACAAUUCUUACAACAAUAAUAAUAAUUUUCCACCUUUGAGAGAGUUAGUGUCUAAUCAAGGAAAGCUAAUGGAUAACCUAUCUAAAAAAUUGGCAUCUAAUGAUAAAAUGCUAGAAAAUAUAAAUAAUAGAAUGGAUAAUUUUUCUACUGCCAUCAAGAAUCAAAUUAGCUUUAAUAAAAUGAUUGAAUCUCAGUUAAAUCAAAUAGCUGUUGCUGUUCCUACUACUAACCCCGGUAUACCAUCACAACCGGAUGGAUUAGAAUCUGCAAAUCUUGUAGACGUGUUUGAUGCAGGUAAUUGGAGUAACCCCGUCACUGAAUAUUCCACUGACCGUCUGCCGGUCAAGAGAGGCGAUCCCGGACGCCCCGUCAUCCCGAUCUCCAUCGGCAUGGUGGACGUUCCAGAAGCACUCUGUGACUUUGGCUCCAAUGUCAACAUUAUACCCAGGGUACUCUAUGAAAAAAUCUUUACAUAUCCUUUAUUAGAAACAACCAUGUGUUUGCAGUUUGCAGAUCAGACGAUAACUGUUCCAAAAGGAAUAGUGAGGAAUCUUUGUGUCCGAGUUGGUACCUUAUGUGCCCCAGCAGACUUCGUAGUGGUAGAGACCGAAAAUGAUGAGAAAGCACCUAUCAUCCUAGGGAGGCCAUUUUUGAACACCACGGGAGCUAUCAUCUACGCUAGUGCUGCCAAGAUCAGUUUCUACGUCAAAGGGAAGAAGGAGACAUUUUUCUUCAAGAACAAGACUACACAAAUCCAAGAUCAAUCCAGACGUGAAUCAAGGAAGAGGACCAACAGGAGAAACAGGAACAAGCAAGUGUGGACCGAGUCAGCUAAGAUGGUCACUGUAGUUCAUGAAGGCCAAGAUCAUCAACUUAAGUCACCGUUUUUAACCAAGAAGGACGACCCAGGAAUGCCAAGCAUCUACUGCUCUAUAAAUGGAUACAACUUCUACAAGACGAUUUGCGACACCGGAUCGGGCGUCAACAUAAUGGCCGCAGUCACCUAUCGGCUCUUGUUCGGGACCAUGCCACUAAGACCAACAUACAUUCAGCUACAGAUGGCAGAUCAGACAUUCCGAGAAGUCAAAGGAAUAGUAUCUGAUGUCCCAGUCAAAAUAGACGAUCACUUUGUCUACACAGACUUUCAAGUUGUUGACAUGGGAGAAGACGAGUAUGAUCCACCCAUCAUCCUUGGAAGACCUUUCCUCAGCACCGUUAAAGCAAUUAUCUACAUUGGAACCGGAGAAGUCCAUAUGCACUUCCCCUCAGAGAAGGUACGCCGUUAUUUUACUGACCCUAACUAUAUUGUUGAAGAAUCUAAGCAGGUCACAAAGAGACGCAACCGCAACCAGAGGAGGCAGAUCAUCAAGGACGGAUGGGCAGACUACGAAGGAGAAGUUGUAAGGUCAGAAGACAUAGAGUUUAAACCGAAUUAUCCAGAGGAGAUUAAAGCACCGAGUCAGGUGUGGAAAAUGAAGAUAACUAUACAAGAAGAGGAGGCGCUGCCGGAAGUACCGACUACGCGACCCAACGAACCUCAGGACGAUUAAGAAAUGGAGAGUCCCGUUUGGAGGACUUAAAAACACCGAACGCCUUGCCAAGAGGUAAACUUGGUAGUUAUCCUUUCCCUUUCAAUUAUUUUAAAUAGUUACUUAGUUAAUUAAGUUCAUACUAUCCUAAAAAUAAAAAUGUGAAAAAAACUAUAAGCCCCAUGUGAGUAGAUGAAUGGCAUAAAACCCAUAAGUACAUUCACUGUGGUGGCAUAAAAAUAAAAUAAUUAUUUUUCUGCUUAUUAAAACAAAAAAAAUAAAAACAGGGAGUAAUAUUUAUUAAGGAGUCUCAAGAUAAUAAAGGCUAGAUAUUUAUGCUAACACUUAAUCAGUUCCACAAGCUUUGUUGUCUAUUGGAGCUCCACAGAAUUUAAGAAUCAAGAAGACUAGCAGAUGGAGGACAUUCUAAUCGCUGUCAGAAUGCUGCUGACUUUCAAAUACACCUCUGCCACCUGCUAGCUACAUCAAGAUAAAUUACGUCAAAAUUCAGCUUGGGGG